rnacentral:lncRNA from 1 species
UAAGGAUUUGACUUUUAAAUGAGUUACAUGGGUUACACUAUGCACUACUUAUUUAAUAAUUAGAUAAUAUUUAGGUUUAUAUUUUUAAUACGAUUAUCAUGUCCGAUUUGGGUUGAUCUAUGUAGUACAAUAUUUUGGCUUUGACAUAACAUGAACAACAUCCACCAAUAUAAAUUGUCACUCCUAAAUAUUAUUAGUCUUUUUCUAAUAAAUUACACAUGAUUUACUAAUAUAUGCCAAUCUACCUGGCAAGCAGGAACCUCUCAUCUAGCAAUUUGUCCGGGAAUAUACUUACUUCAUUUUCAAGUCUCAGAUCAUUACAAAAUCUGUAAGUAUUAGUGGCCAUGAGCAGUUAGUCACCUAAAAAAAUGGUGGCAGCAUGAAUAUCUUCUCUAUAAUCUGAUGGAGGCCUUUACUCAAAAUGCAUGAAAUUCAAAUUAUUUCAGGGAUUUAUCAUACAACAACUUGACUGGACCAGUACCAGAAUUUUUUGCAGACUUGCCAUCUUUAAAAACCCUGUAAGUAAUUAACUUUUAGUUUUGGGAUAUUCAAAUUCUUUUGGAUAUAUAUGCAGGUAAUCUGAGUAUUUGAUCUUGUCAUUGCAGAAAUUUAACGGGGAACAACCUAACAGGUUCGGUUCCACAGGCUGUUAUCGAUAAGUUCAAGGAUGGAACUCUGAGGUUUGCUUAUUAAUGAUCUUUUCUAGCACUUGUUCUCAAUGUUUGUUUAUAGAAUUCUUGACUUACCAUGUUCUAUUUUAUGCAAGUCUUGGCGAAAAUCCAAAUCUUUGUCAGUCAGACUCGUGCCAAAGAAAGAAGAAGAAGGAGAACAAGUUCCUUGUUCCUGUUCUUAUAUCCGUUCUGUCUGUAAUUAUCCUGAUUCUCAUAGCUGCCCUUGCAAUCAUCCGGAAGUUGACCAAGAGGAGAGAAACUAGAGGUAUUUUCUUUCUUUCAUUUUCAUUUUCAUUUUGUUUCUUUUGAAGUGAGGAUUUAACAUUUUAUUGCUCCAUUUUUAUUGUGAUAUCCUUUGCUACAACCAUAGAGACGGUCAGUGAACGCCCCAAAGAAGGGUCAUUGAAGUCAGGGAAUUCCGAGUUCACUUUCUCUGAUGUGGCAACUAUCACCAAUUACUUUAGUCGUACCAUCGGUAGAGGAGGAUUCGGACAAGUUUAUCUAGGCACUUUGACAGAUGGCACUCAGGUUGCCGUCAAGAUGCGUUCUCAAUCAUCAAUACAAAGCCCCAAGGCAUUACAAGCCGAGGUUAGACAAAUCAAUCCAUCCGUGGUUCUACAGUACUAGAAGUUCUCCAUCUGAUGCCUGACAUAAAAGAAUUUGAAAUGUUGCAGGCGAAACUCUUGACGAGAGUUCAUCAUAAAAACUUGGUUCGUCUAAUUGGGUACUGCAAGGAUGGUACACACAUGGCUCUCAUUUAUGAAUACAUGUCCAAUGGAAACUUGCAAAACAAGUUAUUAGGUAUAUAUCCACCUCUCUUGGUAUAACUGUCAUUGAAAGCAACUUGUGGACUUCAAUGUUUAUGCAUUUGCUGCAGGGAGAGAAGCUGCAGAUGUUUUGAAUUGGAAACAGAGACUUCAAAUUGCAGUAGAUGCAGCACAUGGUCAGUAACUAAGCGGAGAUCUACCACAUUAUAAUUAAUUUGCAUUCAAAUAUUUCUUUAAUUUGUGAUUCUUUUCUUGCUUAAUUGUGUAGGAUUGGAGUAUCUACACAAUGGCUGUAAGCCACCAAUAGUCCACAGAGACAUGAAAUCUUCCAACAUUCUAUUAACUGAAACACUGCAAGCCAAGGUAGCUGAUUUUGGGAUGUCCAGAGAUCUUGCAAUUGAAAGUGGAGCUUUCAUAUCAACUGUCCCUGCAGGCACACCUGGAUAUCUGGAUCCGGAGUAAGUUUUAACAACAUUCCUUACAAUUUUACAUAAUUGCUUCCUUAUUCAUGAAAUGUAACUUCCUAUGCAGAUACCAGUCAACGGGAAUUUUGAAUAAGAAGAGCGAUGUUUACAGCUUUGGGAUUGUUUUGUUGGAGCUAAUCACCGGCCAGCCUGCGAUAAAGAACCCUGGGAACAUUCAUAUAGUUGGAUGGGUUAGUCCUAUGAUUAAAAGAGGGGAUAUGCGAAGCAUUGUUGAUCCAAGGUUACAAGGAGCUUUCAACGCCAAUUCUGCCUGGAAAGCCCUAGAGUUAGCCUUAGCAUGUGUAGCAUUAACAGGAAUGCAAAGGCCAGAUAUGAGUCAUGUACUGGAAGACUUGAAGGAAUGUUUGGAGAUGGAGGUGACUUCCAGGAGAAUUCAAAGUGUAGGUAGCCACAGCAUCGGAUCAGGCAAUUCCCUGGACGAUCUUCCCUUGAUUCUUGGCACUCAAUUGGGUCCCCGUGCUAGGUAGUUGUUGGACGCUCCAUUUUAAUGUGAUAAAUUUGCUUAAUGUUAGCAUGUGGGAAUAUGGAUUAUGGUGCACUCCUCUAUAUUUUGAAUUGUGUUCAUGAAAAAAUCUAUAUUGGGUAAUUGUACCAACUUUUUAUAUAUUGGGUAAUUGUACCAACUUUUUAGGAUUUCAUUAAGUUGAAACAUGGUAGGCUUAGAUUUGCCUAUUUGGUUUCAUUUCUAAUCCUUUAUUUACUCACCUUUCUCUCCUUUUUUCGAUGACAAUAAUUUAUGAAAUGCAAAUUUCAUAUUACCAUUCAACAAUUAAUAAAUGCCAUUGGCCCCAAGCCCUAACUUGGUGCAUACUUUACAAGUCAAACUGUUCCUAAUACUCACAUUAUAGGUCAAUGACUCAAUACUAAUAGUCUAAUACCACGUCCCAAAGGGCAAACCCUCUAGGACAUGAUAUAACUACAAAAAUUAUUUACUUGAAUCAUAAUUGCAAAAUAUGUUUUUACUAAAUAUGGAUAAAUGAAGUAAAAUCAUAAUAAUAAUAAAAAUAAUAAUAAUAAUAAGAUUAAAAAUAAAUUAACUAUUUUGAUUUAAUACUUAAAAUUAGUUUUUACUUUAAGUUAUAAUAUUAAAUUACUUUACCAAACAUGUGAAUCUAUUUAAUGACUUAAAUUAAGUCAUUAGAUCAUUAAGUUAUUAAGUUGAUUAGUUAAAUACCCUUUUUUUUUUUAGACUUUAAUAUUUGAAAAUCAAUCCUUGUAGGAAACUUUUUAACUCUUUUGAUUUUGACUACAUCUCUUAGGGUUCUACAAAGCAACCCAAGAUAUGACACCCUCUAGCAUUGAAGUUGAGUAAAGCUACAUGGCUUCUUCAACCUAUGAAAUUACAUUGAAACAUCCAUGUUAUGAAAUGUUCGAAUUUUGCUUAAGAUGGCACUUCAACUAUUUUGUGACCAUGUCAAUGCUUUUCAAAUGAUUGUAAAUCAUAUGUUCCAUACUCAAACUAGGCACAUCAAAUUAGCUUAAUUAUCAUUUUGUACAAAAAAGUGUUGCAAUGAGCAUUUUUGUUACAUGUUAUAUUUCUUGUUAAACACAACCUACACACAUCCUUACCCUCUAUCUAGAGUCAUUUGGAGAGCUUUGUUUCAAGCUAGUAUUAUCUUGGGCAUGUUAAGAAAUCAAUUAAAAUAAGGGGAGAAGGCGAUUUAUUAUCUAGCUCUCCUACAAUUAUCAUGCACCAAUAAGCAAGAGUUCUCAUAAGUUCAUUCAAAGUUAAAAUAGUGGAGACAUGUGGUAGAAAUUUGAUUUCAAUUUUAAAAUUUUGAAAAUUUAUUUUAAAUUAACUUUUUAUUCAAAUUAAGUGAUUUCUAUAUUUGGGUUUUGUUUUUAAGUAAAAUUCAUGAGAAAAUUUUCUAUAUAAAUUAUUUUAAGAAACAAAAGAAAAUAGAUAAAAGCAAAACAUAUUUAAGUUGUACUUUUUUUUUUCUUGAUUACAAUCUUCAUAAUUAUGGAAAAUUAAAUAUAUUUGAAUGAAUUUGUUCACCUUCACAAAUUGUAAUAUUUAUAAAUAAAAGAUAAUUAUUUAAAAAUUGACUGUGGUAAAUAAAAGUUAUCCCAAAGAAUUAAUAGUAUGAUCAAUGUUUUAGGCUCAAAGAACUUGAUUAAAUGAAAUCCAUUUCUUUCAUGAGAAAGGCGGAUACUGAAAGUCUAAUUUAUUCAACUUUUGGGAAGUGAAAUAGCUUUAAGUAAUUUGCUUGUGCACAACUUAUAAGACACAAUUUUUUGACAAGAAAUAAUGUACUAUAAAUAUUUCUAAAUUUAUAAUAAAGUCAUAAAAAACAUAUAGGUUUGUUGUAGAAACUGUUUUUGAAAAUACUUUUAUAUUACUUUUAAGAAUUUGUUAUGAAAAUAGGUUGGUUCGUAAAAUAAAUUUAAGGUGUUUUUAAUCAUAUUUUGUAAAAUGUUUUGAGUAACACUUGAAAAUGUAAAACAUAUUUGGAAAACUUCUAUGUUAUCUAUAAAUAAGUAGUAAUUAUAAAAAAAAAAAAAAAAAAAACACAUUGGUUUUUAUAUUUGAAUUUUUUAAAUAAAAUUUUGUUUUUAAAGAUAAUUAAGAACUAUUUUUAAAAAUGAUUUUCAAAAAUAGUUCAAAGAUGCCUACUAUUUAUUUCACUAUAGGGAUUUGAUGAAAAUUAUUAUUGUCAAUAAAAAUUCAUAUAGGGUGUUACAUAGGGGCUAUAGAAAAGUACUUUUUCCAUUAACCAUGAACAGGUCAACUAACAAUAAAGUGGUGAACAACCCCUAUAUAAAUGACCUUUGAUAAAAAUAUAUGUAUAGAAACAAGUCUAGUUACACUAUAUAAGUGUAUUUCUCUGUAUAUUCAUAGAAAAAACACCAUCAAUCAAGUAGUACCCCCCCCUCCCACACACACACAUAAAUAUAUAUAUAUAUAUAUAUUUAGAGUCAUUUAUUUAUAAAUUGUGCAUUGAUCUUAUUCAUUUGUACAUUCCAUGACUUAGAUCUCAACAUACAUAAUCAACAAUUUGAAUCUUUUGUUUGCUAGGUACCGCUAUAGUACCUUACCAUUUUUCAUAGAAAAUGGUUGUAAAAUUAAAAAAAAAAAAAAACAUUUUUGGUAUUAUAGAAAGUUAAAAAUAAAAAUAGAGAGAAAAAAAACAACUAGAGGCUCUAUGUAUAAGGCUUUGACAUUGUCAAAACUAGUUAAGCUCCACAAUAUGCAUGCUUCAUCUUGUUUCUCUAACUUUCAUACACUUGUGUCCUUGCUAAGACCUUUCACUUCUCUUCCAACUCCUGACCAUCAAUCAUCAUACACCACCAUUCCACAUAAAAGACCAGCAUGGACAAUAUACCAACAUUGGUUUAGCUCAUCUUUGUCCCAGUCACCAUCAUUUCCUCAAGCAACAACCCAUAAUUGGUUGCUAGAAACCCCAUCAUACUACCUCAACCUUUUAUCACAACCAUCCUUCUCUCCAAAGACUUAUUGUAAAUUGUUAUAAAAUGAUACCCGCAAUGAUAAUUUGAAAAUAGAAAAUAAAAUAGAGUAAUAAAUAAAAUAAAUAAAUAAAACAAUGGGAAAAAGUGCUUACGUGGUAAAACCCUCUUGAUUAUAAGAGAAACACCCAUAGGAUAAGAUUGAAAAAUAUCCAUUAUAUGAAGACAAAAUUAUAACAUUUCUUUCAAUUAAGAUGAGAUAAUAUAAAAGUUUAUAAAAUGAUGAAAACCUUUUUUUGGGAUGCAAAGCAUAGGGAGUUGAGGCUUCCUUUUAUAUCACAAGGAGGUUAUGUCCUUUUUGUCUUCUUUCGAUGUGGGAUGACUCCAACCUUAACAUUCUCUCACUUGAAGUCAUUCUUCUAUAUCUUGUCUUAUCACAUGUUGAUUACAUUAUCACUAAGUCAUAAGAGGAUGUACACCAAUUGAAUUUGUCAGUAUUAAUUGGUUUUGUCAAGGCAUCUGCUACAUUGUCCUUCAUAUGGAUCGUUUGUUUAUUCACGAUUCCUUCUUCCACCACUUCUCAGACAAAGUGAUAUUGAACUCCUAUUUGCUUAGUCUUAGAAUGAAAGGUUGGAUUCCUUGCAAUAUAAAACACACUUUGACUAUCACAAAACAUGGAAAUUUUCUCUUGUUUAGGCCCAAGCUCCUCUAAUAACCUUUUAAUGUAGAUAGCUUCUUUGCAAGCUUAUGUAGCUACCAUGUACUCUACUUCUGUUGUAGAUAGAGCCACAACAAUUUGAAGUUUUGAAACCUAGCUCACAACUCUUAUAAGUGUGAACACAUAGCCCAUAGUAGAUUUCCUCUUAUCAAGAUCACUUGCAAAGUUUGAAUCAAUAUAGCCUUUGAUGAUGAAUUUUGAUCCUAUAAAAUAUAAUGCAACAUUUAAGGUUUUUUUUUAUUUUUUUUUUUAUGUAUCUAAAGGCCCUCUUAAUCAUAUUCCAAUGCGCUUUCCUUGGAUUUGCCAUAAACCAACUUAUUGAUCCCAUUGCUUAUGCAUUGUCUAGCAAAUAAAUCAUAAUGAACAUGCAUUAAGUUUCCUAGUGUUGAUGCAUACGUUUUUUGAGAUAGUUCCGCCAUCUCUGUUUCAUUAUUAGGACUCAUACUUGAAGAUAAUUUGUAAUUAUAGGAAGUGAGGUAUACACUAGCUUACAAUCAUGCAUGUUGAAGUGACAAAAUUAUCUUCAAAUAGAUUUUUUGUGAGAGUCAAAUCUUUUUAGUUUUUCUAUCUCAUUGAAUUUGCAUAUCUAAAAUCUUGUUUAUUGGUCCUAGAUCCUUCAUCUCAAACAUCCUAGCCAACUAUGCCUUUAAUUCUUGAACUUGAUCUUUGUUGGGGCUUACAACCAACAUGUCAUCCAACAACAAUAACAAGAUAAUAAAAUCAUCACCCACAAACCUCUUAUAAUAUAUACAAUGAUUUGAAUUGAGUCUGUUUUACAUAAGGCUCAAUAUGAAAGAAUCAAAUCCCUUGUACCAAUAUUUUGGCGUUUAUUUUAGAUUGUACAAAGAUUUGGUUAACUUGCAAGCCAAGUUUUCUUUCCCAUUUUCUUCAAAGCUUUCCAGUUGAAUCACAUAAUUUUUUUUUUCAAGCUUUCCAUGAAGAAACACUGUUUUCACAUCUAACUACUCAAGGUGCAAAUCAAGUUUACCACACAUAGGUAAGACUACUUGAAUUGAUUUAAAUCAAACAAAUAAAAAAAAAAAAUCUUGUUGAAAUCAACAUGUUCUUUCUGAACAUAUCCUUUAGUCACCAAUUUUGCACAAUAUUGCUCCACUUGGUCAUUACUAUCACAUUUGAUCUUCUACACCCACUUGUUUCCAGUAACUUUUUUUUUUCUAGGUAGUAGUGGCAUAAGUUUCCAUGUCUAUUUCUUAUGCAAGGCUUCAACCCCCUCUUACAUUAUUGUCAUCCAUAAAGAUGAAUCUAAACUAUUUCUGGUCUCUUGAUAAUUUGAAGAUUCUCUCUAUCUUCUGUAAGAAAAUGUGUACAACAUUAGUCGCCAUAACAAACUCUUAGUGUUAGGAAGGUUCUCUUCUCUCUUGAAUAGACCACUACACUUCAGGUAUCUUAGAUUCAACUAGUAGUUGUUCAUUGUGCUUUGAAACUACUUCAGAAGAUUUUGGUUGUUAUUUUAAUUGUUUUUUUUUAUGAAACUUAUAAUAUCUGUAUUUUUCAUCAGUGCAUUAUCUCUUUCUUUACUUUGUAGCAUGUUUUUUUACAAAGAUGACAUUUCUACUAAUGAUAACCUUGCAAGCAGUGGGAUCCUACAGGUGACACCCCUUUACUCCAUCAACAUACCCUAAGAAUAUGCAUUUUGUGGAUUUUGGAUCCAACUUUGUUCUUUCUUGGUCAUUAUACAUCAUAUAAGCAAGACAUCCAAAUAUGUGUAAGGAGGAAUAAUCCGCUGGCUUACCAAUCCACAUUCCCAUAGGUGUCUUAAUCUCAAUUGAUGUUGAUGGAGACCCAUUAAACUACUUACUUCAACCCAAUGUUUUGGAUAGUCCUAUAGUCUUCAACAUAGCUCUCAUUCGUUUUACGAGAGUUCUAUUUGUCUGCUUUGCUAUGUCAUUUUAUUAUGAAGUGUAAGCAAUAGUUUUCUAUCAUUGUAUGCCUUUUUUACUACAAAAUUCUCCUUCAUUGUUUGUCCUCAAAUAUUUAAUUUUUUUUCCCAUUACAAGCUUUUUCUACGCUUUAAAGGCUUUGAAUACUGGAAAAACAUCUUACUUUUUCUUGAUGGGCUACACCCAAAAUCAUUUGGAUUAACCAUCUACAAACAACACCAAAUGGUUUGCACUCCUAAGAGAUGUGACAAGUGAUUCCCAAACAUCAAAAUACACCAAGCCUAGAAUGCUCUUACUUUUUGUAGAAGAUUUACUGAAUCUUAAUCUAUGUUGCUUACUAAUAACACAAUACUCACAAACUAGUAGACUUAAAGUUUUGAGUUCAACAAGCAACUUUUGAUCAUAAAGGAUUUUUAAUUCUUUUUCUAAUAUGUGACCAAGUUUCUGAUGUCACCUCAUUGUCAAUUUUUAACUAGAGUUUGCAACAAAAGUCUCAAUCUCUUUAUAUGUCCUUUCAUGCAUCAUGAACAAAUUUACAACAUCUUCUCUGCCUUCAUCACCAUAAGUGCACCUCUAAUAACCUUCAUGAUUCCCUUUUUAUCAUAGAAUUCAUAUCUAAGGUCAUCCAAUUAUCUCAUUGAUAGUAGAUUCUUCUUUAAGCCUUUCAUAUGUUGUACUUCUAGAAUAGUGUGAAUCACGCCAUCAUCUAUCUUCACUUUGAUGGAGCCAAUGUCAACCAUCUCCAAGGCAUGAUCAUUACCCUUGUACACUAAUCCUCUUGAGAUGGGUUUAUACAAGUGAAACCACUCUCUAUGAAAAGUCAUUUGUCAUAUUGUAGCUGAGUCAAUUAACCAAACUUCAACAAAUCUUUUUUUGCCUUUCGCAAUUGUUGUUACUUCGCUAUACACGAUUUUACCUUCGUCCAAAGUAUUUGCUACAAAACUCUAGUAUUUGAUAACAUAGAUUAGUUCAUUUUCAUGUUUUUCUCUACUUCUCUUUUUUAGUGUCAACAAUUUUUAUUUUUAUUUAUUUUUAUUUUUAAUUUUUUUACAUACCCUUGUUUUCUAAAGUGAUAGCAUUUAACUUUUCUCUUACCUUGGGAUUUUGACCUAUUUUGGUUGUGGCACCCAUUAGAACCAUGUUCUAUUGAUCUUCAUCUAGAAAUACUUAAAGUCUUGGUUUGCUAAAAAUAUAUUUUGUCUUCUUUGUUUUUAUGCUCAUUUUCUUCCUUAAGUAUAGUAGUAUUAGGAUUAAGCCCCUAAAAGUGAGACAUGAUGUAAUAAAGUUAGACUUAAUUGUUCCCUUAUUAUCCUCUUGGUAUAUUAACAUUGAUUUGAGCAUUCAACCUACAUCUCUUACAUUGUACAUGACUUGGGUGCAUUAUGAGUCGUAUAGAAGAUACAAGUCAUGGAUUCCUUGUAAGUAGAUAAAUUGUCCAUAGUCAGUUCAUGGAUUUGGGUAAUCUAGUGUGAUUGUAGUACACUACCUCUCAAUUAGAAGGAUGGCUUAUCUUGGUGUUGAGAUAGGUUUCCCAUGGUGAGUAUACUAAUGUAUGUAAUGCACACUAGACAGUAUCUAUGGUGACUCAUGAUGUAAGGCUAUCAAUAAUCAUAAUUCACUAAGCUACUAUACUGCAUGGACUCUCAACCUUGAAAGGAUAUUGAGUUUAUGUCAAAAUCAAUAGGAGACUUUAAUCUAUGGGUAAGACCUUAAAGUGGGCAUAUAUCCAUAUGGAAUGAGUCACUAUUAAUAGAGGUUGGUGGCAACAGGUAUUCUCAAUAGAGACGUCAUGAUAUCUCAUGGGAUUGAGACAAUGUGUUCUAUUGGAUGAUCCAAAGGACAUGUGAUCAUAAAACUUGUGGUCACAAUAAUUCCUUUAAUAGAAUUUGACAUAUACUCAUUGGAAUUAGGGUAUGUCAGUUGAUCACAUAAUAAGUGGGACUUGUAACUCAAGGAUUUGAGAGGUAAUCUUGAUGGGUGAUAACACUACUUUGUUAGAUUACAGACACCAAUUCAUGGGGAGUCUUCAUACAAUGGAUAGUAGGUCACAGACCCGAACUUCGUCAUAUUGUUAUUUACAUAGGGUAUUAGAGUGUAGUUGAUUCUCUUUAAUGGAAUGGUGAAUUAACUUUAGGAUUGGAUUCUAAGGAAGUCAAUACUUCUAUGGGUCUUGGUGGUCCCUGUUCUAAGCUCUUUAGGGUUGGAUUGACUCGAAGUUCAUUCUUAUGCAUAAGGACAUUUUGGUAAUUAGACAAGGUUGCAUAAGGGAUAAUGAACAAAGUCUUUGGAUUAGACUAAUUGAUUAAUUAGAUGACCCUAUGUGGUUAAUUAAUCAAUUAGGAUCUAUGUUGGGCUAGAUUAAGUGACCCAAGCCUUGAUGGGCUCAAGUCACUUAAGCCCAAUAGGUAACCUAAUAAAUCCUUAUGGGUUAAGGUUUCCUAAUGACUUUUAGUUGGUCAUCUUCCACCUCCAAAGAGAGAAAGUCAAAACUUGCUCCAUUCCAUUGCCCACACUUUGGAGUGCUAAAAAAGUGGCUAAAGUAAUUAGGUAGAAGAUCUUGGGCGUACAAGACCUUUGGACUUUUUAGGUUUUUUUUUCAUCAAAUAGAUUUUGACAUGAGAACAUCCAGAUCAUAGGUAUGAAUACUGUAUCUCUAGAUAUAUAAUUAAUAAUGGUUUUUAUAGCCAUAUGUUUCCGCUAUGAUAGAUUUAGAUAUGCCUAGGGAUAUAUGCACACACCUUAUGAGAUCUAAGGCAUGGAAAUGGAGUUAUUCGAGGUUCCCAACAAGUAGUCACAAUAUCAUUAAAGACUAACAUUAUUCUUAAAGCACCAUUGGCUGUAUUUAUGAUGAGAUGAUCAUAUGAAUUAGGUAGACUUUGGAGUAAAAGUUCAACAUGUUCUUUCUCUUCUAUGUUAUGUUCCAUAGAUCACAUGAAUCAGGUAAACUUUAAACUAAAAGUUCAUCGUAUUCUUUCUGUUCUAUGUUAUGCUCCAUAACUGAUAAUUAAGAGAAUAGAGUUUUCAAGGUGUUGAUAUGUUCAACCAUCAAAGUAGAUUCUAACAUCCGAAGAGUGUAGACUUUUGUUUUCAAGAAAUUUUUUUGUGCAAUGACUUGACUUCAUAUAGUUUUGUCAAGGUAUCCCAAAUUUCUUUUAUCAAUUGUAAUUCUGAGAUGUUUGAUAGUAUAUUAUCUACUACUACUAAAUGCAAGCUUGAAACGGUAUCCUCAUCCAUUUGCUCCCAUUUUUUGUCUUCAACAUUUUCUAGCCUGUCACAAAUUGCUUCUAAGAAAUAUUUCUUAAUAUGGCUUUCAUUUUCAUUCUUCAUAGCACAAAAUUACUCCCAUUGAAUUUUUCUAUUUCAAAUUUCACCGCCAUUUGUUUGACUUUUAUGGUGAACAAUAACCCAAAAUAAUGGUAAGUGUUUGUGAUAAAUACAUUAGGAAAGUCACCAAGAAAGUGGAAGGGUCACAAUGGUCCCACUUAAAACCUGUUUUUCUUAGGCUCUUAUUGCUCUUUUAAUAGAAUUUUCUAGAACAUGUACUAACCAUUCAAAUAACCACCUACUGUCCUAAACCUAAGAUUUGAUACCACUCUUAUAAAAUGAUACCCGCAACAAUAAUUUGAAAAUAAAAAAUAAAUAAAUAAAACAGUGGGCAAAAGUGCUUACGUGGUAAAUAUAUAUACGUCAUAAGCUUUAUGUUCCAAAUGAUUUGUGAAGUAUACUAUUUGGAAAAUGAAUGCAUACAACAAAACCCUCUACUUAAUGAGAAGUCCUAUUAAUGACAGCAGUGAGGUUGAAAGUAUUCUACAUUUCAUUUUAGGGAUUGGUCAAACAAUAGCCUAACAAGAUAACUGCUUAAAUUUUUGUCACAACUGUCAUUCUUAACUGCCUUGUAAGUAAUAGAGUUUUGAUGGUAUAACAAAAAAUUGUUGGAAUGAAAAGCAUAUAGUCUAAUUCAACAUCUUUGUAGGAAUGUAACAUGAAACAAGCUUUCAAGCUCAGUUCCUCCAUAUCCCAUUGCAAGAUCAAAGAAAGGGUCGUUGUCAUUAACGUUCACUCUCUCUAUUCAAAACCCCAUCAAUACUAAUUCUAUUUCUUAAACACUAUUUUGGUUUUCCAACUUCAUUUUCCCCCUAAGAACAACUAAUUUAAUGCUAAUGUAAGCAACAACUCGGAUAUUUGCCCAUCAACUCAAUGUAAAGAAAAGAAGAACUUUGUUGUUCCAAUAGUUACAACAGUUGUUUCAUCACUUGUCAUCAUCUUCCUUGCAUUGGUUAUUCUAUGGAGCCUAAAAAAAGGGAAAAACAUAUGCAUUUUUGUAUUUCAAAAGAAGUUGGCCCUAUGAAUGCUUGCAUCCUAUUUCUAAGAUCUCUUAAUUUUUUAUUUUGGAUAUUAGCUACAAAAUCACUUGUCAUAUCUCCUGAAGAAACAUGGUCACUAAAGAUGGAGAACCAACUAUUCAGAUACUUGAAGAUUGUGAGUAUUACUAAUAACUUUCAAACAGUCAUUAGGAUAAGAAGAUUUGGAACAGUUUGUCGUGGUUGCAUGCUUAAUGGCACAUGAGUUGCUAUCAAGAUGCUCUCUCAAUCAUCAAAAUAAGGAAUGAAGGAGUUUCAUACUAAAGCAUGCUUCUCGAUACAUAAAUUCAUUUUAUUUUGAUCUUAUAGUAAUCUGAUUGUCUAAAGAUUUUUGUGAUAUCUCACAUCAGAUAGGAGAAAAAAGUUUCAACCACUAUACAUGUAUGGAAUCUUUCUAACCUUAUAGACAUGUUUUAAAGUAGCAAGCUAGGUCUCUUUAGACACAAAAUAGACAAGAGUAGAUCCUCAAUCAAGGUGUUUGUUUGUUUGACUCCACAAUCUUAUACGACAUAAUGAGAACAUGUGUUUAAUUAUAUGAGAGUGAUUGUGAUAUCUUUUAUCAGAUAGAUCGAGGAAGAUUUUUUUUUUUUUUAUCCCAUAUAUGUAUCAACCCUCUUUCAUGUGAAAAUGUUUCUAAUUUGACUUUGUUUUUGGUUUUUGAGUUGUAGGUUCAACUUUUGAUGAGAGUUCACCAAAUUAAGAAACUUAGCUUCUCUGGUUGGUUACUACCAUAAAGGUACAAACAUGGGGCUCAUCUAUGAGUACAUGGCUGGUGGAAACUUACAAAAUUAUGUAUCAGGUAAAUUCCCAUUCUCUUGUAUGAAUCUUACCUCAUUGAGAAAACCAUUUUGCUAAAAAUAAAAUCAAAGAUAUGAAGAUUGGGUUCUCAUGUUGAAAGAGCAAAUAGAAGCACUAACCUUUGAGUUGGGAUAAAGAGACUUCAAAUAGCAAUGGAUGCAGCACGAGGUGAGUAGGCCAAUUGAUUGCAAUUGAUACUAAUAAAUUUCAAAUCUCUUGAAUCAAACUAACAUUUCUUCAAAUUUUUGGGUGUAGGACUAAAGUACAUGCACCGUGGUUGUAAGCCGCCUAUAAUUCAUAGAGAUGUGAAAACUGCCAACAUUUUAUUGAAUGAAAAAUUGUAACCUAAGAUAGUUGAUUUUGGGUUCUCAAGAUUUUUCUCAAUUGAGAGUGAAACUCAUGUCACAACUGCAAUUGUUGGCACUGUUGGUUACAUUGAUUGAGAGUAAGUCCAUGUUACUUUACAGUUAAUCGGUAUAUGACUAUAUCUUUAUAGGAGAUUGCCCUAUGAACUAAGAACUCUAUUUUCUAUUUUAGGGGCCAUUCUAUAUUUUUGGUCAAUAAGAGUAGACAUGUGGAUAGGGUUGUAGAUUGGGUGAGUUGAUCACUAACCCAAAUCCAAUCCGAAUUAAGAAACAAUCAACUUUAACCUAACCCAACCCAACUUCUAGCUCGAGUUAUUCAACCUAAUCCUAACCCAACCUCAUUUCUUUAAGUUUGGGUUUAACUUGGGUUGGUUAGAUUAAAUUCAAGUUAGUCAUAUUGUAUAAUUCAAAAUCCAUCUAUAUUAUUUAAAAAAUAAAAAUAAAAAUAAAAAUAAAAAUAAAAUUCUAUACAUUUAUAUGAAAAUUUAAAUAGUAAAUAGGACAAAAUUUUAAGAUAAUAACAAAAAAGUAUAAAAAAAUUUAUAUAUAUUUUCUUUAAAAAUGAAAAAUAUAAGAUAUAAUACAAUUUGAUAUAUUUUCUAAAAUAUAAAAAAAAUGAAUAUUGUUAAUAAGGUAAUAUACAUUACAAAUAUUAUAAAAACAUUAAAUUGAGUUCGGGUUGGGCUUGCGUGGUUCGUACCUUAGUCAAGUCCAACCCAAAUUGAAUUUAGGUAGAAAAAACCUAACUCUACCCCCAUCCGAGUAUUGAAAAUUAUUGUCUAAGCUUGUCCAAUUUACACCCCUACAUGUGGAUGUCCAUGAAAAAAAAAUUUAAGACACUAUAUUGGAUUUUGUCACCAAGUGCUUCUAUGCAAGUACUACAUAUUCAAUAGGUUGAUCAAGAAAAGUGAUAUUUAUAGCUUUGGAAUUGUUCUAUUGGAGUAUAACUGAAAAACUUGCAAUCAUUAAAGAUAAAGGCAACAUUCAUAUAGUUCAAUGGGUAAGGUCCUUUGUUGAGAGAGGGGACAUUGGAAGCAUUGUUGAUCCUAGGCUAUAAGGAAAUUUCAACACAAGUUCAGUUUGGAGAGUUUUGGAGAUGGCAAUGGCAUGCCUACCAUCAAUUUCCAUCCAAAGGGUGACCAUGAGUCAUGUAAUGAUGGAACUAAAGGAGUAUUUGGAAGAAGAGAAAGCCCAUGAUCAAACUAGAAGGAUCGAGGGACAAAUGACAAAGUCAAGCAAUUCAAUUGACUUGUAUAGUUGUAGACCCUCAAUUUUGUCCCUUUAGCACAUGUUUUAAAGUCCAUUACCAAUACUUUACAAUAAUCUCUUGGUAGCCCAUAGCUACUCACGCUACUUACCUUUCUUGAGCCACCUCGGAGACUUUAGUUGAGGGGUUUACCCAGUUCCACAUUAUGACAUUGGUUGACCUUCAAGUUUAGAUUAGGCUUCACUUAAGUGCACUUCAAGUUAGACUUAGUUAGGCCCACCUAGUCUCACCCUAGGCCCACUUAGGUAUACCUAGCCCACUUAGGUCCACCUUGACCCACUUAGAUUCACCUAAGCUCAUUUAGGUCCACUUUAACCCACUUAGACUCACCUAAGCUCAUUUAGGCACAUCUAGGCCCACUUUGGUUUGCUAGGUCCACUUAGGCAUCCUGGCCCACCUAUGUUACCUUUUAGAUAACUCCUGUAUGACUUGCAUAGUUCACAUGAUUUGUAUUUCUUAACAUUUGCAUGAGCUUGAUUUCUUAUUCAUUUAUCUAUUUAUUUAUUUAGUUAUUUAUUUAUUAUAUUUGUUUAGCUAUUUGUUUAUUGUUAUCUAUUUAUUUGUUUUUACAAGAUUGCAUGUGAUCAAUUAUCUUAUCUCUUUUUAUGAUUACUAUUAAAUGUUUUUACUAAUAUGUACGUUAAUAAAUUUUUUUAGUAAGUUAUUUUGUAUUUUAUUUGGUUAUUUUCUUAAAGUGCUUUUAAUAUAUUUUUUGGUAAGUUAAGUUUUUUAAUAUAUAUAUAUAUAUUUGUUUAUACCAAUUUGAUAAGUUAUUAUUAUUAUUAUUACCUUUAAAAAGGUUUGUUAAUAUUUUUUUUAUUUUUUAUUUUUAUUUUUGAAUUAUGAUGUAUAUAAAAUAGAAAAGCACUUUCCAUAAAAGUUAAAAUACCACUUUGCAAUUAAAACGUCACUUUCCAUAUAUCCACGUACAUAUCCCAAAAGGAAAUAAAAUAUUCCAUGAAAAGGAUAGGUUGCCAUAUAAAUGGAACAAAAAGGAAUAGAAGAAGGACGGUGGGACUUUUUCUUGGGGAGAGAGACCUUUUCUUUGAGGGGAAAUCAACACACGCAAGAGUUUUUUGAAGGGAGCGGUAGAGGACUUGAAGGACUAAUUGGGCUGCCAUUUCGACACAUCAAGAGAGUAUUUUUUCGAUACAAUACAAGUUAGUUUUUGGAUUUUUGAUACAGUGUUUCUUUUUAGUUUGGGUUUUAGUUGAUUGGUUUAAUUAAUUGUUUGUGAUAAAUUCUUUUAAAUCUCGAUUUCGAACAAGCUUUUAUUUUUCUUAGAUUAAAUGUCUCUCUUUUAUGAUUGCAAUUCAUUAGUUCUAUGCUAGUUUAUUUUAAUCUACAUGAAAGUUUAAAUAAAGUUUAUAUUUUUAGUUUAAUUUUUAUUUGAAUGAGUUAUUGAUCUUAAAUCUAUUAGUUUAAUUGGACUUGUAAGGUAAAGUUUAUAUUUUUAGUUUAAUUUUAGUUUAUUUUUAAUUUGAAUGAGUUAUUGAUCUUAAAUCUAUUAGUUUAAUUGGUCUUGUAAGGUAAAGUUUAUAUUUUUUAAUUCCGAUUAGUUUAAAUUUUAGUUUAUUUUUAAUUUGAAUGAGUUAUUGAUCUUAAAUCUAUUAGUUUAAUUGAACUUGUAAGGUAAAGUUUAUAUUUUUAAUUCUGAUUAGUUUAAAUUCUAGUUUAUUUUUAACUUGAAUGAAUUAUUGAUCUUAAAUCUAUUAGUUUAAUUGGACUUGUAAGGUAAAGUUUAUAUUUUUAAUUCCGAUUAAUUUGAAUUCUAGUUUAUUUUUAAUUUGAAUGAGUUAUUGAUCUUAAAUCUAUUAGUUUAAUUGGACUUGUAAGGUAAAGUUUAUAUUUUUAAUUCCAAUUAGUUUAAAUUCUAGUUUAUUUUUUAAUUUGAAUGAGUUAUUGAUCUUAAAUCUAUUAGUUUAAUUGGACUUGUAAGGUAAAGUUUAUAUUUUUAAUUCCGAUUAGUUUAAUUUCUAGUUUAUUUUUAAUUUGAAUGAGUUAUUGAUCUUAAAUCUAUUAGUUUAAUUGGACUUGUAAGAUAAAGUUUAUAUUUUUAAUUCCGAUUAGUUUAAAUUCUAGUUUAUUUUUAAUUUGAAUGAGUUAUUGAUCUUAAAUCUAUUAAUUUAAUUGGUCCUGUAAGGUAAAUUUUAUAUUUUUAAUUCCGAUUAGUUUAAAUUCUAGUUUAUUUUUAAUUUGAAUGAGUUAUUGAUCUUAAAUCUAUUAGUUUAAUUGGUCUUAUAAGGUAAAGUUCAUAUUUUUAAUUCCGAUUAAUUUAAAUUCUAGUUUAUUUUUAAUUUGAACGUGUUAUCGAUCUUAAUUCUUUAGUUUAAUUGAUCUUGUGAGGAAAAGUUUACAUUUUUAAUUCCAAUUAGUUUAAUUCUAGUUAUUCAUGUGUUUCUUAAAAUCUAAAUGUUAGUUUUUGGAUGAUAAUUUUGUUAGUUUAUUUGAUUAGGAAGUUAUAAAUUUGUUGCCUUAAUGAUUGUUGGUCAAAUUUUUUUUAGAGCCACUGGAAACCCAUGAAGGUUGGCCUUUACUCUCACCACUUUAAUUGACAAGAUUUCCUAAAAUCUUUAUUUCGUGAUCUUUGUUUCCUUUUGUUUUGAUUGAUAUUUUGUUUUCUAUUUUUGUUAAUUUAAAAAUUAAUUUCCUUUAUUUUAAAACAAAACUCUUUUUCUAAAAAAAAAACCCUUUUAAGAGAUUUUUUUUUAAAUUCAUUUAAAGCCUCUAGAAUCAAAAUCUCUUUUCUAUUUGAAAAAUAACAUGCAACCAUUUCUUAAUCGGUUAGCAUCCUUCUCAAUUUUCAACAAAAAUUUUGGUUUUAAACAAAACGCGAAUCAAAGCUUGUGGUCCCAAAUAAAUGGGACAAUUUUAGGCUAAAUUCGUGUAUAUUAAUUUGGGGAAUUGGUGAAACCCCUACAUAAGAAAAUCUUUUUCCAAAUUUAUUUUUGCUACCACCCUACUAUUUAUUGUAAUUAUAUUUACAUUUUUUUUCUUUUUAGGAAUUGUAUACAAGAUAUGUAUGAUAAUUAAUUAUUCCGAAUUCUGAUAAUUUUUGCUAAUUAAUUAGAUAAGCAUGCUAGGAUUUAUUAUUUAUUAUUUAUUAUUUAUUAUCUAACCCCUAUGUCUUGAGGAAGCGCAUUAGGAGUUAUAUAUGCUAUCCAGGUACGUUCCCAAAAUUUCAUAAAUAUGCAUGUCAUUGCCCUUGUUUGAUGUCAUACUUGAUUGUCUCGAUGCUUGUUUGAUCAUCCUUGAUAAAAUACAUGUCGUGUGUCAUAUUUCUGAAUUAACCAUUGAUGUUUUAUGAUAGCGCUUAAGAAGUGGUUCAGGUACACACCCUAACUUUCCUUUAUUGUGAUUGAUCUCCUUAUUUAGCAUGCUACUUUUUGAAAUCACAUAACUUACUUAGGUAUCUACAAUUAAUCAAUUAAUUGCCCCAUUUCCCCAAUUUAGUCAGUAAAGACCUCUUUAGGGCUUAGAGGGGUGUUACCUCCUAGAGGUACCUUCCCAAUAAGUAACCUGAUCCCCGAACCUAGACUCGGGUUUUUUCAAAGACAUACUUUUUUCCAAAAAUUAUGGAGUCACAUUUUAGGGUUUUUCUUUCUUAUUUUAUUUUCCUUUUAAAAUAAAAAUAAAAUAAGUGGCGGCUUCAACUUUUCCAAAACUAAAUAAUUUUUCACAAAUAAAAAGCGAGUCUCGCCGAUCGAGUAAAGACGCACGUGAAAAAUGCGGGUCCACAAUAGUCUAGAUUUUGAACGUGAAAUGGGUCCAGAGGUGAGAUAAUAGCUAAACUCUAUUUCAUAAGUGUUUCGAUUUCUAAAAAAAUAGUUUUUAAGAACUGUUUUAAAAUAGCCUAUUGGGAAACUUGAAAUGUUCUUAACCUUUUUUUAUAUAUAUUUUUAAAUAUUUUUUAAAAAUAAGCUUUAUACUUUAUUUUUAACAAUUCUAGAAAUUUAUGUAAUUAUUUUUUAAAACCAUCCUCGUAAAACAAAUGAAAAUAAAUAAAAAUAACUCAAAAAUGUUAUUAAAAGGUUUUUCGCUUUACAGGUUAAAAAAAAAAAGGGUUUUGCUUUGACUCUGAAAACUCUGAAAGUUGGUAUUUACUUGCUAUGUUCCUCCGUCUUAACCAAUUUUCCAAUGGCGAUAAUCCCCAUAUUUCAACCACAUGCCUUGCUGGUCCGCUCACAGCUCUUAGUUUUGGUGCAUUUAUGAAUUUUGUAAUGUGAUGUCUUUUUGAUACCUGAAAGUGUUGUAUUAUACCCUAUACAAACCCUACCUUUGCUUUCAAUGUUCAUCUUAACCAAUUUUCCAAUGGCAAUAAUCCCUAUAUUUCAACCACAUGGCUUGCUGGCCCCACUCACAGCUGUUAGUUUUGUUGUAUUAUUGAAUUUUGUUGUUAGUGUUGCAAAAAAUAAAUAAAUAAAAACAAAAGUUGAAGGGUUGGUUGAUUUCUUUGUUUCAUAACUACAAAGAAUCUUAAUACUUGAGUGGUUAUUUUGGUUUUUAUCAAAAACUUGAAAUAUAUAUAUAUAUAAUAAUAAAAUUUUUUAAUUUUUUAUACUGAUAUAAAAAUUAAAUAAUUAAUUUUUUAUUUGUCAACUUACAAUGGUGAAUAGUUCUGUAUAUAACCUUCCAAAUUGUCUUGGUCAAUAAUUAAUUUUUUUUUUUAUUGAAUGAAGCUUUUGGAUGGGUAAUAAAAAUUAAGUCUUACCUUUCCCAAACCUAAUUUCCUCUAAAUUUCCUUCUCUUACCUUUAAAUAAAUACCACUAUUAAUAUUUUUCUACACGUUAGGGAGCGAGAAACUUCUUGUCGAGUAUACUUGAUGGGAAAGAUUAAGUCAAUGUUCUGAAAACAUCGUGAAUUUCUAAUGAGUUAAUUUCCAAUGCCCAUAGUGGAUGUGACUUGUAAAAAUCUUAAAUUUAAUAUAUAUAUAUAUACAGAAUCAUUUAGACCACUAUUUAAUAUUUUUUAAAAACCCUAAUCAAUUGUAACCAUGAAGCAAAACCCAAUGUAGUUUUGUCCCGUGACAAUAAUUUGUGAAGUACAAAUUACUAUUCAAAGUUGUUGGAAUUUUUUUAAUUUAUUGUUUAAUCAAGUCUCAAUGUUGAAUGGAAUGAGAAUAUUUCCUGGAUGCAUGAUGAAUUUUGUUGAUUAGAUGGAGAGAUAUUAGGUCAAGUAUAUAUAGAUUUUUAUUUUUGUGGGGAGAUGUUAGGUCAAGUACAUAUAGAUUUUUAUUUAUAUUUUUUAAUUUAUUUUUUUGGUUGGUGUGCUGCACUUUUCCUCUCCUAAAGUUAAGUUUUCUUUUUCUAAUACUUGUAUUUUAUAUUAUAAAGGCCUCUUAAUUUUUCUAUCUGUUUUGCACUCUACUUCUUCAUAUUCAAAGCUCAAUACUUUACCUCCAAACUUAUUAAAAGGUAACAUUUUAUCUUAAUUACAAACCACCCAUAAACUUAUAAAAGGGAUUGCCAUUUUUUACAUUUUAGUUUGAUCACUGAUUGAAGCUUAGGUAUAAUUAACUUUAAAUUUAUAAUUUUUUUAGUGAUAUUUCCAAAUGCUUUCAAAAUAUAAUAGUCAUCAAUUUUUAUUUUUUUAUCUUAGAUAAAUAUUCACAUGGUAAUUCAUGAUUUUGCAUGCAAUUGUGAGGUGUGAUAGCUUUAAAAUUGAAUAAUAGGGUUAUGUUUGUUAAUUGUUUUUUAAAACAAUUCUAAUGUUUUGUAAAACAAAUGUUUGUUUGAUAAUCUAAAAUGUUUUUAACAUGUUUUUUUUUAUAAUUUUAAAUAUGUUUUAAAAAUUAUUUUUAUAUAUAAUGUUUUAUUUUUAACCAUUCCUUAUACUCAUAUAAUUAUUUUUUAAAAUAAUUUUCAAAAAACAAUGAAAAUAUAUUCUUUAAAAAUACCUUAUUUUUUGGUUGUUAAACAUUUUUUUUUUGUUAUGAAGAACAUAAAAAUAUUUUCAAAAAAAAUUAUUAAAUAGGCUUUAGGUAUUUUUGUUGACAUUUGAAUUUUGUUUCUUCACUUAGAAAGUUCAUUAACAAGUAUAGGAGACAAAAUAUUACUCUUCAAGGAGAUGGGAGGCAAAGGGUAAAAAAAGACAAAUGUUGAAAAAGUACAGUGAAAUUUAACCCUUCAUAAAAUUAUUUGAAAAUUUGAAAUAUUUUUAACCUAUUUUCUAUUUUUUUAAAUAUUUAAAAAAAAUAAGGUUUAUGUUUUAUUUUUAAUCAUUCUCCAUAUUUAUGUAAUUAUUUUUUAAAAUAGCCCUUGUAAAACAAAUUAAUUAAAAUAACUAAAAACAAUUCAAACAUAUUAUAAAAAAUAUAUAUUAUUUUUUAUUUUAAGAAUUGAAAUUUGAUUUCUAUUUUAUUUUUUGUCAAACAUGUUUCAUGUUUUGUUCUCAAAAAUAGUUUUUAUUUUUUAUUUUUAAAACUUAUCCUUAGGGUGUGUUUGUUACAUGAUAAUAAUAACGGAAUUAAGAUAUGAAUGAGAAGAAAUUAUAAUCCAUUAUGAAAAUAUCACUAUGGUUUGAUAAAUUGGAUAUACAAUGGAUCCAUCUUCCUUAGAUUGGAUUUGUCUUCAUGUUGCCUUAAUGAUCCCCAAAGUUCAAAAAGGCAAUUACAAUUCACUAUAUUAAUUCAAAUUCUUUAACUUGACUUUGAUCCAUUCAAACUUCAAAGUCCCAUUUCUUCUUUUUCUUUGAGGCAAGAUACAAUGAAUUGACAAAAAUUUCCAUAUGAUGCUAGUCUUCUUCCACACAACAUGCCCCCACAGCUCUUACCAUUUCCACUUAUUUAGCCUAACGAAUAUGAUGAGAAAGACCAACAUGGACAGUAAAACAACACCAUUGGUUUUGGCUCUGAUAUCUUUCAUUGCAACAAGAGAGUAAUACAACCCAAAUUCGGCUUAGUGAUUAAGCCUUUUUUGCUUAAAUCUGGUAAUUAGUAAAACAUUUUAUUAAUGAAAAACCUCGUGGGAGGAAACCUGGCACAAACACAUUAGGUAAACAUGAACAUUAAUCUCACUAUUUUUUUCUACACCAUCCCACAUUUACUUGCUAUAAAUUUGUUGUUAGUGUAUGAUAUUAACUAGUCGAUAAAGUUCUAAAAUUUUUGUCAAGAAAAAAGAAAAAUUGAAUGGUUGGUUGAUUUCUUAGUUUCAUAAUUAUGAAGGGUUAAAUUUGUUUGAAUGAGUUAAUUCUUCACCUUCACAAAUACUUGUAAAUAAAAGUUAUUACAAAGAAUUAUAAUAUUAUAUCAAGAGGUACUUUGAUUAAAUCCAUUAAGGGAGCCAUGGAACAUUUUCUUUGAUUUUCAAUUACAUAUAUUAUGAGGCUGUCAAGCAUAAUUAGGAGCAACCCAAGACAUACGCUGUAAGUCAAUACCUGCUCCCAAUAAACGUGUUGGAAAAGUCAACAUCAGUCCUAGUUCCUCCAAGCUUGGGAGGCUGGGUAUACCAGGCUUUGUCUUUAAAGCUUGUUUCAGGCCCAUCUUAUCCAUACCUCCUCUUCUUUCCUUAAGCUUCACGUAAUUCACUUUCAUCGAGAUUUUUUCGCCUCUGGGUGUUUCAAGAUCUGAAACAACAUGGAUGGUAGACUGACAUUGAACUGGCUGAUCUUUCUUCUAGUGAUUAUUUCCUUCCACAACUUGGGACGGGUUUCAGGGACCUUCCAUGAGAACCAGGCAGAUCGGCGAAAGCUCACAGCGAAGAAAGGUAGAUAUUCAUUUUUAUCAGAGCUGUCAGUUGAUGUUAGUGGGUUGUAUAUGUGUUAUGUCAAAUUUUAGUCAUUCUAUUAAAUAUAUAUCAUUAAAAAUAGGUUCAAUUGUGUGUUGAACCUAAUUGGACCCAAAAAUUAAGUUUUAGUCCAUAUAAAUUCACUAUUUAAGCACAAGACCUAGAGGAAGUGUGAAAAUCAAGAAGAAUGAUAUAAAUUUUUUAUCUUUCCAAAAAUUAUCUUUAUUGACGACUAUAAAAAAAAAGUAAAAAAAAUAUUAAUUUAAACUUUAUUUUUUUUGUCAACUUCAAUAAAAUUUAAUUUAAUUUAGUGAUUUGUCCAAAAAUACACCGUUUUUCAAAAAAAUAAAAAUAAAUUAUUAUUAUUAUUAUUAUUAUUAUUUAAAAAUCAAACAUCUUAGAAAAUAUAUAUUUUUUAAAUUAUGUAUGUAAAAAAUAACUAAAAAUAUGUCAAAAUUAUUUUUUUAAAUGAUAUACUUUUUUAAGAAAAAAUUAGUUUUCUAAAAAUUAUAAUUUUUAGAAUAAUUAUUAAAAAAAAUUUAAGAUUAAAAAAUUUGUCAAAUAUUAUGAUAGAAAAUACUCAAAAUAGUUUUGAAGGGUAUAUUAGUCUCUUUAUAUUUUAUAUCAUUCCCAUCAAUUAUACAAUUUUUAUGGACCAAAUCUUAAUUUUUGGGUCCAAUUGGUCCAAAACACAAUUGUCCUUUAAAAAUAUAAACUCAAAGGCUAUAUAAUUAUUAGACAUGUACCACGUCAUGUAAUCCAUUUAGUAAUCAAGUCCUUAUAUUUAAUAAUUUGGUUAAAUUAGAUCUUGUAUCAGGCCAUAUGAUUACCAUCUUAAUUAGACAUGUUGGUAGCUUGAUUGACUUAUUUAUUCAAAAAUAAAUUUAAAAUAAGUCAAAUAUUAGUUAAAUAGUUUAAAGUUAUAAUUAAGUUAAUAUUAGUAAAUUGAACAAUUUAGGUCAAAUUCGUGUUAUAUAAAUUGAUACAAAAACUAACCAUUUAUUAAACAUAUUAUGUAGGUGAACACGAGUUCAACCUAACCGCGAUUAUACUCAACCCAUACCCAUAAAAAUUAUGUUGGGUUUAAACAGUGUUGACAAAUCAUAUCAGACUUUUUCACCCUGAAUUUUUAUACAAUUUAAUACCAUCUUGCAACACCAUGUUUUUCUUCAUAAAAUAACAAGCAAGUUGUAGUGCAAGUAAACAUAUUCAUUACAAAGUCUGUUAUUAAUUUGAAUGAGUUUGAAACUUUGUAGGGUUCAUAAGCAUCGAUUGUGGGAUAGCUCCGGGCUCCUAUUAUAUAGAUAGUGAAACCGAGAUAUAUUACACUUCGGAUGCAGGAUUCACAGAUACUGGAAUCAAUUAUAACGUUUCCCAAGAAUAUGUUUAUCAAGAUACCAAUCAACAUCUCAAGAACGUUAGAAGCUUCCCAGAAGGAGACAAGAACUGUUACACCCUAUGGCCAGGACAAGGCAAAAAUCAUAAGUAUUUGAUCAGGGCUCGGUUCUUGUAUGGGAAUUAUGAUUCCAAGAAUCAACUUCCAAUCUUUAAACUAUAUCUGGGUGUUGAUGAAUGGACCACAGUGAAUAUAAGAAAUGCCACUUCUAUUUACAGGAAGGAAAUCAUACACAUACCAAUUACAGAUUACAUAGAUGUGUGUCUGGUAAACGCCGGUUGGGGGACACCAUUCAUAUCAGUGUUAGAGCUCAGGCAGCUUAAUGAUUCGAUUUAUAGUCCAACUGAACCAGGGUCACUGAUUCUCUAUAACAGAUGGGAUUUUGGAACACAACAAGAGGAGUGGAAGUUAAUCAGGUGAGGCACUAAAACAUGUUCUUUGAAAACACCCUAUUUUUUUAUUCUCAAAACAAAAAACCAUUUUUUGUUCUUUAGAUUUUGUCAAACCAAUUUGCCCUUAAUUCUCUACGUAUAUGGAACUAACAAAUGUAAAUGUAUAUUGUGAUCAUUUAGGGAAAAAGAUGAUGUUUACGAUCGGAUUUGGAAACCAUUAACACGGUCAUCUUGGUUGUCCAUUAAUUCAUCACUUGUAAGUUCUUCCUUUAGUACCUCUGACUAUAAACUACCGGGUAUUGUCAUGGCGACUGCUGCAACACCUGCAAAUGAAAGUGAAUCCUGGCGUAUCUCUUUAGGCAUAGAUGAUGAUCCUUCUCAAAAGUUGUACAUGUACAUGCACUUUGCGGAGGUUGAGGAUCUCAAAGGCCAAAUCAGAGAAUUUACCAUCUCCGUGAACGAUGAUGAGUCAUAUGCUGGACCUCUGACUCCUGGAUACCUUUUUUCAGUCACGGUAUAUAGCAAAUAUUCCGUGAGUGGAAGUACCACAAACAAAUUGUCCUUUUCACUAGAAAGGACAAACAGAUCCACGCUUCCACCAAUUAUCAAUGCUAUGGAGGUUUACAUGAUAAAAGAAUUCGCACAAUCAUCAACUCAACAAAACGAUGGUAGGUUCUCUUCUGUCCUGCUCUGUUACGUGUAUGUUCUAAUUUAGUUAUUGAGCAGGCCUGAACAUGAUCCAGCUUUAUUUAAUUACUGUUUUGUUUUUCUUGGACAAUCACUAGUUGAUGCAAUCAAGACGGUCAAAUCAGGAUAUGCAGUGAGCAGGAACUGGCAAGGAGACCCAUGUCUCCCAAUGGAAUACCAAUGGGAUGGCCUGACUUGCAGCCACAAUACUUCCCCUGCUAUAAUCUCAUUGUGAGUUUGGCAUUUCGAACAACUUUAUAUUUGUAGGGACUUAGUGGUGAAAAUUAUUAGAAGUAAUAAAGUUGGAUACGAUUUGUCAACACAACUCGACUCCAAUAGGCUUUUCAUGGAUUUUGAUUAAAUAUUAAUUGGGUUUAAGUGAAGUUUGAUAAAUAGAUAGUUUCUAAGGUCAACCUACAUGCAGUAAUUUCAUCUGGAUUAACUCAGUUGAUAAUACUACUGAUUGACUUCAUUGAAACUUCAGGUUAUUUAACCCAUAUUUGACUCAUUUUAAAUGUCUUUGAAUAAAUAAAUCAAUUAAAUCAAAAGCAUAUUUGGUUGAAACAUAUGUCAUAUGUAUUUAUAUAAGAUAUAACUCAACCUAAUUAUUAAAUAUGAAGACUUUAUUGUUAAAUGAGUUAAAUGGGUUACACAACAUGCUAUUUGUUUAUAUUUGUCAUGUCGGAUUCAAGUUAACCUAUGUAGUAGAAUAUUUAGGAUUUGACAGGACAUGAACGUGAUCCACCAAUAUAAAUUGUCACCUGUAAAUAUUAUUAAUCUUUUUCUAAUAAAUUACACAAAGGAUUUACUAAUAUAUGCCACUCUACUUGGCAAGCAGGAACCUCUCAUCCAGCAAUUUGUCCGGGAACAUACUUACUUCAUUUUUGAGUCUCAAAUCAUUACAAAAUCUGUAAGUAUUAGCAGCCAUGAGCAGUAUUAGUCACCUAAAAAAAUGGUGGCAGCAUGAAUAUCUUCUCUAUAAUCUGAUGGAGGCCGGAGGCCUUUGCUCAAAAUGCAUGCAACUCAAAUUAUUUCAGGGAUUUAUCAUACAACAACUUGACUGGACCUGUACCAGAUUUUUUUGCAGACUUUCCAUCUUUAAAAACUCUGUAAGUAAUUAACUUUUAGUUUGGGGAUAUUUGAAUACUUUAGGAUAUAUAUGCAGGUAAUCUGAGUAUUUGAUCUUGUCAUUGCAGGAAUUUAACGGGGAACAACCUAACAGGUUCGGUUCCACAGGCUGUUACGGAUAAGUUCAAGGAUGGAACUCUGAGGUUUGCUUAUUAAUGAUCUUUUCUAGUACUUGUUCUCAAUGUUUGUUUUUAGAAUUCUAGACUUCAAUAUCCAUAUAUUGUGAUUAUAAAGUUUAUUAAUUAAUUAGUGGACGUACCAUGUUCUAUUUUAUGCAAGUUUUGGAGAAAAUCCAAAUCUUUGUCCGUCCGUCUCGUGCCAAGGACAGAAAAAGAAGAAGAAGAAGAAGAACAAGUUCUUUGUUCCUGUUCUUACAUCCAUUCUGUCUGCGAUUGUGAUCCUGGUCCUCAUAGCUGCCCUUGCAAUCAUCCGGAAGUUGACCAAGAGGAGAGAAACCAAAGGUAUUUUCUUUCUUUCACUUUCAUUUUUUUCUAAGUGAGGAUUCAACAUUUUAUUACUCCAUUUUUGUUGUGAUUUCCUUAGCUACAACCAUAGAGACGGUCACUGAACGCCCCAAAGAAGGGCCAUUGAAGUCAGGGAAUUGUGAGUUCACUUACUCUGAGGUUGUGGGUAUCACCAAUAACUUUAAUCGCCCCAUUGGUAGAGGAGGAUUUGGAGAAGUUUAUCUAGGCACUUUGGCAGAUGACACUCAGGUUGCCGUCAAGGUUCAUUCUCCAUCAUCGAAUCAAGGCCCUAAGGCAUUUCGAGCGGAGGUUAGACAAAGCAAUCCAUCCAUGGCUCUACACUACUAUAAGUUCUCCAUCUGAUGUCAAGACACUAAAAAAUUUGAAAUAUUGCAGGCGAAACUCUUGACGAGAGUUCAUCAUAAAAACUUGGUUCGUCUAAUUGGGUACUGCGAUGACAGUACAAACAUGGUUCUCAUUUAUGAAUACAUGUCCAAUGGAAACCUGCAACAGAAGUUAUCAGGUAUAUAUAUAUAUGUAUUGACGACUCUUGAUCACAGGUAUAUAACUUUAAUUGGAAGCUACUCGUGGACUUUAAUGUUUAUGCAUUUGCUGUAGCGAGAGAAGCUGCAGAUGUUUUGAACUGGAAACAGAGACUUCAAAUUGCAGUAGAUGCAGCACAUGGUCAGUAAUUAAGCGGAGAUCUUCCACAUUAUAAUUAAUGUGCAUUCAAAUAUUUCUGUAAUUUGUGAUUCUUUUCUUGCUUAAUUGUGUAGGAUUGGAGUAUCUACACAAUGGCUGUAAGCCACCAAUAGUCCACAGAGACAUGAAAUCUUCCAACAUUCUAUUAACUGAAUCACUGCAAGCCAAGAUAGCGGAUUUUGGAAUGUCCAGAGAUCUUCAAAGCUUAUCAACCGACCCAGUAGGCACACCUGGAUAUUUUGAUCCUGAGUAGGUGUUAAUUAAUGACAUUAUUCCUUACAAUUUUUACAUAAUUGCUUCCUUAUUGAUCAUGAACUAUUAAUUACUUCCUAUAUAUGCAGAUGCCAGUCCACAGGAAAUUUGAAUGAGAAGAGCGAUGUUUAUAGCUUUGGGAUUGUUUUAUUGGAGCUAAUCACCGGCCGGCGUGCAAUAAUCCCUGGGGGCAUUCAUAUAGCUGGAUGGGUUAGUCCUAUGAUUGAAAGAGGGGAUAUUCGAAGCAUUGUUGAUCCAAGGUUACAAGGAGAUUUCAACACCAAUUCUGCCUGGAAAGCAGUAGAGAUAGCCUUAGCAUGUGUAGCAUCAACAGGAAUGCAAAGGCCAGACAUGAGUCAUGUAGUGGUAGACUUGAAGGAAUGUUUGGAGACGGAGAUGGCUUCCAGGAGAAUUCAGAGGGUAGGUGGCCACAGCAUCGGAUCAGGCAAUUUCCUAGAAAAUGUUCCCUUGGUUCUUAGCACUGAAGUGGCUCCCCAUGCUAGGUAGUUGUGGUUGUUUGACGCUAGUAGUUUCAGUUAAUGUGAUAGAUUUGAUUAAUGUUAGCAUGUGGGGAAUAUGGUGCGCUCCUCUAUAUUUUGAAUUGUGUCCAUGAAAAAUUUUAUAUUGGAUAAUUGUACCAACUUUUUCUCAGACUUUAGGCUAUAUUCAAUCGAAAAAUUUGAAAAGAAAUGCCAGAUAAAGAAAAUAGAGAAAAAAAAAAGUAAAAGAAAAAAAAAGUGAAGGAAUUGAAGUCAAUAAAUUACUUUUUAUAUUUUAUUUUACUUAUUUAAUUCUUCUAUAUAAAGAUUAAAUGAUUUAAAAGCAUAUAAAUUUCUUACAAAAUUUUAAAUUAUUUUAUUUUAUAUUUUUUUUGUAAAACAAAUAAGAAAAAAUUAUUUUUCUUAACAUUUUUUUUCUUUGAUACUUUUUAGAAACGAAAUAUAAUAUCUUGGGCAUGUUAUGAUUUUUCACUAUAUUGGGCAUGUUAAGGAAUCAAUUAAAAUAAAGGAAAAAGGCAAUUAAGUUAAUAUCUAGCUCCUGUACGAGCAAGAGUUAAUUCCCAUUAUAAAAUAUCAACAACAAUUGCAAGAGUUCUCAUAACUUCAUUUAGAAUUGAAUGAAUUAUGAAAUAUUAAUAAAAAUAGUGAACACAAGGAGUAGGAAUUUCUUUAUAGAAUUUUAAAAUUUUGUAAAUUUAUUUUCAAUUAACUUUUUAUUAAAAUUAAGUUAUUUUGAUGUUUUGGUUUUGUUUUUAAGUUAAAUAUCAUGAUAAAAUUUUAUAUAUAAACUUUAUUGAGAAAGAAAAGAAUAUAUAUAUAUAUAAAGACAAACAUAUUUAAGUCAUAUUUAGGCAAUUUUUCUAAUUUAUAAUAAAUUGAUUUCAAUAUAAAAUUAAAGUAGUGUAAUUUUUUAAACAAAAAUUAUCCUAAAUUUCCCGAAAUUAGACUUAAGUAUUAUAACAAAGUUAAAAAUUGAAAAAUAAAAUAAAAAAAAGAAGUGACGUUUUUCAUUAACAUAAAGUAAAAAAAAAGUAAAUAUUUUUUUCAUUAAGAAAAAAUUAUCUUAAAAAAAAAAAAGUGAUAGUUUAAAAUGUAAAUUGUUUGUAAAAUUUCUUAAUUUUUUUCCUAUCAUCAUCAUAUUAUAUUUAAUUAAAUUAAAAAGAGGAGUGAUCUAGCACAGUUGAAAACAAGUCCACAGUAGCAUUGUAACAAGUCUCCAACGACAUUGAAAUGGGUUCUAAUCUCUUCAAAACUCCUACCACAGACAAUAGACUGGCCCAGUCCAAACCACUCCAGCCCAGCCCAUUCCCCCCAACUAGCUAGGGGGCCCAACGUGCACUGGCACGCCUGCCAGCCACGUACCACUCCAAUGCUUAAAUAAACCCUUUAGGUGAAAUGAAUUGUCCAUGUGGGAUUAUAAUUGGAAUUAUGAAAAGGCAAGGAAAAAUCCAAGGAAAUGAACCGAUGCUUAAAUAAACCUUUUUGGUGAAAUGAAUUGUGACGUGGGAUUGUAAUUGGAAUUAUGAAAAGGCAAGGAAAAAUCCAAGGAAAUGGAAAAAAUGAAGUUUUAGGGAUUUGAACCUGUCCACCCCCUCAUAUUUUCUCACCAACACAACCGACCAACCAUGCUUGAUUUGAUAAAAUGUACACAUUUUAUGUAUAUAUCUAUAUAUAUAGAUUAUUAGCAUUAAAUAUAUUAACUAUAUAUAUAAACAAAUAUUAUAAAUUAUAUACAUAUAUUAUAAAUUAAUCAUAAUAAAAUUAUUAUAAAUAAAUUAUUUUUUGUGAUUGUGACUUUUAUAUAAUAAUUAUAUAUAAAAUAAAUAUAAAUUUUUAAAUAAAAUUAUCAAAAUUUUAAAAUAAAAAAUACUUAUACAAAUUAUCAUUAUUUAUUUUAUGUCAUUAAAUACACCCAAAUUAAAUGAUAAUGCAUAACGUAUGUUUUCAAAUCAUAAACAUAGUUGUUAAAUAUCACCACCAUGUAUAUAUCAUCAUUUAGUUUAUAUUAUUUAAUAUAAUUGAAUUAAAUAGAUCAUAAUUUUAAUAUUAAAUAUAUUUUAAAUUAAACAUAUUAUAAUUAAAUAUUAUAAUAUUAUUAUGUAAUAAUAUUUAUUGUAGUUUAAUAAUAAAUAUACACUUAUAAAAUUGAUAUUUUUUAUUUAUGUAUAUGAUAUUAUCAUCAAAUAUGAUAAAUCAUAACAUACAUAUAUCAAAUUUUUCAAUAAAACAACUUUAAAAUGUUUAUUAUGUUUCUAAUUAUAUUUCUACAAGGUUUUUCUUAUAUUUUCAUGAAUUUUGAUCAAUUUUAAGUCUAUCGAUAUUUUUUUUUAGAAUAUUCACUGAUAUAUCUCCGAUAUAUUUUAUAUAUCCAUAAAAUCGAAGUACCAAUAUAUUCGUGAUUACAGAUAUUUUCAUCCUUGAUUCUAAUAGCAUUUUUUAUUUAUAAUUAACUUUUUUAUCAUAAUUUUUCAUAGUUAUUAGCAAAUGCAUAAAAUACAAGUAAUGUUGACCAUUUUCAAAAUAUUCAUAAUAUAAUUAUAAUGAUUGAGAAAAAAAUGUUGGGUGAGCAUGAAAAUAAUUAUCAAUGAAUGAUAAUGAUAGGUCAAAAUAAAUAUUAAUAGGAGUAGAUGAUUAGAACAAACAAACAUUAUUAAGAAAAGAUAACUGAAAUAAACAAUCAAUAAAUGAAAUAAUGACAAUUAAAAAAUGUAAUUAUUAACAAAAGAUGACUAGAAAGAAUAGACAUCAUUAAAAAUAAAUAAAUAAAUGACUUAAAACAAUAAUCAACUAAUGAUCCCCCAAUUGAUGAUAGCCAAAAAGAUAAAGAUGACUCUUUAGAGCAAUCAUCGUUACCAAAAAUAACUUGUGUUUCCUUGUUAUUGUUUCCUUUUUUUCCUUGUAGUAGGUGAACAUGAAUAUUAAUAGUAUUUUUUUCUAAGUAUUCCACGUUUACUUGCUAUGUUCCUGCAUCUUCAUGCAUUUUCUAAUUGCCAUUAUCUCCAGAUUUCAAUUCAACCACAUGCCUAGUUGGCCCCCUCUCAAGUGUUAGUUUGGUAUGUCAUUCAACUUUGUUGUUAGUGUAUGAUAUAGACUACUCAGUAAAAUUCUAAAAUUUUGUCAAAAAAAUAAAAUAAAAUUGAAGGAUUGGUUGAAGAACUGGUUGAUUUAUACAAAUUAGAGUUUUUUUAUUUAUAAAUUAAAAAUUAUUACCCCAACCUUCCAAAUUGUAAUUUAAUUAAUGAAAAUUUUAUUUAUACCUUUGGUUUUCUUUGUUGUCCAUUCAAUAGGUGUCAUUCAUAAAUUUAUUGGUCAAUGGGCAUAAAAAUAAAAACAAAAACACCUUAGAAAGAAUAAUUUUGAAGGAGGAAAAAUCAUUAUCCGUUAAGAUUUAUAUGAAGACGUACUUUGAUUAAAUCCAUUAAGGGAGCAAUGGAACAUUUCCUUUGAUUUUCAAUUAUAUAUAUCAUGAGGCUGUCAAGCAUAAUUAGGAGCUUUAAGUCAAUACCCUUUCCCAACAAACACGUUGGAAGUCAACAUCAGCCCUAGUUCCCUCCAAGCUUUGGAGGCUUAGUAUACAAGGCUUUGUCUUUAAAGCUUGUUUCAGGCCCAUCUUAUCCAUACCUCCUCUCAUUUCCUUGAGCUUCACAUACUACACUUUCAUCAAGAUUUUUUUGCCCCUGGGUGUUCCAAGAUCUGAAACAGGGAUGGUAGACUGACAUUGACCUGGCUGAUCUUUCUUUCUAGUGAUUAUUUCCUUCCACAGCUUGGGAUGGGUUUCAGGGACCUUCCAUGAGAACAAGUCAGAUCCGCAAAAGAUCGCGGUCAGGGAAGGUAGGCAUUCGUUUUUGUUGGUGUAAGUUUGUUUUAGUGGUUCAUGUUCCCCUCUUGUCAAAUCCUAAACAUUCUACUAAAUAUAAUUCAUUAAAAAUAUAAACUCAAAUACUACUUAAUUUUCAUAUGGUAUUUUAAGGAAAUUUCUUUAAAAAAAAUAGUAUCUAAAUUGAUUUUCUGAUUGUCUUUUUAAAAAGAGAUUAAUUAAAUAAAAUAAGAAAAUAAAAUAUUAACAGGAUGCUUAAGCGCAUAUAAGUGAGAUACUAAGAACAUUUUAGGAAAAAAUAAAUAAAAAAGUUUGGAAAAGCAUUUCAGUCUUUUAUAUGUAAUAUAAUUUUAGAAAUAGAAAAAAAUAAUUAUCUAUAUUUUUCAUCUAGAAAUUUCAGUGAUCAUAUUUAACUUUCAUGUUAAAAUUAUUUUAAAUAAAUUAUGAUAUAUUUUUUUAAAGAGAAACAUUAUUUAAAUGAGUAUCUUUGAGAAAAGAAAAAUAUUAUCCAAAUUAAUUAAAUAAAGUAAUGAAAUGAUGUGGGCACGUAUAAGUAAGAUGAUUAGUACUUUAGGGGAAAAAAAGUCUAGUCACUUAGCUCUUUUUGUAUAUAUUAUAAAUAAAAGGUUGUUGGCAAAAUGUUUUUAACCUAUUUUAUAUGUUUUAAAUAUUUAAAAGAAAAAGUUUUAUAUUUUAUUCUUAAUAAUUCUCUACGUAACUAUUUUUUAAAACCAUUGCCAUAAAAAAAUGAAAAUAAAUAAAAACAACUUGAAAAUAUUUUUAAAAAAUAUCUUAAUUUAUUCUUUUUUAAGAAUAAAAAAUUGUUCCUAUUUUUUUUUAUUAUAAAACAUAUUUUCCUGAUUUAUUUUCAAAAAUAAUUUUGACUUGUAUGGUCUGUUUGGUACAUGAGAAUAUAAACGAAAUUAAGAGAAAAAUGAAGAUUAAUUACAUUUCAAAGUCCCUUUGCUUCUUUUUCUUUAAGCCAAAAUAUGAUGAAUUGACUCAGUUUUCAUAUGAUGCUAGUCUUCUUCCAACACAACAUGGCCCCACAGCUCUUAGCAUUUCCACUUAUUUAGCCCACUGAAUAUGAUGGGAAAGACCAACUUGGAUCGGAAAACAACAUCAAUGGUUUUGGCUCCAAUAACUUUCAUUCCAACAAUUCAAAGCUAGCUUAGUAUUUUUUUUAUUUUCCACAUCACCAGCCCAAAACCUAACUUUCCCAUAAUUUUCUAUACGUUAAGGACAGUGAAACUUCCUGUUGUGUACACUUGAUGGGAAAGAUCAAAUCAAUUAUGUGAAAACUUAUGAAUUUCCAACGAAUUUCCAAUGUUGAAAAUCUUAGAUUUUACACAUUCAUUGUAAUUUAGGCCACUAUUUAAUAUUUUUCCAAAAACUCAAAUAAAUUUAUAAAUAGUUUUGUUUAUUCACCUUUAGAGUCCGUUUAAUAUUAAUUUUACGAAAAAUCUCUAAUUUUUUUAACAUUCAAAAUUUUUUAUUUUUCAAGUAUUAUAAAGAUUGAAAAUGUUUUUUAGAAUUAUUGUCAAAUCACUCUUAAUUUCUCUUUUUUUCAAUAAAAAUAAUUUAUAAAAUAUAAAUUAUUAUUCAAAGUUGUUUCUUUGUUGCAUAUUUAAAUUAUUAUACAUUGAUUCCACUAUAAAUUAAAAUACAAUUUAGUUGAAGAAUUGUUGAUUUAUACAAAUUAGAGUUUUUUUAUUUAUAAAUUAGAAAAUGCCCAAAUUGUAACUCAAUUGAUGGAAAUUUUGAAAAACUUCAAUUUUUAAAGUUUUUUCUUAGAAAAAAAAAAAAAGAAAAUUGUUGUUUGAUCAAUAUCAAGCAUAUAUGGAUUUUUAUUUAUAUCUUUUUGUUUUUUUUUUUCUGUUACGCGUUUUAGAGGUGUCAUUUAUAAAAUUAUUGGUCAAUAGGCAUGAAAAUAAAAACAAAAACACCUUAGAAAGAAUAAUUUUGAAGGAAGAAAAAUCAUCAUUCACUAAAUUUAUAUCAAGAGAUACUUUGAUUAAAUCCAUUAAGGGAGCCAUGCAAUAUUUUGUUGUUAAGAAUAAAUGGUACUAGAGAAUAUAAACGAAAUUAAGAUAAGAAUGAAAAUUAAUUACAAUUCAAUGUAGAAAAUAUCGUUCUGGUUUGAUAAAUUGGAUAUACAAUGGAUCCAUCUUCCUCAUAUUGGAUUUGCCUUCAUUUUACAUUGAUGAUCCCCAAAGUUCAAAAAUGUAAUAACAAUAGACUCUAUUAAUUCAAAGUCUUUUUCCUCCUGUGAAACUUUAGAGUUCCUUUGCUUGUUUUUCUUUGAACCAAAAUACAAUGAAUUGACUCAGUUUUCAUAUGAUGCUAGUCUUCUUACUACACAACAUGGCCCCACAGCCCUUAGCAUUUCCAAUUAUUUGGCCCACUAAAUAUGAUGGGAAAGACCAACUUGGAUAGGAAAAAAAACAUCAAUGGUCCAAGAGCUUCCAUUGCAACUUCUUAAAGCUAGCUUACUUUUUUUUUUUUUUUACAUGAAAAAUGCUAAGAUAUCAAAGUAAUAUCUAUUCAAAAUCAAAAUUUGGAUUAUUAUUAUUAUUAUUAUUAUUAUAUAUAGUGAAAUCUAAGUAAUUGAAUGAGCAUACAAACAAAUAAGAUUAAAUUAUAAAAACACAAAUAAAUGAGAUUAAAAUAAAAUAAAAUUGAAAGAUUGGUUGAAGAACCGGUUGAUUUAUACAAAUUAGUGUUUUUUUAUUUAUAAAUUAAAAAUUACUACCCCAACCUUCCAAAUUAUAAUUUAAUUAAUGAAAAUUUUGUUUAUAGGUUUUUAUUUAUACCUUUUGUUAUCUUUGUUGUGCAUUCAAUAGGUGUCAUUUAUAAAUUUAUUGGUCAAUGGGCAUGAAAAUAAAAACAAAAACACCUUAGAAAGAAUAAUUUUGAAGAAGGAAAAAUCAUUAUCCGCUAAGAUUUAUAUCAGGAUGUACUUUGAUUAAAUCCAUUAAGGGAGCCAUGGAACAUUUCCUUUAAUUUUCAAUUAUAUAUAUUAUGAGGCUGUCAAGCAUAAUUAGGAGCUGAUCAUGGCAGCCCAAGACAUACGCUUUAAGUCAAUACCCUUUCCCAACAAACACGUUGGAAGUCAACAUCAGCCCUAGUUCCUCCAAGCUUUGGAGGCUUAGUAUACAAGGCUUUGUCUUUAAAGCUUGUUUCAGGCCCAUCUUAUCCAUACCUCCUCUCAUUUCCUUGAGCUUCACUUUCGUCGAGAUUUUUUUUCCCCUGGGUAUUUCAAGAUCUGAAACAUGGAUGGUAGACUGACAUUGACCUGGCUGAUCUUUCUUUCUAGUGAUAAUUUCCUUCCACAGCUUGGGAUGGGUUUCAGGGACCUUCCAUGAGAACAAGUCAGAUCCGCAAAAGAUCGCGGUCAAGGAAGGUAGGCAUUCAUUUUUGUUGGUGUAAGUUUGUGCUAGAGGUUCAUGUUCCUGUCUUGUCAAAUCCUAAACAUUCUACUAAAUAUAAUUCAUUAAAAACUCAAAUACUGCUUAAUUUUCAUAUUAUCUUUUAAGGAAAUUUCUUUAAAAAAAAUAAUAUCUAAAUUGAUUUUCUGGUUGUCUUUUAAAAAAGAGAUUAAUUAAAUAAAAUAUUAACAAGACACAUGUAAGGCAUAUAACUGAGAUACUAAGAACAUUUUAGGAAAAAAAAAAGUCAACAAGCAUUAGAAAUAGAAAAAAAUAAUUAUCUAUAUAUAUCAUCUAGAAAUUUCAGUGAUUAUAUUUAACUUUCAUGUUAAAAUUAUUUUAAAUAAAUUAUGGUAUAAUUUUUUAAAGAGAAACAUUAUUUAAAUGAGUAUCUUUGAGAAAAGAAAAAUAUUAUCCAAAUUAAUUAAAUAAAGUAAUGAAAUGAUGUGGACAUCUAUAAGUGAGAUGAUCAGUAUUUUAGGGGAAAAAAAAGUCUAUAGACACUUAGCUCUUUUGUAUAUAUUAUAAAUAAAAGUUUGUCGGAAAACUUGAAAUGUUUUUAACAUAUUUUAUAUGUCUUUUAAUAUUUAAAAGAAAAAAUUUUAUAUUUUAUUCUUAAUAAUUCUCUACCUAAUUAUUUUUUAAAACCAUUGCUAUAAAAAAAAUGAAAAUAAAUAAAAACAACUUGAAAAUAUUUUUAAAAAAUAUCUUAAUUUAUUGUUUUUAAGAAUAAAAAAUUAUUCCUAUUUUUUAUUAUAAAACAUAUUUUCCUGAUUUAUUUUCAAAAACAGUUUUUAAUUUUGACUUGUAUGGUCUGUUGGGUACAUGAGAAUAUAAACGAAAUUAAGAGAAAAAUGAAGAUUAAUUACAUUUCAAAGUCCUUUUGCUUCUUUUUCUUUAAGCCAAAAUAUGAUGAAUUGACUCAGUUUUCAUAUGAUGCUAGUCUUCUUCCAACACAACAUGGCCCCAUAGCUCUUAGCAUUUCCACUUAUUUAGCCCACUGAAUAUGAUGGGAAAGACCAACUUGGAUAGGAAAACAACAUCAAUGGUUUUAGCUCCAAUAACUUUAAUUCAUUGCAACAAUUCAAAGCUAGCUUAGUAUUUUUUUUUCUACAUGAAAAAUGUUAAGAUAUCGUGGUCAUACCUAUCGAAAUUGAAAUUUGAAUCAUUCAAUAUAUAUAGUGAAAUCUAAAUUGAACGAUGAUACAAACAAAUAAAACUAAGAUAUAAAUAUAUAAAUAAAUAAAACUAAGAUGCAAAUAAUGAAAUUUAAAAAUAUAUAUGAUAUCCUCAUAUUGGUGAUGUUUUUUCAAUACAUAUAAAAAAAAAAGGUUGUUAUGUUUCGGCAUCUUCCUUGUCCAAUUUUCCAUUGACAAAUUUUGUACAUUAUUCAAUUUUGUUGUUAGUAUGAUAUUUGAAAAUUCAAAAAUUUUGUACACUAGUCAAUAAAAUUCGAAAAUUUUGUAAAAACUUAAAAUAAAAACAAAAAAUGAAGAGUUUGUUGAUUUCAUCAUUUCAUAAUUACAAAGAAUCAUAACACUUGAGUGAGUGAUUGGUUCUUAUUUGAAACUUGAAUAUAUAGAUUUGAAUUUGUUUCAAAUAUGAAUAGUAAUUAAUAUGAAAUAAUAACUAUACUUCAAUUUUAGACAAAAAUUAAAAUUUUGAAUUUUUUGUAUUGACAUAAAAAUUAAAUAAUUUUUUUUUUUUUUUUUGUCGAGUCACAAUGGAUGAAUGGUACUGCAUGAAACCUUCCAAAUUAAUGUAGUCAAGUUUGCAUUGUUUUAUGUCUGUAUUCAUAGUUAGAAAAUUAUUGAAUGAAGUUUUUCAAUAGGUAUCGAAAAGCAAGUCUUCAAUAUCUUAGCCAAACCCUAGUAUCCUCUAUAUCUUUCCUUUUCUUAUUUUCCACUUGAUGGGAAAGAACAAGUCAAUGAUAUUGGAACUCAUGAAUUUCUAAUGAGUUUCCAAUGUCUAUAUUGGUUAUGAAAAUAGAAUCCGUAGACUGAGAGAAUAAUUUUGAAGGAGGAGAAAUCAUUAUCCACUAAGAUUUAUAUCAAGAGGUACUUUGAUUAAAUCCAUUAAGGGAGCCAUGGAACAUUUUCUUUAAUUUUCAAUUACAUAUAUUAUGAGGCUGUCAAGAAUAAUUAGGAGCUGAUCAUAGCAACCCAAGACAUACGCUGCAAGUCAAUACCCUUUCCCAACAAACACGUUGGAAGUCAACAUCAUUCCUACUUCCUCCAAGCUUGGGAGGCUUAGUAUACAAGGCUUUGCCUAUAAAGCUCGUUUCCGCUCCACGUUAUCCGCUACAUGUUAUCCAUAUCUCUUCUUCUUUCCUUAAUCUUCACCACUUCAGUUUCAUCCAGAUUUUGUUGCCUCUUUGGUGCUUCAAGCUCUGAAACAACAUGGAUGGUGGACUAACAUUGACCUGGCUGAUCGUUCUUCUGGUUAUUAUUUCCUUGCACAACUCGAGAUGGGUUUCAGGGACCUUCCAUGAAAACCAGUCUAGUCGGCGGAAGCUCACGGCGAAGGAAGGUAGGUAUUCAUUUUUAUCGUAGGUGUCAGUUCAUGUUAGUGGUCAUAUUCGUAUCAUGUCAGGUUCUAGGCAUUCUAGUAAAUAUAUAAGUCAUUAAAAAUAUAAAAUCAAAUGCUAUAUAAUUAUUAAACAUGUAACACAUUGUGUAACUCAUUUAACAAUCAAGUUUUUAUAUUUAAUAAUUUGAUUGAGUUAGGUUUUGUUUAAGCAUAUAUGAUCACCAUCUCAAUCAAAACAUGUUCGUAGUUCAAUUGACUUAUUUAUUCAAAAUGAUAUUUAAAUAAUUUAAAGUUAUAAUUAGGUUAAUCAGUAUGUAGUAAAUUGGUGAGAUCAAAUUCGUGUUAUAUAAAUUCAUCCAAAAACUAUUUAUUUAUUAAAUGUAUUAUGUAUAUUAAUACAAGUUUAGUUUAACCGUGAUUAUACUCAUCUUAUACCCAUAAAAAGUAUAUUGGGUUCAAAUCAUGUUGACAAAUUGUAUCAAACUUUGUCGCUCCGAAUUUUUAUACAAUUUAGCACCAUCUUGCAACAACAUAUUUCUCUUCAUAAAAUAAGGAGCUAGUUGUAGUGUAGAUAAGCAUAUUCAUUACAAAGUCUGCUUAGUUUGAAUGAGUUUGAAACUUUGUAGGGUUCAUAAGCAUCGAUUGUGGGAUAGCUCCGGGCUCCUAUUAUACAGAUAGUGAAACCGAGAUAUAUUACACUUCGGAUGCAGGAUUCACAGAUACUGGAAUCAAUUAUAACGUUUCCGAAGAAUAUGUUUAUCAAAAUAACGAUCAACAUCUCAAGAACGUUAGAAGCUUCCCAGAAGGAGACAGGAACUGUUACACCUUAUGGCCAGGACAAGGCAAGAAUCAUAAGUAUUUGAUCAGGGCUCGGUUCUUGUAUGGGAAUUAUGAUUCCAAGAAUCAACUUCCAAUCUUCAAACUAUAUCUAGGUGUUGACGAAUGGACCACAGUGAAUAUAAGAAAUGUCACUUCUACUUACAGGAAGGAAAUCAUACACAUACCAAUUACAGAUUACAUAGAUGUGUGUCUGGUAAACAUCGGUUCGGGGACACCAUUCAUAUCAGUGUUAGAGCUCAAACGGCUUAAUGAUUCGAUUUAUAGUCCAGCUGAACCAGGGUCACUGAUUCUCUAUGACAGGUGGGAUUUUGGUACACAACAAGAGGAGUGGAAGUUAAUCAGGUGAGGCACUAAAACAUGUUCUUUGAAAACACCCUAUUUUUUUAUUCUCAAAACAAAAAACCAUUUUUUGUUUUUUAGAUUUUGUCAAACCAAUUUUCCCUUAAUUCUCUACGUAUAUGGAACUAACAAAUGUAAAUGUAUAUUGUGAUCAUUUAGGGAAAAAGAUGAUGUUUACGAUCGGAUUUGGAAACCAAAUACAUGGUGGUCUUGGUUGUCCAUUAAUUCAUCAGUUGUAAGUUCUUCCUUUAGUACCUCUGACUAUAAACUACCGGGUAUUGUCAUGGCGACUGCUGCAAAACCUGCAAAUGAAAGUGAAUCCUGGGGUAUCUCUUUAAGCAUAGAUGAUGAUCCUUCUCAAAAGUUGUACAUGUACAUGCACUUUGCGGAGGUUGAGGAUCACAAAGGCCAAAUCAGAGAAUUUACUGUCUCCGUGAAUGAUGAACCAUUUAGUGGGCCUGUGGCUCCUAGACUCCUUUUUUCGGACACCGUGUCUAGCAAAUAUUCCAUUAGUGGAAGUACCACAAAGAAAUUGUCCUUUUCACUAGAAAGGACAAACAGAUCCACGCUUCCGCCAAUUAUUAAUGCUAUGGAGGCUUACAUGAUAAAAGAAUUCCCACAAUCAUCAACUCAACAAAACGAUGGUAGGCUCUGUUCCGUUCUGUUAGAUAUAUAUAUUCUAACUUAGUUAAAAUGGUCCAGCUUUACUUAAUUCCUUUCCUGUUUUUCUUGGAAAAUACUAGUUGAUGCAAUCAAGAGGAUCAAAUCAGAUUACGCAGUGGGCAGGAACUGGCAAGGAGACCCAUGUCUCCCCAUGGAAUACCAAUGGGAUGGCCUCACUUGCAGCCAUAAUACUUCCCCUACUGUAAUCUCAUUGUGAGUUUGCCAUUUCGAACAACUUCAUGUUUGCAGGGAUGUACUGGUGAAAGUUAUUAGGAGUUAAAAGUUUGAUAUGAUUCAUUAACAUGACUCAAACUCACCAAGUUUUUCAUGAUUUUGGGUCAAGUAUAAUUGAGUUUAAGUAAAAUUCAUGUCGGCUUACAUAACUUGUUUAAUAAAUAAGUAGUUUUUAAGUUUAUAUAAUACGAAAUUGAUCAAAAUUGACUCAUUUAAUAAUCCUAUUGAUUAACCUCAUUAUAAAUUUUGGUUAUUUAACUCAUAAUUGAUUUAUUAUAAAUUUGUUUUUAAAUAGAUGGAUUAAUUGAGCUAAAAGCAUAUUUAGUGGAGACACAUAUCAUAUAUACUUAUACAAAGACCUAAUUCGACUUUGAUUAUUAAAUAUAAAGACUUGAUUAUUAAAUGGGUUACAUAACCUACUACUUGUUUAAUAUUUAGGUAGCAUUUGAGUUUAUGUUUUUAGCAUGAUUGUCAUGCUAGAUUUGGGUUGACCUAUGCAAUAGAAUAUUUAAGCUUUGACAUGACAUGAUCCAUCAAUAUAAAUUGCCAACCAUAAAUAUUAUAAAUCUUUUUCUAAUAAAUGACACAAAGGAUUUACUAAUAUAUGCCACUCUACCUUGCAAGCAGGAACCUCUCAUCUAGCAAUUUGUCCGGGAAUAUACUUACUUCAUUUUUGAGUCUCAAAUCAUUACAAACUCUGUAAGUAUUAGCAGCCAUGAGCAGUAUUAGUCACCUAAAAAAAUGGUGGCAGCAUGAAUAUCUUCUCUAUAAUCUUUGCUCAAAAUGCAUGCAACUCAAAUUAUUUCAUGGAUUUAUCAUACAACAACUUGACUGGACCAGUACCAGAAUUUUUUGCCGACUGGCCAUCUUUAAAAACUCUGUAAGUAAUUAACUUUUAGUUUUGGGAUAUUCGAAUACUUUAGGAUAUAUAUGCAGGUAAUCUGAGUAUUUGAUCUUGUCUUUGCAGGAAUUUAACGGGGAACAACCUAACAGGUUCGGUUCCACAGGCUGUUACGGAUAAGUUCAAGGAUGGAACUCUGAGGUUUGCUUAUUAAUGAUCUUUUCUAGUACUUGUUCUCAAUGUUUGUUUUUAGAAUUCUAGACUUCAAUAUCCAUAUAUUGUGAUUAUAAAGUUUAUUAAUUAAUUAGUGGACGUACCAUGUUCUAUGUUAUGCAAGUCUCGGAGAAAAUCCAAAUCUUUGUCCGACCGUCUCGUGCCAAGGACAGAAAAAGAAGAAGAAGAAGAACAAGUUCUUUGUUCCUGUUCUUACAUCCAUUCUGUCUGCGAUUGUGAUCCUGGUCCUCAUAGCUGCCCUUGCAAUCAUCCGGAAGUUGACCAAGAGGAGAGAAACCAAAGGUAUUUUCUUUCUUUCAGUUUCAUUUUUUUCUAAGUGAGGAUUUAACAUUUUAUUACUCCAAUAUUUUUGUUGUGAUUUCCUUAGCUACAACCAUAGAGACAGUCACUGAACGCCCCAAAGAAGGGCCAUUGAAGUCAGGGAAUUGUGAGUUCACUUACUCUGAGGUGGUGGGUAUCACCAAUAACUUUAAUCGCCCCAUUGGUAGAGGAGGAUUUGGAGAAGUUUAUUUAGGCACUUUGGCAGAUGACACACAGGUUGCCGUCAAGGUGCAUUCUCCAUCAUCAAAUCAAGGCCCUAAGGCAUUUCGAGCGGAGGUUAGACAAAGCAAUCCAUCCAUGGAUUUACAGUACUAUAAGUUCUCCAUAUGAUGUCAAGACACUAAAAAAUUUGAAAUAUUGCAGGCGAAACUCUUGACAAGAGUUCAUCAUAAAAACUUGGUUCGUCUAAUUGGGUACUGCGAUGACAGUACAAACAUGGUUCUCAUUUAUGAAUACAUGUCCAAUGGAAACCUGCAACAGAAGUUAUCAGGUAUAUAUAUAUAUGUAUUGACCACUCUUGAUCACAGGUAUAUAACUUUAAUUGGAAGCUACUCGUGGACUUUAAUGUUUAUGCAUUUUCUGUAGCGAGAGAAGCUGCAGAUGUUUUGAACUGGAAACAGAGACUUCAAAUUGCAGUAGAUGCAGCACAUGGUCAGUAAUUAAGCGGAGAUCUUCCACAUUAUAAUUAAUGUGCAUUCAAAUAUUUCUGUAAUUUGUGAUUCUUUUCUUGCUUAAUUGUGUAGGAUUGGAGUAUCUACACAAUGGCUGUAAGCCACCAAUAGUCCACAGAGACAUGAAAUCUUCCAACAUUCUAUUAACUGAAUCACUGCAAGCCAAGAUAGCUGAUUUUGGAAUGUCCAGAGAUCUUCAAAGCUUAUCAACUGACCCAGUAGGCACACCUGGAUAUUUUGAUCCUGAGUAGGUGUUAAUUAAUGACAUUAUUCCUUACAAUUUUUACAUAAUUGCUUCCUUAUUGAUCAUGAACUAUUAAUUACUUCCUAUAUAUGCAGAUGCCAGUCCACAGGAAAUUUGAAUGAGAAGAGUGAUGUUUAUAGCUUUGGGAUUGUUUUAUUGGAGCUAAUCACCGGCCGGCGUGCAAUAAUCCCUGGGGGCAUUCAUAUAGCUGGAUGGGUUAGUCCUAUGAUUGAAAGAGGGGAUAUUCGAAGCAUUGUUGAUCCAAGGUUACAAGGAGAUUUCAACACCAAUUCUGCCUGGAAAGCAGUAGAGAUAGCCUUAGCAUGUGUAGCAUCAACAGGAAUGCAAAGGCCAGACAUGAGUCAUGUAGUGGUAGACUUGAAGGAAUGUUUGGAGAGGGAGGUGGCUUCCAGGAGAAUUCAGAGGGUAGGUGGCCACAGCAUCGGAUCAGGCAAUUUCCUAGAAAAUGUUCCCUUGGUUCUUAGCACUGAAGUGGCUCCCCAUGCUAGGUAGUUGUGGUUGUUUGGCGCUAGUAGUUUCAGUUAAUGUGAUAGAUUUGAUUAAUGUUAGCAUGUGAGGAAUAUGGUGCGCUCCUCUAUAUUUUGAAUUGUGUCCAUGAAAAAUUCUAUAUUGGAUAAAUUUACCAACUUUUCCUUAGACUUUAGGCUAUAUUCGGUCCAAGAAAGUUUGAAGGAAAAUGAGAGACAAAGAAAAUAGAUAGGAAGAGUAGAAGAAAAAAAAAAGUGACGGAUUUAAAGUCAAUAAAUUAUUUUUAUAUCAUAAUUCAAACUUAUUUUACUUAUUUAACUCUUUUAUAUAAAGAUUAAAUAAUUUAAAAGCAUAUAAAUCUCUGACAAAUUGUUAUAAUAUUUUAUUUUCUUUUGUAUUUUUUUUAUGACACAAAUAUGAGAAAAUCAUUUUCUUUAAAAAAAAAUUUUGACACUUUUUAGGAACAAAAGAUAGCCAUAUUUAAAAAUCAACCCUUAGUUCAAGCUAGUACACUAUGAUAUUUCACAUGUUAAGGAAUCAAUUAAAACAAAGGAAGAAGGCAAUUAAGUUGGUAUCUAGCUCAUGUACGAGCAAGAGUUCCCAUAAUAACAUGUCAACAAUAAUUGCAUAGUGACCACAUGUAGUAGAAAUUUCAUUCAAUUUUAAAAUUUUAUAAAUCAACUUUUUAUUUAAGCUAAGUUAUUUCUAUGUUUUGGUUUUGUUUUUAAGUUAAAUAUCAUGAUAAAAUUUUAUAUAUUGAGAAAGAAAAGAAAAAUAUAUAAAAACAAAACAUAUUUAAGUCAUAUUCAAAUUUUUAUGACAAUUUAACUAAUUUAUAAUAAAUUAAUUUCAAUAUAAAAUUAAAGUAAUUUAAUUUUUUAAACAAGAAUUAUCCUAAAUUAGAGUUUAAGUAUUAUAAGAAAGUUAAAAAUUGAAAAAAAAAUGAAGAAAAGAAGUGGCGUUUUUUAUUAAGAACAAAUUAUCUUUAAAAAAAUGUGAUAGUUUAAAAUGUAAAUUGUUUGUAAAGUUUCUUAGUUAAUUUUAAAGCAACUUGGGGUGUUGAUUAAUAGCAUGUUCUUAUGCGCAUGUCCCCUAUCUACUUGUUAUGCUCCUACAUCUUCCAAUUUUCCAAUGGCAAUAAUUCUUAUAUUUAUAUCAUACUUUGUGGCACUAUAAGAGAAGUAAGAUAUAGUCACAGAGUUUUAGGAGAGCUUAGUAAAAUCCAUAGCUAAUAAGUAUAUAUAACCUCAUAGCUAGUUGAGUCGUAGUGAAUAGAAUGUAAUGUUUUGAGCUAUAGGAAAAGGAAUUUCCCAUGAGGCAUAUGGUUGUAGGAUUAAUUGGACCACAACAAAUGAGUAAGCAUAUGGUUGCAAGCUUGAUUGAAAGUAGCUAUAAAAUCCCUUAUUGCCGCAUAACAAAGAUGGUUGCUAUCAUAUAAGAUCUCCCUAUUGUCAUGGAACACAGGUGGCCACUACUAAAUUAUUGCCUUUGUCACUACCAUAAUAUUACUAUAUAAGCUACCCUACAUUUCUCUCCUACUCCCCUUGCCAAACCCAUUUCUAUUCACCCUCAUUAUUGUAGGGAAUAUUUGUACUUCUUCAUUCUGUGUCCCUAGAUCUUGUAGGGUGCAAGUAUUUGUCCUAGGUUUUUCUAAAUCUAUCAAAGCAAAAACAUACGACUACAAAAACCAUAUUAAGAUAAAUAAAUAAAAAUUAGAGAAAAAAAAACUCAUACUUGAAUUUAGAUGUUCCCAAAUCAAUUCUUGGUAAUAAAGAACAUAUUUGAAGGUUUCAUACACCCAAGAUCUUCUACUCAAUGACUCAUCAAAAAAGUGUUGGAAACCAUAACCUCUAAGGGGUAUUUAUAGGGUUCCUCAAGUGAGCUUAAGUAACUUGAGUCCACCAAAAUUUAGGUCACUUAAUCCAGCCCAGAAUGGGUCAUAAUUUAUUAACUAACCACAAAAGAUCAUCUAUUUAAUCAAUUAAUACAAUCCAGAUACUUUGUUCACUAUCAUUUAUACAACUUUACGUAAUUAUCAAAAUAUCCUUAUGCAUAAGAGUGAACCUAGAGUCAAUCUAACCCUCAUAAUUUGUGUUAUCAUGAUAUUAAAACUUUUCACAUAAAAAAAUUAACUCAUCCUUUCAAAAGACAAAUUUAGUGCAAUGUCCUUUAAAAUGAUGAGCUUAAUAUAAAAAUGAAUUUAUAUUUUGAAAAAAAAAAAUGAGUUCACUAAAUAAAACAAGUGGUGAAAAAUGUGUUUUUGUGUCAUUUAAUUUAUUGUUAUUGUGAUAUUGACUAGUCAAUAAAUUAUAAAAUCUUUGAAAAAAAAAAAAGGGCUGGUUGAUUUCUUCUUUUCAUAAUCAUCAAGAGUUUCAUUGAAUAAGUUUGCUUACCUUCACAAAUUGUUUUAGAUAAAAAUUAUUACAAGGAAUGAUAAUGAUUAAGUGGAUGUUUUGUUUGGUUUUUAUAACAUUUGGAGAUAUUUGAAUUUGUUUCAAAUAUAGAUAAAAAGUAAUAUAAAAUGAUCAUUACACUUCAAUUUUAGACAAAAUAAAAUAAAAUUUAUAAUUUACAUAAAAUUAAUUAAUAAUUAAUUUUUGUUUCUUUUGGUGUAAAAAGCUUAGUCAAAAGAAAAGAAUCAAGACAAUUUUUGUUCAUUUAUUCAUACUAGCCAUACAACACAUGUGAUGCACAUGGGUGAUGUUUGAGUAAUGUUUGAUCUCUUAUUCAUAUACUAUAUUUAUUUACCUUUUUAUAGUAAUGUGAACCUUUAGUUUUUUUAGUCAUCAUAACUCUUAGAGAUCAAAUUCAAAAAAUAUUAAUAAUUUAGUAUUUCAAAAAAAAAAAUCCUUUUGAAUUUAUUAAUUAGGAUAUAUAAAAGUUAAAACCUACAUAUAAAUUUAUUUUUACAAUCAUCUAGAAUUUCCUACCUAUUAUUACUUAAAAUAAUUUUUUUUAACUCAAAAUUUAUUUAUAUUCAUCCAGAAAAUUUCUACAUAUUAUUACUUUAAAUAAAUUAUUUUAACUCAAAAAUUAUUAGAAUAACUUUAACAAAUAUGUAGAAUAUCGUUUAAUGUCUAAUUUUUUUUAAUAAUAAUUAUUUUUAUCAUUAUGUUGCAUAAGAGCUCACAUUUGAAGUUGUUGUUUAUACAUAUCUUUUAAUUUUUUGCAAAUCACUAUUGCAAUAAAUUCCCUAAAUUGAAAUUUAUAAUGGUAAUUAUAAAAAUCAAAUUUCUAAAAUACUAAUAAUUUAAUGUUUAAUAAGUAAAAGUGAUUGGUAUCACAUCUUUUUGUCAUUCACAAUGAAAUGACUUUUUUAAUAAAAAAAAUUGAAUUCUCAUUUUAUUUAUUAAUAAUAAUUAUUUGAAAAAAUAGAUUAACAAAUCAUAUUGGUGAAACCCCUCAAAUGGAAAGGGAUAACAUUAUGAAGAUAAUUGCUAACUGAAUUAUUUUUUGCCAAAAAAAUAAUUUAAAUUAAAUUUAGGAGUUGUCUAUAUACAUUCAUUAUUAAAAAAUAGUAGUUUGAUAAUAAAUUUUUUGCUUUAAAUAAUUUAUAAAUAAAUUAAAAUAAUAUAUAAAAUAACAUAUUAAAAAUACAAUAUCCAUUAAUAAAUAAUAUUUGUAAACACAUAAAUCCAAUAUAUUAUAUUAAUAGAUAAUAUAUUAUAAUAAUAUAAGAUUAUCUUUUACGUUUAUUUAAAUUAUUUAUAUUUUUAUAAUUAAGUAAUUAACUUAGUUUUUAUACCUAUCUUAUAGGUUAUGUAUUUUUUUAAUAAUUUAAAUAUUUAAUUUUACCACUGUUUCAUUUAAAUUAUUUAAAUUGAAAUUUAUUAUUAUGAUAAAUGUAGAUAUGUAGAUCAAUUUAAUUUUUGAAAAUUAAUUUUAAUUUUCAAUUUUUAAUAGAUAGUAUCUUUCCUAUUGUAAAAUUAAAUUUUAAUACUUAAUAAUAUGAUAAAUCUUGAGGGGUAGAAUAUCAACAAUUUAUUUUUAUUUUAAAUUAUUUAAAUUUUUUUUUUUUUUAAUAGAUAGUAUUCAUAGUAUCGUAAAUUAAUUAAUUUUUAAUACUUAGUAAUGAUGUAUAUAAUAUUGUAUCCCUUUCUAUUUCUAUCAUAUCGCUUCGUAUUUGUUGUUCCCAAAUGAUUUUUUUAAUAUAAUUUAACUUUAAAUUAUUUUUAAUUAUUAGUUUAUAAUAAUUAAUAAUGACAGGUGUCAUAUCUCUUUAUUAUUCUCAUUAAAAUGACUUUUUAAUAUAAAAAAUUGAAUUAUCAUUUUAUUUAUCACUUUUUUCAUACUUCCUAUUAAAUGUAUUAGCCCAAGAGUUCUCUUAAUCAUGUUUUGAUGAUAACAUACUAUAGUUAAGUUGUUAAUCAUUUUGAAUUAUAAUUUUAUGUUUUAGUUUGGAAAUUCAAAAGGAUAUCUAAGAAAAUCAUCAAAUGACCAAUUGAAUGCAAGAUCGAGGUAUAUAUAAAACUUUACAAUCUUAUGAAACAUAUGUAAGAUGAAUGCAUUGGUGCACUUAGGAUUUUCAUAUCUUUCAUGCAUAUUUUAAAACUUGAUUUAUGCAUUAAAGUUAAAUUUUCAUUAAAAUUCAAGUUUUCUUAUACAAACCUUAGGCAAAUUGUUUUAAAUUUAACUUAUUAGUACUCUUAAAGACCUUGCUUAAGUAUCAAAAGUGAAAUGAAUAAAAAAAAAGUUUUCAAGCCAAAAUAUAGGUUGACCACGGUUGAGGACUAGUUGAGGAAUGUAAAAAAUCUUCUCAUUUCCAGUAGCUAUGCAUUCCCAAUCGAUGGGAAAAUCCUCCCGAUCAACGUCCGAUUCAAGCCCAAUGAUCACCUGUCAUGCAUUUACUACCUAAUAGCUAGUCAACUAAUCAACACCCAACUUGACCAAUGGAGACUACAUUUUAGCAUUUUUGGCUCCCGAAACUAGAAACUUAUAAAUUGAAAGUUCUACUUUAUUUAUGAGCAAAAGACCUGCAUUUAAUUGUUUAACUACCUAUUCUUCACUCAAAAGUUUUUAUUCUCUCUUUGCUGCAUUGAAUCCUCAAUUGCAUACUCUUUAGUACACCCUUGUCAUUCCUCCUAGCAUUUCAAUCAUAUUUGAGCCUUUAUUAUGCUUAGUUAAGAGAUUUCCAUCUAUAUUUUGAGUGUUUUCGUGAGUGUUAAAAGUUUCAAGUGAGUAGAGACUUGAAGGAUUGUGUAAGAGCCCAAUAGAGUCGGAAUCUAAGUGUAAGGGAAACUUGGUUGAAGCUUCAAGGAUGGUAGAACUCUCACUCAAGUAGGAGCUUGAGGAGAGUGAACGUAGGUAAGAGGUGUCUAACCACUAUAAAAGUUGUGUUUGCUCUCUCUAACUCUAUCUCUUUAUAUUUGUACUUUUUUUACUUGAAUUUUUAUGCUUGAAAAAAAAAAUUAAACACCCAAUUCACCCCCCUCAUAGGACUCUUUCAUUCAAGGCCUUUGUGAGAAGCUCAAAGACCCCAAAAAAAUGACUUGAUCCUAUUGUAAGAUUGCUUGGCAAAUUUCAAUUCUAGAUUUAAUGGGCCAAUAUCCUUGGCUGAUAAUUGCAUAGAUGAUUUUGUGAUCUUUCCCAUGGGCGCCCAGCCCACAUGCGUGGCCACUUCAAUGCACACAUGUCAUGUUUCUACUUGUUCCUCAUCAUAGCAUCUUCAAUACUUGGCAACCCCCACAUUACGAUGAGAGUUCAAGUUUUGUAAUCCUCACACAAUUUGCCCAUCAACCAUUGUAGGGACCCCUCCCCCUGAUGACACGUGGCGCGCCUCGCUGUCCGGAGCAACUCCAUCCGGACUCCCCAAAGAGGGACACGUGGCGCGCUCCCCUAUUCGGACUCCCUCAGGGAGAGGUACACGGCACUCACAAACAUCACAUCCGGACGACCGCCAUAUCACAUCCGGACGACCAACAUAUCCUAUCCGGAUAUGUUUGUCCGGAUCGUUGCCUAAAGUAAAGCAUGCCUUACUACGUCAUUCCGACAACCUUCCACAGCCCACAUUCUGCCGCCUGCAAGCGAAAGGACGGGAAUGAUGGCAAGUCACUUCUCACGAUCUCUGACAGCCGCCCGUAGGGUGAUGAUGGCCCUGUUACCACCUAAAGGCAUCAUGACGAGCCAAAAAGUCUUCCCAUCAUUAAAGAGGGAGGCAGAGCUUUUGACACUAUAUAUAUGGACCUUCACACAAGGAGGAAGGUAAGCUUGCUAUACCUAGUAAAAGGUCAAUUGCUUAAUCUCUCUAACCAUGGCUGACAAAACCAUCGAAGGGUGUGUCCGGACACCUUUUGCAGGGACGACUGAACCAGAACUCUAUCUUGGUUGAAAGUGUGCGUCCAUUUGGCAACUACGUGGAUUAUCGGGACGCAAGGCCUCAACAACCAUUCCAUCCCAGAAUCACACACACAUGGAUUUAACUUGCAGGGCCACUUUGCAAUAUUAGGAGUCACUAAGCAUCUCGUUUGGAGCUGGUAAAAUGAUGUAGUUCAUUUACAGAUCUGUACCAGCAUAAACUAUGCAUGCAUGUUCACUCUUCGUACUCACCAUAUAACAUCCACAAUGGCAGCUUCAUAUAUGUUCAAGAUUCAUGGGUUUUGAAAAGUUCGGAAUUGCUUCCACAAUCCACACCCAAAAGAGUUGUUGCAAGAAAUAUGACAUGGCUCAUCUACCAACAGGUAUGGGUGACUAAGGCAAAGACAGAGGGCAACUCCAAGGGUCUCACACUCAUAUGAAGCUGUUAGGCAUCAAUGAUGGCAAUGAGAACCCAAAUGGAACUUGUUUCCAAGACUUUGGGAAGAAUCACUAUUAUUUGGAGAAUGUUUUGAGCGUUUUUCUCCCCAUUGUCCAUGCUUAUAGCGGUCCAGAUGACUCCAUCAGUGACAAGGAAACUUUGAGUAAAGUUGAAUGUGGUAUUUCAUGCACAGUAGAAUCUCUGAGCCGUACCGACUAGAUCAUUUUCAAGCUAUCUGGGAAAGUAACAGUCCACUUAGAUUGGGAGACCUUAAGGGGAGAUUCCUAAUGAUCAAUGGAGUGAUUCAAAGCCUUGAACAUACAUCUAUGAGUUGUAUAUAUAGGCUCUUAUGAUGAGUGUAAGAGGAGAAUUGUCUAGUUGGUAAGCCAUUGUCAACAUAGCUAGUUUGAAGGCAACAAUUGGCAAGGGUCAAAAGUAUGGACGGAGUAUUGCUACACAUUAUGAUGAGGGUUCAUAUACCAUAAUCUCCAAACAAUCUACCAUUUAACCUGUCACAAGCUCCUCUCCACCCUGGGCCCAUCCUUAAGCGUUCCCACUUUGCAUGGUCACCUUUGGCAUGCAAUCCCAAUGGCCACUCGUCCUCUUCUUGUUUCUUGGUAUUUUAAUGUUAAAAAUAAUUUUCCAAACUCCAGUUUUCAAAUAGUUUUCAAAUAAUUUUCAAAUUCCUAAUUCUCAAAUAAUUUCAACUUUUUAACUUUUUAUUCUUCUUUAGUGUUUAGGAUCAGCAAAAAUCUCAUAUUUCAAUAAAAUUUGCUGCUAUUUUCUUUUCGGCAAACAUCAUUUUUUUUAGGGAGAAUUAUGUUUUGGGGGUAGAUAGGCCCCCAAAUUAACAAAAGGUCCAUGUAACUCUUCAAAUUGAGCCCAAGACCCAUUGAAAGUAUGGAAAUUGAGUUGAAGGAUAUCAUCCUUCAGUAUUCCCAAAAAUGCCCUUCGUUGAUUUUGAGAAAAAAAUUAAUAUUUUUUAAAAAUACUUUUAUUUAAUUUAAUAUUUUUAAAAAAUAUUUUUAUGUAAUUUAAUAUUUUUUAAAAUAAAUUUAUUUAAUUUAAUAUUUUUUAAAAUAAAUUUAUUUAAUUUAAUAUUUAAAAAAAUAUUUAAUUUAAUAUUUUUUUAAAUACUUUAAUUUAAUGUAAUAUUUUUGAAAAAAAAUUAAUUUAAUAUUUUUGAAAAAAAAUUAAUUUAAUAUUUUUGAAAAAAAAUUAAUUUAAUUUAAUAUUUAAAAAAAUAUUUAAUUUAAUAUUUUUGAAAACUACUUUUAUUUAAUUUAGUAUUUUUGAAAAAAAAAUUAUUGAAAAAAAAUUAUUUAACUUAAUUUUAUAAUAUAUUUUAUAUAUAUUCUUAAAGGGUAUAUUUGUCCAUUACUAUUUCAUAUCCUUCAACUCAAUUUGAAGAGUUAUAUGGACCUUUUGUUAAUUUGGGGGCCCAUCUACCCCCAAAAGAUAAUUCUCCCUUUUUUUUAUAAAAAAAAAAAAGUUUUAAAAUAAGCAUGAAUCAAAUUCUAUAAUUCUAAAUUAUGGAGUUUAUGGAAUCAAUUCAUGCAAAAAUAAAUUGGCCUUCGGUAGGAGUCCAACAUCAUUGAUGUUUUCUUUUAAAAAAUAAAUUUAAGUGAAGCUCAAUAUCCAUCAGUGAUGGUUUCUUGCUCUGUUUAGUGACACAUGUGAUAUAUUUUGUACUUAUUAUUGUGCACUAACCCCAUUUCAUAAUAGGGCAUUAUUGCUUGCUGCUGAGGUAUGCUCGCACUCUCUCUUUGACUAUUUCUUUAUGCAUGUUUUGGCUUUCAAUGUGUGAUCAUUUUAGUAUCCAUUAAUUUCCUCACCAAUUGCUAUACUUUCUUCAUCCUAUUUAGUAGAGACCCAUUUUAGGGGCUUAGAGGGGUGUUACGGUCUUCACCAUACCUUCCUAAUAAGUAACCUGACCCCCGAGCCCAGAUUUGGUUUUUCACAGACCAUCUUUUCCAAAUAAGGAAUCACACUUAGGGUUUUCUUUCUUAUUUUGUUUUCCCUUUAAAAAUAAAACAAAAAUAAGUGAAAACUCCAAGUUAUUUUCUAAAAAUAAAUAAAUAAAUCCUUGUUUCAAAUAAAAAAACAAGUUCGUCAUUGAGUGGGAGCGCAUGCGUAGAAAUACAGGGUCCACAUAUAUAUAUAUAUAUGAAUGGUCAUUCACAAGUUACCAUAUUGGUACAAAAUCUUAUAUUUUAUAACACUCUCCCUUGGAUGAUCAUAAGAAUAUGGUAACUAUCUUAUUAAAAACCUUGUCAAUAAAACCUAGUGGGACAAAACUAGACGAAAGGAAAAAAAGUGCAGCAUAUCCAUAUUAGCUUUCUCCCUCUCUUGUAGACAUGAUUAUGAUUUCUUCAACUCUUCAAUUAGUAACGCCUUUGUGAAUAGAUCUACUAGAUUAUUUCAUGAUCGAAUCUGCUGAACACCAAUUUCACUUUUCUCCUAAAGCUUGUGGGUAUAUAUGAAUUUAGGGAAGAUAUGCUUAGUUCUAUCACCUUUUAUGAAUCCUCAUUUAAUUUGUGCAAUAUAAACAGCAUUAUCUUCAUGUGAUUUGGUUGCACUACCUCUGAUGGAUGUUUCUUGAAUAUGUUGAAUUAUUGACCUUAGUCAUACACAUUCACGACUUGUUUCAUGAAAUGCAAGGAUUUCUAAAUGAUUUGAAGAGGUGGCCACCAUUGUUUGCUUGAUUGAUUUCCAAGAUAUUGUUGUACCACCAUAAGUAAAAACAUAUCUCGUUUAGGAUAGUACUUUAUGGGGAUCUUAAAGAUAUCCUACAUCUACAUAAUCAAUUGCGAUUUUGAUUCUUUUGAAUAACAUAAACCCAUGUCACUUGCUCCACAAAGGUAUCACAAUAUAUGUUUAAUCUCAUUCUAAUGUCUUCUAGUUGGGGCAAAAUUGUAUCUUGUUAGCAAGUUAACAAAAAAUGUUAUGUCUAGUCUAGUACAAUCUUCAAGAUAUAUUAGUGCACCAAUUCCACCGAGAUAUGGUACUUCUGGACCAAACAAUUCUUCAUUUUUUUCUUUAGGACGAACCGUGUCUUUAUUCACUUCAAGUGAAUGAACAACCAUGGGGGAAUUAAGUGGAUGCAAUUUUUCCAUAUAAAAUCGUUUUAAUACUUUCUCUAUAUAUGCCAAUUGAUGGACUAAUAUGUCACUUGAAUAAUGCUCGAUCUGCAAGCCAAUACAAUAUUUUGUUUUUCCCAAAUCUUUUAUUUCAAAUUUCUUCUUUAAAUAAUUGGAUGUUUUGUGAGCUCUUCAGGAGUCCCUAUAAGGUUCAAAUCAUCCACAUAUACUGCAAUUAUUAUAAGCCUAGUUCUGAUUUCUUAAUAAAAACACAUGCAAAUUGGAUUAUUCAUAUAUCAUUCUUUUAACAUAUACUCACUCAAAAGAUUAUACCACAUGCGUCUGGAUUGCUUUAAUUUGUAUAGAGAUCUUUGUAAUUUGAUUGAGUACAUGUUGCGAGGCUUUGGAUUAGUUGCUUCAGGCAAUUUGAAUCCUUCAAGGAUUUUCAUAUCUAUGUCAGUAUUUAUAGACCUAUAUAAAUAGGAUGUAAGAACAUCCAUGAAACACAUAUCUAGUCCUUCAGAGACCGUUAAACUUAUUAAGUAUCAAAAUGUGAUUGCGUCCAUUACAGGGAAAUAAGUUUCCUCAUAAUCUAUACCAGGUCUUUGAGAAAAAUCUUGAGCAACAAGUCGUGCUUUAUAUCUUAUGACUUCAUCAUUCUCAUUUCGCUUUCUCAUAAAGACCUAUUUAUAUUUAACAGGCUUUAUGUUUCCAAGUGUUUGAACUAUAGGUCCAAAUACAUCUCAUUUUGCUAAUGAGUUUAGCUUUAUUUUGAUUUCUUCUUUCCAUUUUGGCCAAUCAUUCAUUUUUCGACAUUCAUCCAUAGUUUUUGGUUCUUGAUCUUCAACAUUUCUCAUGAUGUCCAUAACCACUUAGAAUGCAAAUAUAUUGUCUAUAAUAAUGUCACUACGAUUCUUUGUUUCUACCAUGUGACUCAUUAAGAUCUCUUUAGUUCUAGAUACCGGUAUUUAAUUAAUUUUUGCCUCUUCAGGGGAUAACUGUUUAUUAAGUUGGGUUUCAUCAUUUAACCCUUUCAUAUUUGUGAACUCUUCAAGAGUGUCAAGCUUUUCAUAUGUUAUUCAUUUUCUUUUUCUAGGAACUGAAUCCUUUGAGCUAAUAAGUCUAUCACGCUUCAAGCGUGUUUUAAAUUCACUUGCUAUGGAAUUCUUCAAUUGUCCUUAAGGACAUCAAUAUGUGUCAGAGUAUUCACAGUCGGUACAUGUGACUUUGUUACUUUCUUUAUAUUUGUGAAAGCAUUAGGUAACUAAUUUGCAAAUCCUUACAAAUGAAUAAUCCUUUGAACUUUUAGUUCAUACUGCCUUGCAUGGGGAUAAAGAUGAGACAAAGAGCGUAUAUACCAUCUAAUAUCUCGUCAUUCUUCUGGAAUUGAAUUCACUCCCCCUAAUGGCGAGUUAAACUAGAAAUUUGCUUAACAUGUAAUAAUAUCCUUCAAAGGUCUAAAUAUAUUAGUCACUAGUUAAGAAAAUUUUAGUUCUUUAAUGAAUAUCCAUUUGACAUUUCAAGAAGUUGAUGCAUCAUUGUUCACCCUAUGAGACCAAGUUGGUCAUCUCAAAUUAUUCUAGAUUUAAUAGAAUGUCAUGGAUUCGCAUGCCACUAGUGACAUAAUAUGAGCUUGUCUGGAGCUUUCAAUUAGGUUUUCAUAAAUUCAUAUAUGUAGUAAUGACAUCAAUCAACUAGUGACAUAGUAUGAGCUUGUCUGGAGCUUUCAAUCAGGUUUUCAUAAAUUCAUAUAUGUAGUAAUGACAUCAAUCAACUAGUGACAUAGUAUGAGCUUGUCUGGAGCUUUCAAUCAGGUUUUCAUAAAUUCAUAUAUGUAGUAAUGACAUCAAUCAACUAGUGACAUAAUAUGAGCUCUUCAAGAGCUUUCAAUUAAGUUUCCAUAAAUUGAUAUGGUAAUGACAUCAAUUAUUACAUAUUGUACAAUUAAUGAAACAAACAUCUUAAAAUAUACUUACUAAGCAAUCAAUAUUAUGUGUAAAUAAAACAUAAACAUGUAUUAGCAAAUAUGAUAUGUACUAUAUUAGAUAAAAAGACACAGCAUAAGAAAGUAAAGAACCUACAUGAGAAUAAACAUUUUUUCUUCACCAAUCAAUUGUUGAUUCUAAUUGCUAUAUUUGAUUGAAUAUUGACUCAUUUUUUACCUUGAUCUAUGACAUGCAUGCAAUUAUUCUGCACUUGUCCACUAACUUUGUUUCCACGAUAACGCAUUAUUGAUUCGCUGCUCACAUACGUAUCCUAUAUAUUCUCUUAUUUGUGUGGUCACUUUCCAUUGCGUACUUUAGCCAUAGUAUACCUUUGAUCAUUCCUUGGUAUCCAUUGAUUUCCUAAUCAAAGGUCAUGUCUACUGUAACUUAUUUAGUAGAAAUCUAAUCUUUGGACUUAAAGGGGUAUUAUAACUUAUCACCGUACCUUUUUAAUAGGUAACCUAACCCCCGAACCUAAAUUUGGUUUUCACAAACAUGUAUUUCCUUUUUAGGAGUCAUACUUAAUGUUUUUAUUUAUUAUUUUAUUUUCCCUUUAAAAAUAAAUUACGACUCCAAAACUUUUCAAAAAGAAUCUCAAUUUUUCACAAAUAAAAAGUGAGUCGCGUCAUCGAAUAGAAACGCACAUGAAAAACGUGAGUCCACAAAUAGAUUCAUAAUAAUACCAUAAAUAACUUUGAUAAUGUUAGUCUUAAAACUUUACUAUGAUUUUUUUUUUCUUAACUUCUCUCAAGUCUCAAGAACUUAUCAGAACAUUUAGAAAUAAAACAUUUCACACAAGUUUUCUCUAUCUAAUAUAAUGAAUUCUUUAUAAUUAUUAAUUAUGUUUUGAAGCAUUAUAUCUUUCUAUUUACUAGAAUAAAAAUACAUAUCAUUAUAACUUAUUAAAAUUCAUUUUUAAAUACUAAAGUAGUUUUCUUACAUCAAUAAGAAAAUAUUUUUAAUCUUUUUAAUAUUUAAAAAUAAUUCUUUUUAAUAAAAAAUUUUAAAUUCUGAAAAAAAAAAAAAAAAAAAAGAAGGUGGGGGGUCUUAAUAAUCAAAGCUGUAAGUUGGUGCACAGUGCUGCAUAACCUUACAAAUUGACUUGGUGAAGUCUGCGUUCUCGUGUCUCCUGCGCCUACCACCUAUUAAUAAUUUCCCCUACAUUUCCUUCCUGACAGUUGUAAGUUUGUGAGCCAUAACCUUCCAAAUUGACUUCGUCAAGUCUGCAUUUUCUCUUGUCCCUACAACCAUCACCUAUUAAUAAUCUCCCCUACAUUUCCUUCUCGAAUCUCCAAGUACAAUAAUUUUCUUUACGUUAAGGACAGUGAAACUUCCUGUUGUGUACACUUGAUGGGAAAGAUGAAAUCAAUUACGUGAAAACUUAUGAAUUUCCAACGAAUUUCCAAUGUUGAAAAUCUUAGAUUUUACACAUUCAUUGUAAUUUAGGCCACUAUUUAAUAUUUUUCAAAAACUCAAAUAAAUUUAUAAGUAGUUUUGUUUAUUCACCUUUAGAGUCCGUUUAAUAUUAAUUUUAUGAAAAGUAUCUAAUUUUUAAAAAAAAUUGAAAAUUUUUAUUUUUCAAAUAUUAUAAAGAUUGAAAACAUUUUUCAAAAUUAUUGUCAGACUCACUCUUAAUUUCUUUUUUUUUAUAAAAAUAAUUUAUAAAGUAUAAAUUAUUAUUUAAAGUUGUGUGUUUGUUGCAUAUUUAAAUUAUUAUACAUUGAUUCCACUUUAAAUUAAAAUACAAUUUAGUUGAAGAAUUGGUUGAUUUAUGCAAAUUAGAGUUUUUUAUUUAUAAAUUAGAAAAUGCCCAAAUUGUAAAUCAAUUGAUGGAAAUUUUGAAAAACUUCAAUUUUUGAAGGUUUUUCUUAGAAAAAAAAAAGAAAAUUAUUGUUUGAUCAAAUCAAGCAUAUAUGGGUUUUUAUUAAUAUCUUUUUGUUUUUUUUUUGUUGCGCAUUUUAGAGGUGUCAUUUAUAAAAUUAUUGGUCAACGGACAUGAAAAUAAAAACAAAAACACCUUAGAAAGAAUAAUUUUGAAGGAGGAAAAAUCAUCAUCCACUAAAUUCAUAUCAAGAGAUACUUUGAUUAAAUCCAUUAAGGGAGCCAUGCAAUAUUUUGUUGUCAAGAAUAAUUGGUACAUGAGAAUAUAAAUGAAAUUAAGAUAAGAAUGAAAAUUAAUUACAAUUCCAUGUAGAAAAUAUCGUUGUGGUUUGAUAAAUUGGAUAUACAAUGGAUCCAUCUUCCUCAUAUUGGAUUUGUCUUCAUUUUACAUUGAUGAUCCCCAAAGUUCAAAAAUGCAAUAACAAUAGACUCUAUUAAUUCAAAGUCUUUUUCCUCCUGUGAAACUUUAGAGUUCCUUUGCUUGUUUUUCUUUGAACCAAAAUACAAUGAAUUGACUCAGUUUUCAUAUGAUGCUAGUCUUCUUACAACACAACAUGGCCCCACAGCCCUUAGCAUUUCCAAUUAUUUGGCCCACUGAAUAUGAUGGGAAAGACCAACUUGGAUAGGAAAAGAAACAUCAAUGGUCCAAGAGCUUCCAUUGCAACUUCUUAAAGCUAGCUUACUUUUUUUUUUUUUACAUGAAAAAUGCUAAGAUAUCAAAGUGAUAUCUAUUCAAAAUCAAAAUUUGGAUUAUAUAUAUAUAUAUAUAUAUAUAGUGAAAUCUAAGUAAUUGAAUGAGCAUACAAACAAAUAAGAUUAAAUUAUAAAAACACAAAUAAAUGAGAUUAAAAUAAAAUAAAAUUGAAAGAUUGGUUGAAGAACCGGUUGAUUUAUACAAAUUAGAGUUUUUUUUAUUUAUAAAUUAAAAAUUACUACCCCAACCUUCCAAAUUAUAAUUUAAUUAAUGAAAAUUUUGUUUAUAGGUUUUUAUUUAUACCUUUUGUUAUCUUUGUUGUGCAUUCAAUAGGUGUCAUUUAUAAAUUUAUUGGUCAAUGGGCAUGAAAAUAAAAACAAAAACACCUUAGAAAGAAUAAUUUUGAAGAAGGAAAAAUCAUUAUCCGCUAAGAUUUAUAUCAAGAUGUACUUUGAUUAAAUCCAUUAAGGGAGCCAUGGAACAUUUCCUUUAAUUUUCAAUUAUAUAUAUUAUGAGGCUGUCAAGCAUAAUUAGGAGCUGAUCAUGGCAGCCCAAGACAUACGCUUUAAGUCAAUACCCUUUCCCAACAAACACGUUGGAAGUCAACAUCAGCCCUAGUUCCUCCAAGCUUUGGAGGCUUAGUAUACAAGGCUUUGUCUUUAAAGCUUGUUUCAGGCCCAUCUUAUCCAUACCUCCUCUCAUUUCCUUGAGCUUCACAUACUUCACUUUCGUCGAGAUUUUUUUGCCCCUGGGUAUUUCAAGAUCUGAAACAUGGAUGGUAGACUGACAUUGACCUGGCUGAUCUUUCUUUCUAGUGAUUUUUUCCUUCCACAGCUUGGGAUGGGUUUCAGGGACCAUCCAUGAGAACCAGUCAGAUCCGCAAAAGCUCACGGUCAGGGAAGGUAGGCAUUCAUUUUUGUUAGAGGUGUAAGUUUGUAUUAGUGGUCAUGUUCCUGCCCUGUUAAAUCCUAAGCAUUUUACUAAAUAUAUAGUUUAUUAAAAACAUAAACUCAAAUACUAUUUAAUUUUCUAAUUGUCUUUUAAGGAAAUUUUUUUAAGAAAAAUAAUUAAAAAAAGUGGUAAGUUAAAAAUAAGUUAAAAUGUAAAUUGUUUUUAAAAUUUCUUAAUUUUGAAAGCAACUUGGGGUGUUGAUUAAUAUCAUGCUCCUAUACGCAUAUCCCACAUUUUCUUGCAACGUUCCCAUGCUUUCAACCAGACCAUGCUGGCCCUCACAGCUGUUGGUUUGGUGCGUCAGUCAAUUCGGGUUUUUGUUUACUAAUUCAUAUAACCUUCCAAAUUGACUUGGUCAGGUUUGCAUUGACUUGGUCAAGUCUACGUUGACUUGUCAACUACAACCAUCACCAUUAAUAAUUUCCCCUGUAUAUCUUGUCCCCCAAUAAAUACAACUGUUAAUAAUUUUCUACACAUUAGGGGCUGGGAACAUAUAGAGAACAGUUUUAUAAAUUCUGAAUAAUUUAGGUCACUGAUUAGUCUUUUUUAAAACAACACUAAUCAAUUUAAUUAUAACAACAAAAGAAACCAGCAAAGUUUGGUAAUUGGGGUGGCAAAUAUUGAUAUGAUUUUUCAUGCUACUAGAUCCUAACAUACUUUUUAUAAAUUUGAAUAGUAUAUAAUCAUAUUUAAGUUAAAUUUCUAUUGACUUGCAUAUCCCGUGUAAUAAAUAGAUUAAUUCUAUUAUCAACCUACAUAAUAUGAGUGUAACUUGAAAUAUUUGACUCGUUUUAAGUUAAUAAAUAUAUCAAUUGAAUCAUAAACAUAUCAAGUUAAAAGAUUAAUCAUAUAAUAUUUGAAUUUAUAUUUUUAACACGAUUUUAACAUUUUUGGCUCCAGAAACUAGAAACUUAUAAAUUGAAAGCUCUACUUUAUUUAUGAGCAAGAGACCUGCAUUUAAUUGUUUAACUACCUAUUCUUCACUCAAAAGUUUUUAUUAUCUCUUUGUUGCAUUGAAUCCUCACUUGCAUACUCUUUAGUACACCCUUGUCAUUCCUCCUAGUAUUUCAAUUAUAUUUGAGCCUUUAUUAAGCUAAGUUAAGAGAUUUCCAUCUAUAUUUUGAGUGUUUUCGUGAGUGUUAAAAGUUUCAAGUGAGUAGAGAUUUGAAGGAUUGUGUAAGAGCCCAUUAAAGUCAGAAUCUAAGUGUAAAGACAUUGGAAACUUGGUUAAAGCUUCAAGAAUGGUAGAACCUUCACUCAGUUAGGAGCUUGAGGAAAGUGAACGUAGGCAAGGGGUGUUGAACCACUAUAAACGUUGUGUUUGCUCUCUUUAACUCUAUCUCUUUAUAUUUGUACUUCUUUUACUUGAAUUUUUGUGUUUGAAAAAAAAAAUUAAACACCCAAUUCGCCCCUCUCAUGGGACUCUCUCAUUCAAGGCCUUUGUGAGAAGCUCAAAGACCCCAAAAAAUGACCUGAUCCUAUUGCAAGAUUGCUUGACAAAUUUCGGUUCCAGAUUUAUUGGGCCAAGAUCCUUGGCUGCUAAUUGCAUAGAUGAUUUUGUGAUAUUUCCCAUGAGCGCACAGCCCACAUGCGUGGCCACUUCAAUGCACACAUGUCAUGUUUCUGCUUGUUCCUCAUCAUAGCAUCUUCAAUACUUGGCAGCCCCCACAUUACGAUGAGAGUUCAAGUUUUGUAAUCCUCACACAAUUUGCCCAUCAGCCAUUCCAUCCAGGAAUCGCACACACAUGGGUCCAACUUGCAGGGCCACUUUGCAAUAUUAGGAGUCAUUGGGCAUCUCGUUUGGAGCUAGUAAAAUGAUGUAGUUCCUUUGUAGAUCCGUACCAACAUAAACUAUGCAUGGAUGUUCACUCUUUGUACUCACCAUAUAACACACACGGGUUUAAGAUUCAUAGGUUUUGAAAAGUUCGGAAUUGCUUCCGCAGUCCACACCCAGAAAAGUUGUUGCAAGAAACAUGACAUGGCUCAUCUACUAGCAGGUAUGGGUGACUAAGGCAAAGAUAGAGGUGUGGACCCCGCAUUUCGGCUCAUGCGUUUUCCACUCGAUGGCGAGCUCGAUUUUUAUUUUGAAAAAUUGAUUUUAUUCAUUGUUUGAAAAAUGACUUGGAGUCGCCACUUAUUUUUGUUUUAUUUUUAAAGGGUAAACAAAAUAAGAAAGAAAAACCCUAAGUGUGACUCAUUGUUUUGGAAAAUGUGGUUUGUAAAAAACCGGAUUGGGUUCGGGGGUCAGGUUACUUAUUAGGAAGGUACGGUAAAGACCGUAGCACCCCUCUAAGUCCCUAAAGUCGGGUCUCUACUAAUAAAAUGAAGCUGACGUGGUAAUUGAUGAGGAAAACAAUGAAUACUCGGAACUAUCAUGCACAUAUGAGAAUCAAAACAUGUAUAUAAAGAUACCAAAAUGAGAAUAGAUGCGUACCUGGGCGACGAACCACAAGGCGCUAUCAAGAAGUGAGGUUAGUGCACAAUUAAGGAAUAUUUUCGAGCAUGCUAUAAAGCAGAAUAACAUCAAUCAUGCAUGGCAAUUAAAUCAACCAAUCAAUCAAUCAAUUAUACAGUCACUUAUGUAGGGCCCCCACCAAAGCCCUAUUUUAUUUUGCAUGAGUUAAUCCCAUAAAUUCCAUUAUUCGGAACUAUGGAAUUUAAAUUCAUGUUUAUUUUAAAACAUUUGUAAAUCAUGAAAAAUCCGAAAGUGGCUCGCCGAAAAGAAAAUGGCGACCAAAUUUUAUUGAAAAACGAAUUCUUGGAACCUAAACGAAAAAAACUAAAGAUGAAAAAUUAAAGAAAUGAAAUUAUUUGAAAAAAAAAAGGAAUUUGAAAAAUAAAAAUAAAAAAAUAUUUGCAAACUAGAGUUUAGGAAUCUAUUUUAAAAACAAAAGAUGAAGAAAUAAAAAAAAAAUAAAUAAAUAAAUAAAUUAUUUGAUAAAAAUAGAGUUUGGAAAAUUAAAACAAAGAAAACUAGAAUCCGAGAAGUUAUGUGGAAAAUUAGAGUGUAGGGAAUCAUUUCCAAAAUUCAUAUAAGAAUAAAUAAUAAUAAAAAGAAAAAAAACACGCGACUUAAGGUGGCAUGGCCACUAUGCAAGGCUUUCACCAAUGAGGUUUGAUUGGGUAUUUGUUUGGAGAGAUUUCCAUUGCUCCCAUGACAUCCAUCUAAAGAAAAUUCAUCAUGGAACUUCGGGAAAUUAAAAUCCUCAAUUGCUGGUUUCAAGAAUAGUUGCAGCGGACAUAGAGCAAUUCCUGCAGGCGUCUCAAACGCACCCAUAGCACAGCAUCAUAUAGUCCAUGCAGCGCCAGACUGCCUCUGCGGUUUCCGACAGAGAACCUGUCCAAGGCCUCCCCAUCUUCGCUGCUACCUGUGUCGCCGCUACUGAUUCAUGCCCAAUUGGUGUAUCAGCUGAUUCAUGUCCAGCUGGUGCUCCUUGGAUGAGGGAGUAAUCAACAAAAUUUAUAACCUAUUACACCAUAUACUAGGGUAGCAAAGAAAAAGCUAAUAUAGCAUAGCGGCUCUAGGAUCGUUCACUAGGAAGGAUUAGCAAAUUAUCAAUGAUACCAAUUCAAAGUGAAUUGGUAUUGUUUCAUUUCAAGGUUAGCUCAAGAAAUAAAACACAAACUUUGAUUGGUAAAGAUUUAGAUUUAAACUAACUACAAAACAAGUAAUGGAAAUUACUUAGGAAGAAAAACAUUCCUUGGAGGGUCAGGUUCACUAGGGAGGUUCCUCAUGCAAAAAACAUAGCUCCGGUCAGUUGGUUCAUUUCCUCGCGUUAGAGAAUUAACACUUGGUCAAUUCUCUAACCGGUGUUGUACAGAUACAUCCUUUAAUUAGAUUUCAGCUUUAAUUCUCUCACUGAUGCAACUUGUAAUGGUUCAAACCUCUCACUAAGCCUUAACCAUUCAAGGUGAUCUUUAACCUUGGACUUCCCUUCUCAAUCUCGCAAGAGAUAACUAAUGGAUGUCUCCUUGGAGUCCAAAAGCUUACCAAGUGUUGGCAAUUCCAGAAAAUCCUACUUUCAAGUCACCUCCCAGAGGCUCACAAGGGGUAAACUAGUGCAUCUCCAUGGUCGGAGAUCACUUGCCUUACCAAGUGUUGGCCCAGGUGACUCAAAGGUGUUUUAAGUUAACUAAAAACAUAGAAAUCACUAAAGGAUUUCACUUCCUCUUCAUUGAUGGCUGAAACCACAAAGCUUUGCAUUCUUGCACUUGGAACCUUUCCCGGCAACCUUAGCUCCAAGGAACUAAAGGUUUAGUUACUCAUUCUCCGGGGAAACUUCCUUAGAGAGUGCAUAACUUAGUAAAAGAUGAAAAAUACAAAGUGAGAAGGUAAGGUCCUGAACUUUACUUGCUUUCCAAUUUUUACAAAAAGGUUCCUCUCUGAGAACAGGCUCUCGAGAGCUAUUUAUAUGAACAUAAUACAAAACUAAUUAUUACAUGGAUAUUUACUCUUUUUCCUAACUUAAAAGCUAAGGAAUCUUGUAAUUGGUGGCUUACAAGGAGAAUUUUGGGAUUUAGACAACAAAAAUCUGAUGAAAAAUAUCUCCCAAUGUCGGUAACAAAUAUCGGGGCGCACUAAGGAUCAUUUCGCAAGUGAAAAUGAUGUCUGCGAGAUUUCGCAGACACACAAAAAGGGCUGCGAAAUCACUUCGCAGCAAAAUGCUAAUCUCGCAGUGCUGCGAAGUUGGCUUUCAUCUUGAGGUGCUCAGCUUCCAACGUGUCGCAUAUAUCAGGAAACUUCAGGAGGAAUUCCACAGCACUGUGCAAAAAGGCUGCGAAAUCAUUUCGCAACAAAAGGGUGAUUUCGCAACACUUUGCAAAAUGCUUCCUUCAGCUUAGAGUGAUUGACUUGCAAUGGCUAUAACUUCUUCGUUUCAACUCUGAAUUGCGCACCAUUUGAAGCAUUGGAUUUUUUACUUCCUGAGCUUCGAAACGACAUAUAGCAUGUAUAAAUUGGACUUCAGAAAGUGCUCCAAAAGUGGCUGACACGAUUGUCAUCAAGAAUAUGCUUCAUGGCAGAUUAUCUUUGCUUCUUCUCCUUGCAUUCAGGAUUUACUCAUGGCAAAGGACUUCAAAGCUUUGGUUCUUCAUGUUUCUGAGCUUCCAAUUGUUUUGCCCAAGAUUCCACAAAACUCUCCUCAAUCUCGGAUUGCUUUGGUGAUCAAAAGGCUAUCAAAACACCAAAACUUAACACAAUUUGAUUAGAAUUGAUUGCAAGGGUCCUUAACAUGUUAAUUGGGUUAAAAGGCAAUAACUACUACUCAAAAGUGUUUAAAAGAGUUAAUUACAAGCUAUCAAAUAGCACUUUUUGAGUAGUAAUCAGCUACAGCAGCCUCAGCCACCGCCGCCAUCACUCCUCUUUUCAGACGAAUUAUGGACCUCGGCAACCCUGCUUCUCUUCGAUGAACUUCGCAGAGGAGCUGCCUUUGCCGCCACCUCUCCUACCAAUGCUUCAAGACAUCCCUCACUCUCGCAGUCGUAUUCGUUCAGGUCAUUGUAGAAGCCUCCAACUGACGAAGAUGCAGUUCCGGCACCCACGGGAAAAUAAACGCCGGUAGAGGAGUUCAUUACGUCCCCUGUAAAGCAUACAAAGCUGAACCCCGAAUGAUGGGAAUUUCAUCCCCAAGGAACCUGUAGAAGCUAAAAAACUCACGGAGUUCCAUUUCUGGCGUGCAAGUAGAAUGUGUCCUUUGUCUCUGGCAUGGGCCUUCAUUUCUACAACGAAAACUCCAAAAUUCCCAUUACCAAAUCUCCAACAGAGAGAGCCGCCUCAACAGUAAAAUUAUUAAAUCUGAGAUAUCUCGUGCCAGAUCCUGAAGUAGCAUCCUCAUGUCUCUUGGUUGGGUUUAGGUAGUCCCUCAAGCGGAGAACACGUUCCUUACUCCCUUAUGCAGAGGUGAGGAAACUGACAUGCCUCAUGGACGAAGUACCAGGAACAGAGGAAAGCAAACAAACAAAACACCAAUAAUCGGAGCAAAACAAAACCAUACGACGUCUCAUUUCAUAUGAUAAUCAAUGAGCUCAUAUGAGGGUGGAUGAAAUCAAACAAGUAUCAAAUAAAAGAUAGAACACUAUUAUAGAAAUAUCUCAUGAAGAAAGCAAAACAGGAGCAAACCAAACUACAGAAAAACCAUUAGCAAAAUAUCUACAUGCUCACUCCCAGUCAAUAAACAUCAUCUAAGAAUCAGCGGAAACAAAAUAGAAAAACAUACCAGUAGAAACUAAUAGGGAAACCACGAUGAAGGUACCUGAGAAUGCUCCCUCCUUACUCUGUCUCCGAUGUCUUCUUCCAACCAAAAGAUGUUCUCUAAAAUAUCUCUCUGCCUCCCCGAAAAGUAACACCGUCAAACCUCUAUGUUCUCUCUUUCCAGAAAAUGCUCUGUUCUUCUUAGCUUGCUUCUCCUAAGCUCUAGGAAUCUCCCCCCUCCAAAAGCUCUCUACUGCUCCCUUCAAAAAGCCUCUCCCUUAACAGAAAAAGAUCCCUUCAAAAUAUCUCUCCCAGCCGGCAGAAAAAGCACCCUUCUCCUCAAAAUAUAUCCUCAACGGCCAGCAGAAGGAUCCCUACAGCUGGCAAAACGGUCUGUAGCUUUUGCAGAUUCCUUGGACACGUGUCAUCUUCUCAUCGGCUUCCUAAUCCCACUAACCUGAUUCUUCAACAGCCAAUGAAGAGGCAACACGUGGCCUCCUGAAGCUGCUCCACCUGGCCAAAUAAGUAUCAUAAAAAAUGACCCUACGUGGGGGUCUACAAGAGGGCAACUUCGAGGGUCUCACACUCAUGUGAAGCUGUUAGGCAUCAAUGAUGGCAAUGAGAACCCAAAUGAAACUUGUUUACAAGACUUUGGGGAGAAUCACUAUUAUUUGGAGAAUGUUUUGAGCGUUUUUCUUCCCAUUUUCCAUGCUUAUAGCGGUCUAGAUGACUCCAUUAGUGACAAGGAAACUUUGAGUAAAGUUGAAGGUGGUAUUUCAUGCACAGUAGAAGCUCAGAGCCACACCGACUAGAUUAUUUUCAAGCUGUCUAGGAAAGUAACAGUCUGCUUAGAUUGGGAGACCUUAAGGGGAGAUUCCUAAUGAUCAAUGGAGUGAUUCAAAGCCUUGAACAUACAUCUAUGAGUUGUAUAUACAAGCUCUUAUAAUGAGUGUAAGAGGAGAAUUGUCUAGUUGGUAAGCCAUUGUUGACAUAGCUAGUUUGAAGGCAACAAUUGGCAGGGGUCAGAAGUAUGGAUUGAGUAUUUCUACACAUUAUGAUGAGGGUUCAGAUGCCAUAAUCUCCAAACAGUCUACCAUUUAACCUGUCAUAGGCUUCUCUCUACCCUGGGCCCAUCCUUAAGCCUUCUCACUUUGCAUGGUCACCUUUGGCAUGCAAUCCCAAUGACCACUUGUCCUCUUCUUGUUUCUUGGUAUUUUAAUGUUAAAAAUAAUUUUCCAAACUCCAAUUUUCAAGUAAUUUUCAGAUUUCUAAUUCUCAAAUAAUUUCAAAUUUUUAACUUUUUAUUCUUCAUUAGUGUUUAAGAUCACUAACAAUCCCAUCUUUCAAUAAAAUUUGCUGUUAUUUUCAUUCCAACAAGCAUCAUCUCAUAUCUUCAUCAUUUUUUUUUGAAAAAAAAAAUGUUUUAAAAUAAGCCUGAAUCAAAUUCUAUGAUUCCAAAUGAUGGAGUUUAUGGAAUUAAUUCAUGCAAAAAUAAAUUGGCCUUUGGUGGGGGUCCAACAUCAUUGAUGUUUUCUUUAAAAAAAUAAAUUUGAGUGAAGUGCAAUAUCCAUCAGUGAUGGUUUCUUACUCUGUUUAAUGACACAUGUGAUAUAUUUUGUACUUAUUAUUGUGUACUAACCCCAUUUCAUGAUAGGACAUUAUUGUUUGCUGCUGAGGUACGCUCGCACUCUCACUUUGACUAUUUAUUUAUGCAUGUUUUGGCUUCUAGUGUGUGAUCAUUUUGGUAUCCAUUAAUUUCCUCACUAAUUGCUAUACUUUCUUCAUCUUAUUUAGUAGAGACCCAUUUUAGGGGCUUAGAGGGGUGCUACGGUCUUCACCAUACCUUCCUAAUAAGUAACCUGACCCUCGAGCCUAGAUUUGGUUUUUCAUAGACCAUCUUUUCCAAAUAAGGAAUCACACUUAGGGUUUUCUUUCUUUUUUUUUUUUCCCUUUAAAAAUAAAACAAAAAUAAGUGGCGACUCCAAAUCAUUUUCUAAAAAUAAAAAUAAAAUAAUAAAAUAAUAAUAAUAAUAAAUCCUUGUUUCAAAUAAAAAAACAAGUUCGUCAUCGAGUGGGAGCGCAUGCAUAGAAAUACGGGGUCCACAUAUAUAUGAAUGUUCAUUCACAAAUUAACAUAGUGGUAGAGAAUCUCAUAUUUUAUAACACUCUCCAUUGGAUGAUCAUAAGGAUAUAGUAACUGCCUUAUUAAAAACCUUGUCAAUAAAACCUAGUGGGACAAAACUAGACGAAAGGAAAAAAAGUGCAACAUAUCCAUAUUAGCUUUCUCCCUCUCUUGUAGACAUAAUUAUGAUUUCUUCAACUCUUCAAUUAGUAACGCCUUUGUGAAUCGAUCUACUAGAUUAUUUCAUGAUCGAAUCUGCUGAACACCAAUUUCACUUUUCUCCUAGAGCUUGUGGGUAUAUAUGAAUUGAGGAGAGAUAUGCUUAGUUCUAUCACCUUUUAUGAAUCUUCAUUUAAUUUGUGCAAUAUAAGCAACAUUAUUUUCAUGUAAUUUGGUUACACUACCUCUGAUGGAUGUUUCUUGAAUAUGUUGAAUCAUUGACCUUAGUCAUACACAUUCACAACUUGUUUCAUGAAAUGCAAGGAUUUCUAAAUGAUUUGAAGAAGUGGCUACCAUUGUUUUCUUGAUUGAUCUCCAAGAUAUUGUUGUACCACCAUAAGUAAAAAUAUAUCUCAUUUAGGAUAGUACUUUAUGGGGAUCUUAAAGAUAUCCUACAUCUACAUAAUCAAUUGCGAUUUUGAUUCUUUUGAAUAACAUAAACCCAUGUCACUUGCUCCACAAAGGUAUCGCAAUAUUGUUUAAUCUUAUUCUAAUGCCUUCUAGUUGGGGCAAAAUUGUAUCUUGUUAACAAGUUAGCAAAAAAUGUUAUGUCUGGUCUAGUACAAUUUGCAAGAUAUAUUAGUGCACCAAUUGCACCGAGAUAUGGUACUUCUGGACCAAACAAUUCUUCAUUUUUUUCUUUAGGACGAAACAUAUCUUUAUUCACUUCAAGUGAAUGAACAACCAUAGGGGAAUUAAGUGGAUGUGAUUUAUCCAUAUAAAAUCGUUUUAAUACUUUUUCUAUAUAUGUCAAUUGAUGGACUAAUAUGUCACUUGAAUAAUGCUCGAUCUGCAAGCCAAUACAAUAUUUGUUUUUCCCAAAUAUUUCAUUUCAAAUUCCUUCUUUAAAUAAUUGGAUGUUUUUGUGAGCUCUUCAGGAGUCCCUAUAAAGUUCAAAUCAUCCACAUAUACUGCAAUUAUUGUAAGCCUAGUUUCUGAUUUCUUGAUAAAAACACAUAUGCAAAUUGGAUUAUUCAUAUAUCCUUCUUUUAACAGAUACUCAUUCAAAAUAUUAUACCACAUGCAUCUGGAUUGAUUUAAUUUGUAUAGAGAUCUUUGUAAUUUGAUUGAGUACAUGUUUCGAGGCUUUGGAUUAGUUGCUUCAGGCAAUUUGAGUCCUUCAAGGAUUUUCAUAUCUAUGUCAGUAUUUAUAGACCUAUAUAAAUAGGAUGUAACAACAUCCAUGAAAUGCAUAUCUAGUCCUUCAGAUACCAUUAAACUUAUUAAGUAUCAAAAUGUGAUUACAUCCAUUACAGGGGAAUAAGUUUCCUUAUAAUCUAUACCAGGUCUUUGAGAAAAAUCUUGAGCAACAAGUCGUGCUUUAUAUCUUAUGAUUUCGUCAUUCUCAUUUCGCUUUCUCAUAAAGACUCAUUUAUAUUUAAUAGGCUUUAUGUUUCCAAGUGUUUGAACUAUAGGUCCAAAUACAUCUCAUUUUGCUAAUGAGUUUAGCUUUAUUUUGAUUUCUUCUUUCCAUUUUGGCCAAUCAUUCAUUUUUCGACAUUCAUCCAUAGUUUGUGGUUCUUGAUCUUCAACAUUUCUCAUGAUGUCCAUAACCACUUAGAAUGCAAAUAUAUUGUCUAUAAUAAUGUCACUACGAUUCUUUGUUUCUACUGUGUGACUCAUUGAGAUCUCUUUAGUUCUAGAUACCGGUAUUUGAUUAAUUUUUGCCUCUUCAAGGGCUAACUAUUUAUUAAGUUGGGUUCCAUCAUUUGACCCUUUCAUAUUUGUGAACUCUUCAAGAGUGCCAAGCUUUUCAUAUGUUAUUCAUUUUCUUUUUCUAGGAACUGAAUCCUUUGAGCUAAUAGGUCUACCACGCUUCAAGCGUGUUUUAGAUUCACUUGCUAUGAAAUUCUUCAAUUGUCCUUCAAAGACAUCAAUAUGUGUCAGAGUAUUCACAGUCGGUCCAUGUGACUUUGUUACUUUCUUUAUAUUUGUGAAAGCAUUAGGUAACUAAUUUGCAAAUCCUUACAAAUGAAUAAUCCUUUGAACUUUUAGUUCAUACUGCCUUGCACGAGGAUAAAGAUGAGACAAAGAGCGUAUAUACCAUCUAAUAUCUCGUCAUUCUUCUAGAAUUGAAUUCCCUCCCCCUAAUGGCGGGUUGAACUAGAAAUUUGCUUAACAUGUAAUAAUAUCCUUCAAAGGUUUAAAUAUAUUAGUCACUAGUUAAGAAAAUUUUAGUUAUUUAAUGAAUAUCCAUUUGACAUUUCAAGGAGUUGAUGCAUCAUUGUUCAACCUAUGAGACCAAGUUGGUCAUCUCAAAUUAUUCUAGAUUUAAUAGAAUGUCAUGGAUUUGCAUGCCACUAGUGACAUAGUAUGAGCUUGUCUGGAGCUUUCAAUCAGGUUUUCAUAAAUUCAUAUAUGUAGUAAUGACAUCAAUCAACUAGGGACAUAGUAUGAGCUUGUCUGGAGCUUUCAAUCAGGUUUUCAUAAAUUCAUAUAUGUAGUAAUGACAUCAAUCAACUAGUGGCAGUAUGAGAUCAAGAGCUUUCAAUUAAGUUUCCAUAAGUUGAUAUGGUAAUGACAUCAAUUAUUACAUAUUGUACAAUUAAUGAAACAAACAUCUUAAAAUAUACUUAUUAAGCAAUCAAUAUUAUGUGUAAAUAAAACAUAAACAUGUAUUAGCAAAUAUGAUAUGUAAUAUAUUUAGGGGUCUCCAAAAAGCCCGCGGCCCGCGGCCCGCAGGCCCGCCCGUAGGCCCGCCCAUUUAAAAAAAAAAACUACAAAAAUAAAAAGUAUUAAAAAAAAUAUUCAUUUCAAAAUUUUAUUCAUUGAAUGUAUAAUUACAUUUAAAAAUGUGGGAAAAUUUUACAUCACUACAAAAUAAAUACAUCCCAACUAGGUUGGCACCUAUUUAUUUGUCAAUCAUUUGUAUUUUUCAACCACAAAAAAUAAAAAUAAAAAUAUAAUAUACAUUUAGUCAUUAUUUUCUGGCGGUGAUGGCGAACUAUCAUGCAUCCAUGAAGAUCUUGAUAGUUUUAAAGAUUCCAUAUCGACAAGCAUCUCUGUUUCUCGAAUGGAAUCGUACAUCCUUUUUUCUGCAAUUUCCCAAUCUUUUACACAUAUCCCUGCUUCAAUAAUGUCUGGCGCUAAGUUGCAUCGUUUUUUACUAAUAACUCUUCCACCUGCACUAAAAGCAGCUUCUGAUGCAACUGUACUCACAGGAACUGUUAGUACAUCACGAGCAAUUAUAGAAAGCAUAGGAUAUUUGUGUUGAUGUGAUUUCCACCAUAUUAAAAUAUCAAAAUCUUCUUGAUCUUCAAAUGGAAUUAUAUCAGUAUUAAGAUAUUUAUCUAAAUCAGAUGUAUUAUUUGGAGAACUAUUUGUUGUCUUUUUUCGACUUUUCAACAUUUCUAGAGCUCCUUUAUAAAAAGAUGAGGAAUUUGUAGAUGUAGGUGGUAAUUUAUUAGUAUUAAUAUCAUUACCAUAUUUUUCUUUAUAAUAGUUAUAUAAAUUAUAUAAUAAUGAAUUUAUUUCAUUUUUAAUUUCUUCAAUUUUUAUUUGGUCAUUAAAAUAAAUAAUUGUUAACCAUUCAUCCAAAGCUUCAAAUUUCAAUCUAGGGUCCACAAUUAAAGCAAUAUAAAAAAUUAAAGGUAUUUCUCCCCAAUAUUUUCUAAAUUUUUCUAUCAUUGCAAAUAUUGUAUCAUUAAAUAUUUCAAAACUUAAAUAUUUUUUAAGUACAAUAAAAAUAUUAGUUAUUUGCAUAAUAACUCGAUUUGAAGUUGGAUAAUAUACACCACAAAAAAUGUUUGUCGAAGUAUCAAAAAUUUCAAAAAGAUCUCUUAAAAGAUCCGCAACAUGCCAAUCAUAAUCACUUAAUGCAUAAAUAUCUGCUUCACAAUCAUUGUUAAGUAAUUGUAUUUCAUAUAAUUCGACUACUUUUCUAUAUUUUGUAAUAUUUUGUAAAAGUUUAUAUGUGGAAUUCCAUCUAAUGGCCAUAUCCAAAUUUAUAUUUUUUCUUUUCAUAUUUAACAUUUUGCAACAAUCAAAAAAUAAUUCAUGUUUUGCUUGAGAACUAUUAAUACUAUAUGCAAUGCCUCUAAUUUUUUCCAAUGUAUCAUCAACAUUUUUUAAUCCAUCCUUUACAAUUAAAUUUAAAAUAUGUGCACAACAACGCACAUGAAAUAUUUUAGCAUGAUCAUCUUUUACUUGCCAAUAUAGUUUUAGUCUAUUUAUUGCUGCAUCAUUAUUAGCAGCAUUAUCUAAUGUUACUGUCAAUAUUUUAUCACGAAGGCCUAAAUUUAUAAUUUCUUCAUUUAUUAAAGCUGCUAUAUUUUUACCACUAUGUGGAGCAUUUAUUAAUUUAAAUGAAAUUAUUCUUUUAUUUAAUUUCCAUUCAUUAUCAAUGUAAUGAGCAGUUAUACAUAAAAAACCAGUGUGAGUUAAAGAUGUCCAAAUAUCAGAUGUUAAACAAAUAUUUCCUUCAAAAUUUGCAAAAAAAAUUUUUUAAAUUUCUUUUUGUGUAUAAAAUUUUUUCAUAAUAUCUCUUUUAACUGUAUUUCCAUACCAACCUUUAAAUUGAGGAUUAAUACCUCGUUGAAUUGUUCCUACAAAAUCAUGAGUUUCCAUCAUAUUGAAAGGUUGUUCUGCUCUUAUUAUAUAAUCAAUCAUUUCUUCACGACAGUUAGAUUCAUCAUAAGAAAAUGUUUUUAAAUUUCCACUUUCAUUUUUACCUAAUUGCAUAUAAUUUCUAAUAUCUACAUUAUUUUUAGUUUUACAAUUUUCGUGAUGUUUUUUUAAAUGACUUGUGCCUGCAUUUGAGCCACCAGUAAGAAAUUUAUUACAAAUUUUACAUUUUGCUUUUAUUUCUUUUUUAUUAUUUUCUAAAAUUAUUUCUACUCUAUCAAAAAAAUUCCAUAUAUUUGAAGUAAAUUUUUUGUUUGAUGAUAUUUCAUCACAUGGACUAGAUGAAGAAGCACUUGUUGUCAUAUUAUAAUUAUUGAUAAAAUAUUAUGCCAAAAAUAAUAAAGUAAUAAAUAUAAAAAAAAAUGUAACAAAAAAAUAAAGUAGUAGGGGUGAAGUAUGUUACUCAAUUAGAGAACCGAUGCAGAAAUUCCUAGCAAAUUUGAACUCUUGGAGCCACCAAUGCUUGUUUUGCACCACCAACAAUAUUGUAUAAUUUGAGGGAAAAAUAAAAGAAUUUGAAAUAUUGUAGAAUGUGAGAGAAAUAGAGAGAAUUUGAUGAAAAAAUGAAAAGGGAGAAGAUGUAUUUAUAGGAAGGUUUUUAAAAAAAAAAAAAAAAAAAAUUGGCCAUGUGACCGUUGCCCAACGGUCACAUGGCAGCUAGGAGCAUGGGUUGGACUGUUGGAGCCUUUAAUUUUUUUUAAAAAAAUAAUAUACUUUAUGUUAUAUAUAUAUAACUAACUCUAACAUUUAACACAAAAGUAAUGUGGCUCAGUUGGUUAGAGCCUUUACUUUGAACCAUGAGGGGAGGGGUUCGAAUCCCCCCCUCUCCAUUCAUUUCUAAAGCCAUUUUGGCUUAUUUAAAAAAGCCCAAGGCUUGGCCCGCCAGCCCGCCCGCAGCCCGGCCCGCCCAGCCCACUAGCCCGCGGGCUCAUAGGCCGGGCCGCGGGCCGAAGAUUUUUCCCUGGCCCGGCCCGGCCCGCCCGUUGGAGACCCCUAAAUAUAUUAGAUAAAAAGAAACAACAUAAGAAAGUAAAGAACCUACAUGAGAAUAAAAAAAUUUUCACCACCAAUCAAUUGUUGAUUCUGAUUGCUAUAUUUGAUUGAAUAUUGACUAAUUUUUUACCUUGAUCUAUGACAUGCAUGCGAUUAUUCUGCACUUGUCCAGUAACUUUGUUUCCAUAAUAACACAUUGUUGAUUCCUUGCUCACAUACAUAUCCUAUAUAUUUUCUCUUAUUUGUGUGGUCACUUUCCAUUACGUACUUUAGUCAUAGUACAUUUUUUAUCAUUCCUUGGUAUACAUUGAUUUCCCAAUCAAAGGUCAUGUCUACUUUAACUUAUUUAGUAGAAACCUAAUCUUAGGGUUUAAAGGGGUAUUAUAACUUAUCACCGUAUCUUUUUAAUAGGUAACCUAACCCCCAAACCUAAAUUUGGUUUUCACAGACAUGUUUUUCCUUUUUAGGAGUCAUACUUAAGGUUUUUAUUUAUUAUUUUAUUUUCCCUUUAAAAAUAAAAUAAAAGUAAAUUACAACUCCAAAACUUUUUUUAAAAAAUCAUUUUUUCACAAAUAAAAAGUGAGUCGCGUAAUCGAAUAGAAACGCACGUGAAAAACAUGAGUCCAAAAAUAGACUCAUAAUAAUACCAUAAAUAACUUUGAUAAUGUUAGUCUUAAAACUUUACUAUGAUUUUUUUUUUCUUAACUUCUCUCAAGUCUCAAGAACUUAUCAGAACAUUAAGAAAUAAAACAUUCCACACAAGUUUUCUCUAUCUAAUAUAAUAAAUUCUUUAUAAUUAUUAAUUAAGUUUUGAAGCAUUAUUUCUUUCUAUUUACAAGAAUAAAAAUACAUAUCAUUAUAACUUAUUAAAAUUAAUUUUUAAAUACUAAAGUAGUUUUCUUACAUCAAUAAGAAAAUAUUUUUAAUCUUUUUAACACUUAAAAAUAAUUCUUUUUAAUAAAAAAAUUUGAAAUUCUGAAGAAAAAAAAAAGGUGGGGGGUCUUAAUAAUCAAAGCUGUAAGCUGGUGCACAGUACUGCAUAACCUUACAAAUUGACUUGGUGAAGUCUGCGUUCUCUUGUCUCCUGCACCUACCACCUAUUAAUAAUUUCCCCUACAUUUCCUUCCUGACAGUUGUAAGUUUGUGAGCCAUAACCUUCCAAAUUGACUUCGUCAAGUCUGCGUUUUCUCGGCUCCUACAACCAUCACCUAUUAAUAAUCUCCCCUACAUUUCCUUCUAGAAUCUCCAAGUACAAUAAUUUUCUAUACGUUAAGGACAGUGAAGCUUCCUGCUGUGUACACUUGAUGGGAAAGAUCAAAUCAAUUAUGUGAAAACUUAUGAAUUUCCAAUGUUGAAAAUCUUAGAUUUUACACAUUCAUUGUAAUUUAGGCCACUAUUUAAUAUUUUUCAAAAACUCAAAUAAAUUUAUAAAUAGUUUUGUUUAUUCACCUUUAGAGUCGAUGUAUCUAAUUUUUUGAAAAUGAUUAAAAAUGUUUUUUAGAAUUAUUGUCAAACUCACUCUUAAUUUCUCUUUUUUUGGAUAAAAAUAAUUUAUAAAGUAUAAAUUAUUAUUUAAAGUUGUUUGUUUGUUGCAUAGUUAAAUUAUUAUACACUGAUUCCACUUUAAAUUAAAAUAAAAUUUAGUUGAAGAAUUGGUUGAUUUAUACAAAUUAGAGUUUUUUUCUUUAUAAAUUAGAAAAUUCACAAAUUGUUACUCAAUUGAUGGAAAUUUUGAAAAACUAAUUUUUGAAGUUUUUUCUUAGAAAAAGAAAAAAAUUAUUGUUUGAUCAAUAUCAAGCAUAUAUGGAUUUUUAUUUAUGUCUUUUUUUGUUUUUUGUUAUCGUGCAUUUUAGAGGUGUCAUUUAUAAAUUUAUUUUAUAAAAUUAUUGGUCAAUAGACAUGAAAGUAAAAACAAAAACACUUUAGAAAGAAUAAUUUUGAAGGAGGAAAAAUCAUCAUCCACUAAAUUUAUAUCAAGAGAUACUUUGAUUAAAUCCAUUAAGGGAGCCAUGCAAUAUUUUGUUAUCAAGAAUAAUUGGUACAUUAGAAUAUAAACGAAAUUAAGAUAAGAAUGAAAAUUAAUUACAAUUCCAUGUAGAAAUUAUCGUUGUGGUUUGAUAAAUUGGAUAUACAAUGGAUCCAUCUUCCUCAUAUUGGAUUUGUCUUCAUUUUACAUUGAUGGUCCCCAAAGUUCAAAAAUGCAAUUGCAAUUGACUCUAUUAAUUCAAAGUCUUUUUGCUCCGUUGAAACUUCAAAGUCCCUUUGCUUCUUAUUCUUUGAACCAAAAUACAAUGAAUUGACUCAGUUUUCAUAUGAUGCUAGUCUUCUUACAACACAACAUGGCCCCACAGCCCUCAGCAUUUCCACUUAUUUGGCCCACUGAAUAUGAUGGGAAAGACCAACUUGGAUAGGAAAACAACAUCAAUGGUCCAAGAGCUUCCAUCGCAACUUCUUAAAGCUAGCUUACUUUUUUUUUUUUUUUUUACAUGAAAAAUGUUAAUAUAUCAUAGUGAUAUCUAUUCAAAAUCAAAAUUUCAAUCAUUCAAUAUAUAUGAUGAAAUCUAAGUAAUUGAACAAAUAUACAAAUAAAUAAGAUUAAUAUACAAAUAAUAAGGUGUAAAUAUAUAUAUAUAUGAUAUUACUUUAUUGAUGAUGUAUUUUUUAUAUCUAUUAAAAAAAUGUCAUUUUUUUACGGUAUAUGAACCCUACAUUUACUUGUUUUGUUCUUGCAUCUUCCUCGACCAAUUUUCCAAUAUCAGUGAGUGCUUAGAUUUCAACCACAUGCCUUAUCAGGUCCUUACAUAUGUUUAGUUUUGUGUACUAUUCAAUUUUGUUGUUAAUGUGAUGUAAGUCAAUAAAAUUCUAAAAUUUUCUAAAACAAUUAAAAUAAAAACAAAAAAUGAUGAGUUGGUUGAUUUCUUUCAUAAUUACAAAGAAUCAUAACACUUGAGUGGGUGUUUGGUUUUUAUCUAAAACUUGGAUAUAUAGAUUUGAAUUUGUUUCAUAUAUGAAUAGUAAUUAAUGUGAAACAAUAUUUAUACUUCAAUUUUAGACAAAAAAAAAUGGUACUACAUGAUUAAUAAUUGAAAAAUUAUUUAAUGAAGUUUUUUUAGUAGAUAUCGAAAAGCAAGUCUUUGAUAUCUUAACCAAACCCUAAUUUCCUCAAUAUCUUUCCUUCUCUUAUUUUCCACUUGAUGGGAAAGAUCAAGUCAAUGAUGUGGGAACUCAUGAAUUUCUAACGAGUUUCCAAUGUCCAUAUUGGUUAUGAAAAUAGAAACUGAAGACUUAAAAUAAAUUUGAAGGAGGAGAAAUCAUUAUCCACUAAGAUUUAUAUCAAGAGGUACUUUGAUUAAAUCCAUUAAGGGAGCCAUGGGAUAUUUUUUUUUUAAAUUUUCAAUUAAAUAUAUUAUGAGGUUGUAAAGAAUAAUUAGGAUCUGAUCAUAGCAACUCAUAAGAUUUAACUCAACUUAACUAUUAAACAAGUGAAAUAAGUUAUCGUGUUACUUUUUGAAUAAUUAGAUAAUAUUUGAGUUUAUAUUUUGAACAUGACUUUCAUUUGAAAAGUAUUUAGAUUGGCUUAAUAGAAUGUCUAAGUCUUGAUAUGACAUCAUGAUCAACACCAAUCAUCACCCUUAUUUAUUUAUGAAUUAUUUAAUUAAAAUAGAUAAAAUAAUCCCUAAUUUGUAAUUUUAGCUCAUCACAUUUUUUUGAAGUGUAAAAAUUAUCUAUUUUUCUCAUAAAAAUAAGAAUUAAUUGGUAAAAAUGGAUAAAAUAAUCUUUAUAUUUGUGAAUUUAAUCUCCUCUAUGUUUUUAUUUGAAAAAUAAACUAUUUUUAACAUAAAUGUCAUUGAUUAUUACAAGUAUUUACGUGUAAGUUUUUUUUUUAUUUAAAAAAAAGUGAUUACCUUUACAACAAAAAAUGAGGACAUUUUUAUCAAAAUAUGGUCAAAAAAAAAAUAUGAUGGGUUAGAUUUUCAAAAUAAGGUUUUCAACGCCCUUUUAAUCAAAUAACCCUAUAAAUAACCUUUAAAAAAUAAAACUUGUAUAUAAACAAUUGAAAAUAUUGAAUGAUAUGAAGUAUAAAAAUGGAUUAUUUUUCAAGUUCGGAGCAUUCAUUUCAUCCAUUUUACUAUUCAACAACCCUAGCCCAAAGCAUACGUUGCAAGUCAAUGCCGUUCCCAAUACUCACGUUGCAAGUCCCAUCGAAUUCCUGGUAUACAAGGAUUUGAAUUUAAAGCUUGUCUCAGCUCUAUAUCAUGCAUUCACCCUCUUCUUCGUUAGUGUCUUCACAGACGUCAUAUUCGUACAGCACAUUAAAAUUAGGGGUGGCAAGCUCUAUGACUAGUCAGUUUAUUUGAAAUUCUGUAGACUAUAUAUUUUGAAUGAUAAGUUUCAAACUUAAUUUGUAGGUUUCAUAAGCAUCCAUUGUGGUAUAGAUCAGUUUAUUCUAACCCUUCAUAUUUUUCACCAAAAAUACAUUUAUAUUAAAAAUGAAUUAUUUUUCAAGUUCAAAUAAUGGAGACUUCGAUUUAUCAAUUUGGCCAAUUUCAUUUCUAAUCCUCUAUUUAUUCACCUUUCUUUCAUUUUUUUCGAUGGCAAUAAUUUCUGAAGUACAAAUUUCAAAUUACCAUUCAACAAUAAAUGCCAUUGGCCAAGCCCUAGCCGAGUGCAUGCAUUGCAAGUCAAUAUUGUUCCCAAUACUCACGUUGUAAGUCAAUGACUCAAUACUAAUAGUCUAAUACAAUGACUCAAUACAAUAUAAUUAUAAAAAUUAUUUACUAUAAACAAUGAGUUGUGAAUGUAAAGUAAUAGUUGUAAAAUAUGGUUUUAUUAAAUAUGGGUGAAUGAAGUUAAUAAAAAAAUUAAGAUUAAGAAUAAGUUAGUUAUUUUUUAUUUAUACUAUAAUAUUAAAUUAUUUUGUCGAACAUGUUAACUUAAUUACUUAAAUUAAAUUAUUAAGUUAAUUUACUAAAUACCCAUAGUUUUUUGGACUUUAACAUUUAAAAAUCAACCCUUACAUACGACUCUUAAGCUCUUUUGGUCUUGACUAUAUCUCUUAGGGCUCUAAAAAGCAACCCAAGAUAGCACUCUCUCGCAUGGAAACUGAGUAAAGCUCCAUGGCUUCUAGAACUACUCAAAUUACAUAGUUUUCAUCCAUAUUAUGAAAUGUUAGGAUGCUGCUUAAGAUGGUGCUUCAACUAUUUUAUGACAAUUUUAGUGUUUUUUUAGAUGUUUGUAAAUCAUAUGUUCCAUGCUUGAAUCAAACAUAUCAAACUUAAUUAUCAUUUUGUACGAAAAAGUGUUGCAAUGAGCAUUUUUGUUACAUGUUAUAUUUAUUGUCCAACACAUCCUCACCAACCCUCUGUCUAGAGUCAUUUGGAGAGCCUUGUUUAAAGCUAGUAUCAUCUUGGGCAUGUCAAUAAAAUAAGGGAAGAAGGCAAGUCAUUUAUUUUAAGAAAUCAAUUAAAAUAAGGGAAGAAGGCAAGUCAAUAUCUAGCUCUCCUACAAUGAUCAUGUACCAAUAAGCAAGAGUUCUCAUAAUGUCAUGAAAGUUAAAAUAGUGGGGGCAUGCCGUAGAAAUUUGAUUUCAAUUUUAAAAUUUUAUAAAUUUAUUUUAAAUUAAGUGAUUUUUAUAUUUGGGUUUUGUUUUUAAGGUAAAAUUCAUGAGAAAUUUUCUAUAUAAUUUUCCUAAGAAACAAAAGAAAAAUAGAUAAAAUCAAAACCUAUUUAAGUCGUAUUUGAUUUUUUUAUUGAUUACAAUUUUACUAUUUGUAGUAAAUUGAUUUAUUUAUAUAAUAGAAGUAGUUUAAUUUUUUUAAACAAUACUUAUCCAAAAAUUUUAAAACUCGCUUUGGUUUUCUUUUGUGUUAGAAAUUAGAUUUAAGUAUUAUAACAAAGCUAAAAGUUGAAAAAUAAAAAGACAUUAAACUAAAAGUUAAAAAAAAAAAAUCAUUUUUUUCAUUAAGAUAAAAUUAUCUUUAAAAAAAUAAUAAGUUAAAAAGUAAGGUUUGUUUUGUUACAACUCCUUUUUUUGUCUUUAAAAAUAAAAUCUAUUGUAUAAAAAACAGAAAUUCUUAUAUAAAAUAUGUAGAUUAACUUUAUGUAUGUAUUUAAAAAUUAAUUUAGAAAAUUUUAAAUUUUGAGUAAGCAAAAUUUUUUUAAUACCUUAAUUUUUUUAAUCAACUUUUAGAGUUGUUUUAUUUUAUAUAGAAUUUAUUAUUAUUGUUAUUUGUUUUUAAAAAGGAAAAUAGGAAAUAUCUCCCAAGAAAUACUAAGAUCAUGUUUGUUUACCUUGUUUUUUUUUUAAAGGAAAAUUGAGUUCAAAAAUGGAAAAAGUGAAUAUUUUUAUAAUUUUCUAAAAAAGAUGUAAAUAGUUUUUAAAAAGUGAAAAUAACAUAAAAUAACAUAAAAGGAAUAUAAAUAUUUAUUUACUAAUAAUAUUACGAAACUAUAAUUUUUUCCUUGCUCUUUUACCAAUAUUAUCAUAUUUUUCUUUUAUUUUAAUAGAUCAAGAUAAAUACAAUAGGCCAAUUCCUUAGUGUUAACAGAUAUAUUAAUAUUUGCAUUACAUAAGGGAAAUGAAAUUUUCUAUUGCAUCAUUAAAAUAACCAAUAGCUAAAAUAAAAUAAAAUAAAUAUAAUUUAGUUAUUUAAUUAUUUUUCAUAUAAAAGAAUCAACAACAAAUAAUAAGACACAAUAGAUCAAUUCCUACAUUGAUCAUAAGCAUACUAUUUUUUUUUCUUAUUAUACCAAUUAAACAACAAAUAGAAAAGAAAAUAAAAAUAAUAAUAGAAAAAUAUAAUUUGAAUAUUUUAGUAUAAAAGAAAAUUAGUACCUAAAAAGUUUUUUCCUUUUUAACCAAAAAUAUUUUCAAGAAAAAAAAUAUAAAAAUAAAAACUAUUUUAAAAAAAUAAAAAUUAGAAAACGUUUUUCAAACCAAACUAUCCUAAACUACUCUUAAAAUAUCUUAAUUUGUAAAACAACUUGCUAUGUUCUUGCAUCUUCCUCCCAAUCUUCAGAUGGCAAUAAUUCCUAGAUUUCAACCGCACCUUGCUGGCCCUCAGAGCUAUUAGUUUGGUGAAUCAUUCAAUUUUAUUGUUAGUGUAAUAUUGACUAGACAUUACAAUUCUAAAAUUUUAUAUAAAUAAAUAAAUAAAAAUAGAAGGGUUGGUUGAUUUCUUCUUCUCAUAAUUAUGGAAAGUCAAAUUUAUUUGAAUGAGUUUGUUCAAAUUGAUGUAAAUAAAAUUCAUCACAAAGAAUUAUAAUACUUUUAAGUGGAUGUUUGGUUUUUAUUUAAAAUUUGAAUAAUAUGAAUACAAAAUUAAUACAAAAUAUUAAUUAUACUUUAAUUUUAAAUAAAAAUCAAAGUUUUCAAUUUUUUGUAUUAGUGUAAAAUAUUUGAAAUAAGAUAUAACUUGAAAAAAUAAAUUAUACUAAAAUAUAAAAGUUUAUUUGAGAUUAGGUGGUAUUUGUUUUUUGGUUGAAUAGAAAAAUAUAAAAUAUUUUAUUUUUUUUAUUCAAUUAAAAGUAAUAUAUUGAUAUUAGCAGAUAUAAAUAAAGUGAACUUAUUAGGUUUAAUUUUUUUUUUUAUAACUUUUAGGAAGUGAAAUGACUUUUAGUAAUUUGUUUGUACACAACUUAUUAGACUUGUAUUUUUUAUACCAAAUAAUUAAUGUAUAAAUAUUUCUAAAAUUUAUAAUAAAGUUAUCAACAACAUACGGGUUGCUUGUAGAAACUGUUUUUGAAAAUAUUUUUAUAUUACUGUUAAGAAUUUGUCCUAAAAACAGCUUGAUUUGUAAAAUAAAUUUAAGGUGUUUUAAAUCAAUUUUUGUAAAUGUUUUGAGUGACAAUUGAAAAUGUAAAACAUAUUUUGAAAAUUUUUGUAUUCUCUAUGAAUAAGUAGUAAUUUAAAAGAAAAAAAAAAUAGAACAAACUAGUUUUUAUAUUUGAAUUUUUUAAAUAAAAUUUUGUUUCUAAAGGUAACUAACAAUUUUUUUAAAAAUUAUUUUCAAAAACAGUACAAACAAGGGCAAUGCUCGUUUCCUCCAUUGGGAUUCACUUUGAAGAAAAUUAUCAUUGUCAAUAGAAAUUCAUAUAAAGAGUUACCAGGGGGCUAUAAAAAAAAAAAAAAAAGUACUUUUUCCAUUGAAUAUGAACAGGUCAACCUAACGAGAGAGAGAGAGAGAGAGAGAGAGAGAGAGAUUUUCAAAAACAGUACAAACAAGGGCAAUGCUUAUUUCCUCCAUUGGGAUUCAUUUUGAAGAAAAUUGUUAUUGUCAAUAGAAAUUCAUAUAAAGAGCUACUAGGGGCAUAAAAAAAGAAAAGUACUUUUUUCAUUGAAUAUGAACAGGUCAACUAACACGAGAGAGAGAGAGAGAGAGAGAGAGAGAGCAUUGGGAUUCAUUUUGAAGAAAAUUAUUGUUGUCAAUAGAAAUUCAUAUAAAGAGCAUGCUUUCUCUUCUUUCUCUAGCUUUCAUACACUUGAGACUUAGCCAAGACCUCUCACUUCUCAUCCAACUCCUGAUCAUCAACCAUCAUGCACCAUCAUUCAACAGAAAAGACCAGAAUGAACAGUAGACCACCACUGGUUCGGCUCAUCUUUGUCCUGUUCACCAUCAUUUCCUCAGGCAACAACCCAGAAUUGGUUGCCGGAAAACCCCAUCACACUGCCUCAACCUUCCAGCACAACCAUCCUUCUCCCCGGAGACUUGCUGCUGACACCCAAGGUAAGUUAUGUAACCCUUCAUUCUUCUUUACAAGUUUCCACCAUCAUGGCUUUGUGAGCAAAUGAGUCCCAAAUUUUGCAUACUGCUCUCUCUGAAUGAUUUUGAAUUUCUGUAGGGUUCAUAAGCAUCGACUGUGGGAUAGCUCCAGGCUCAUAUUAUACUGAUGAUAAAACCCAGAUACCUUACACUUCUGAUGCAGAUUUCACAGACACUGGAAUCAAUUAUAAUGUUUCCAGGUCUGAAAAUCCUUCAAAGCAGCUCAUGAAUGUUAGAAGCUUCCCAGAAGGAGCCAGGAAUUGUUACACCCUAGAACCAGAAAAAGGCAAGGGUAAUAAGUAUUUGAUCAGAGCUUUCUUCAUGUAUGGGAACUAUGACUCCAAGAAUCAACUCCCAGUCUUCAAACUUCAUCUGGGUGUUGAUGAAUGGGACACUAUCAACUUCAACAAUUCAAGCCAAACUGUAAGGAAGGAAAUCAUACAUGUCCCCAAAACAGAUUACAUAGAUGUGUGUCUCGUCAACAAUGGUUCUGGGACACCCUUCAUAUCUGCAUUAGAGCUUAGACCGCUUGGUAAUUCCAGUUAUAAUAAAACAGAAUCGGGUUCUCUGCUACUCUUUAACAGAUGGGACAUUGGUUCAGAGCAAGAAAAAUUGCAAGUCAGGUGAGUCACAUGAUUUAGUAGAUCUCUAACAUGACCUGUUGGCUGAAAUUUAUAAUAUUGUGGACAAUUAUCAUAAAAAUGGACCUUUUUUUAGGUACAAAGAUGAUGCUCUUGACCGCAUUUGGAACUCCUACAUGAGUACUUCUUGGGAAUCCAUAACUGCAGGAUUUGAAAGCUAUUCCUACAGCGAAACUCGGUUUAAACUUCCGGGAAUAAUCAUGUCUACUGCUGCAACACCUAAAAAUGAAAGUGAACCCUUGAGAUUCUUCUUGGAUAUGGAUGAUCCUUCUCAAAGGUUUUAUUUGUACAUGCAUUUUUCUGAGGUUUUGCAACUCCAGGGCAACCAGUCCAGAGUAUUUACCAUCUGGCUGAAUGGCAACUUAUGGAGCGAUGCUGUGGCUCCGGAACGCCUUACCUCGACCACAAUAUUUAGCACAAAUUCUGUAAGGGGAAGUAGAUUGUCAUUUUCGCUUCAGAAGACGGGUGAAUCCAUGCUUCCCCCCAUUAUCAAUGCCUUGGAAGUUUAUGUGAUAAAGGAAUUCUCACAAUCAACAACUGACCAAGAAGAUGGUAUGUUAUUAUCAGUUCAAUUGUGGGUGACAGUUAUAAAGCCUCCUAAAUAUUUCUCCUUCUUUGAAAUUGUAGUUGAAGCUAUCAAGAAGAUUAAAUCAGUGUACAUGGUGAGGAGAAACUGGCAAGGAGAUCCAUGUCUUCCAAUGGAUUACCAAUGGGAUGGCCUGAAAUGCAGCGAUAACGGUUCCCCCACCUUAAUAUCAUUGUGAGUUAAGCAUUGGAAAAACAUUUCUGUAAAGGGACUUAGUGAAAAUGACAAAACAUCUACUAAAUAUGCUAUAUUCUAACUGGCAAACAGGAACCUCUCAUAUAGCAAUUUGACAGGAAAGAUACAUCCUUCAUUUUCCAAUCUCAAAUCAUUACAAAAUCUGUAAGUAUUCAUGAAGAUUAAGUACAUAAUCUAAUGGAGUUCUUUAUCCCAAAAUUGUAUUUUAAAUUAUUUCAGGGAUUUGUCUUACAAUAACUUGACUGGAUCAGUGCCAGAGUUCUUAGCUGAACUGUCAUCUCUAACAUUCCUGUGAGUGAUAAAUUGGUCUUUGGUAUUGCAAUGUGUAGUUUCGUCUAAGGUAUGCAGGUAAUGUGGUAUUUGAUGCUGUGUUUGCAGUAAUUUAGAAGGGAACAACUUGACAGGUUCAGUUCCCCAGGCUCUUAUGGAGAAGUAUCAGAAUGGCACAUUGUCCUUGAGGUUUGCUUGAGUUUCAUGUCCAAGAAUUUGGUCUUUACUCUUGGAACUCACUUAAAUUUUGAAAGCUAGUUCUGAAAAUAUGAUGAAAAGAUCAUUAGUCUUAUAGCAAUUCAGCUAUGCUUAUGUUUACCAUGUUCUGUUCAUGCAAGUCUUCGAGAAAAUCCAAAUCUUUGUCUGUCAGUCUCAUGCAAAGGAAAGCAGAACAAGAACUUCAUUGUUCCAGUUCUUGCAUCCAUUAUAUCAGUUCUGGUCCUGUUCCUUCUAAUUGCUGUUGGUAUCAUUUGGAACUUCAAAAGGAAAGAAGACACAGGUAUUUUCUUUCUUUCAUUCCCUAAGACUUUGUAUGAUUCUGCAUUUCAUUGCAGAGAUGUGACCACUACUGGCCUUGUUAUAGAACCUGUCUGAAAGGACUUCAAACUCAUGGAUUUCAUAUGAGCUGCAGAUCAAGGGGAAAAAAAAAAAAAAAAAGAGAGAGAAUUUGAGAGCUGACCUCCUUCUGAUUCAUCAAAAUCCCAUGAAAAUACAUUUUUGUUGAUACAUUUCUGCUUGUUGCAACUAUGAUGAUUUUCUUAGCUAUGGAGAUGGUCACCAAAGAAGGAUCUUUGAAGUCAGGGAACUCAGAGUUCACUUACUCUGAGCUUGUGGCUAUUACCAGAAACUUCACUUCCACCAUUGGACAAGGAGGAUUUGGAAAUGUUCAUCUAGGCACUCUGGUAGAUGGCACUCAAGUCGCGGUCAAGCUGCGCUCACAAUCAUCAAUGCAAGGCUCCAAGGAAUUUCGAGCUGAGGUUAGAUAUAGCAGUCCAUCCUCUGUCACCAUAAAAUCUAUCCAUGUGAUGUUGAAAUAUGAUUAUAAUAGGACAUGCCAGUAUGCCACUGAACAAUUUUGAAUUGCAGGCGAAACUCUUGAUGAGAGUUCAUCAUAAAAACUUGGUUCGCCUUGUUGGGUAUUGCAAUGAUGGUACAAAUAUGGCCCUCAUUUAUGAAUAUAUGUCUAAUGGAAACUUGAGACAGAGGUUAUCAGGUAUCACCAUCUUUAUGUUCUUAAGAUUUGAUCAUUUGAAGUUGGGGACAUAACCUAACAACAGAGAUGCAUAUAUAAAUUUUUGGUGCAGAGAGAGAUACAGAUGUCUUGCAUUGGAAAGAGAGGCUUCAAAUUGCAGUUGAUGCAGCACAAGGUCAGUAAGCAGAUUGCUGCAUUACUAUUUUCCUUCAAAUACUUUUUUCUGAUCAUUUUCUUACUUAAAAGUAAGUUCAUGAUGGCUUAUUGGAACUGUAGGACUGGAGUAUCUGCACAAUGGUUGCAAGCCACCAAUAAUCCACAGAGAUUUGAAGACUUCCAACAUAUUAUUAAAUGAAAAACUGCAAGCUAAGAUAGCUGAUUUUGGGCUGUCCAGAGACCUUGCAACUGAAAGUGGCCCUCCUGUAUCGACUGUCCCUGCAGGCACCCCAGGAUACCUGGAUCCUGAGUAAGUGUUAAUAUAUAUUUCUUGGAAUUUCUACACAACUGCCUCUUUAUUCUCAUAACCCCUUUUCAGGUAUUACUCAUCUGGAAAUUUGAAUAAAAGGAGCGAUGUUUAUAGCUUUGGGAUUGUCUUGUUGGAGCUGAUUACCGGCCAGCCUGCAAUAAUAACCCCUGGGAACAUUCACAUAGUUCAAUGGAUUAGUCCUAUGAUUGAAAGAGGGGAUAUUCAAAACGUUGUUGAUCCAAGGUUGCAAGGAGAUUUCAACACCAAUUCUGCCUGGAAAGCUCUGGAGACAGCCUUAGCAUGUGUACCAUCAACUGCAAUCCAAAGGCCAGACAUGAGCCAUGUACUGGCAGACUUAAAGGAUUGUUUGGAGAUAGAGGUGGGUGCCAUGAGAACUCAGAGGAUAGAUAGCUACAAAAUGGGAUCAAGCAACACCCUAAAAAGCUGUGCAGUGGAUCUUGAAAAUGAAAUGGCUCCCCAUGUUAGAUAGUUAUGGAACACCAUUAGCUGCCAGUUCAAAUUUGCAGUUAUUAAUUAUCCCAUUUUCAUGUUACAAAUUUGCAAAAAGUUGGUCUGUUGUAUUAGGCAAUUCACUCAUCCUUGAAUUGUAUUAGUGAAAAAUGGUAAGAUGGAAUACCAUUCCAACUAAUUCUCAACUUCUAUGGCUGCUCAAACUUGCAUUCGAUUUAUUUUGUGAUAGCAACACAAGCUUAAUUUCUUGUGUCAUCAUCCCUAGUAUAAUAAAAAGAAACAGAUCAGAUCUACAUUUGUGUGUUAUCGUUUAGUUGAGCAGGUGGAAAUGGUGAGGAUCUAAGACUACUACAUUAAUUAUGCCCUUUCAUUCUAGGUGAUAAUGUCAUUUCCAUGUUUCCAUGUCCAAGAAUAUUUAUGAGAUUACUUCUGCAAGUUUAAAAAAUGUGAACUGCAAAAAUGGCAUGAACAGAGUCUUUAUCUCAAGGUAUCUACCAGACAACAUUGCAUUGGCUUCUGGAGAAUUUUGGAAUGGAGUUUCCAGGAAAUAUACUUCCAGAAACCAGGGCCUAAUCUGAACAGAACCCAGAAAAUCUAGGUACAUUGCACCCCAGAAGUGAACCUGUUCUAUAUUUCUUGAUGACAUUUUCUCAGGAAAAAAAAUCUAUCAGGAAAAGGCAGAAAAUAUGAGCCCAAAUCAUAAUUCUUAAUUUAGGUUUUGAUAGCCAAAAACUGGCCUAGAGUUCAGAUAUUUUCCUUUAAACUUUGGUACAUACGCAAAAGAUCACAUUACUUGAGCCAAAUAUCUUUAAACCUGUCGAGUUAAUUCAGUCAUCUUACAUGGGGUUCUGUCCGGCUGGCCUUGAAUGGUCGGCAAAUGUCAACUACCUAUAAUUACUCAAUCACAUGCAACUUUCUGUUGUCUUCAGCUCCCACUGUGUGUGCAUUAUCCUCCCAACCACCAUGUUCCCUUCGUAGUUGGAUGAACAAGACUUCAUAAUUGUGGUUUUUAUGCACUGAGUGUUAUCUCUAAGAAUGAGAAAUGUUAUGGAUGUGAGCUAAUUUGAGAAGUUGAUAUUGUUUCUUUUCUGUUAUUUGAUGAGCUGGAGUAGUUAGUGUGGUUGUGAGACUCCAACCUAUAUACAGGUCACCAUUUUUGUAUCCCGGACUGCACAGAAAUCUGAAUAUCAAUGAGAUAGAUAUUUUCCUCUGUUUUUCUUUCUCAACACUCUGUUUUGAUUCAGAAUUUGUAAUAUGGUAUCAGAGCACUUUAUGCUUCUGCUCAUCUCUGCAUUUAUCUCCAUUUUUGUUUGAUGGCUUAAGGCAACCAAUCCAAUACACGAGCUGUGAUUGGAUUCUCUGAAUCAUCACCGAUGGAAGACACUAGGAGUCCAUUCUAUCUUCACAAUGGGGAUCAUCCUGGUCUUGUACUCAUUUCACACCAUUUGACUGGGAGUAAUUAGUAAGGACUCCCUUGGGCGGACAUGUGGCAGAUUGCCUUGACCUCGCAAGGCACCCUUCUAUUGGACACAUGGCACCCCUUCGCCUCAGUCCGGACAUGUGCCAUCAGCUAGGAACACCCAAUCCGGCCCUAAUAGUCAAUGGCCGGCUGCCUCGUGCUCCUCCAAGAAUGCAUGAUGCGUUCCAAACAGGAUCCCUGACCGGCUUCCGCGAGCAAUCAUUCUUCUCCCCACCAAAAGCACGCUCGAUGGGACAUCCCCAUGUCCUUUCAGGUGACCUGUUACACUCUACAUUGCGCCGCCUGCAGAAUGAGAUGAUAAGCAAGACGCCAGGUCACCUCACCAGCGAUCUCUAUCAGCUGCCUAAAGGAUAAUGGUUGUUCUACCACCCUCUGUGCAACCAUCAUGAUUGUGAAAGUCAAAGGACCUUCCCAGUAUAGAUGUGACAAGGCUCCAGACACUAUAAAAGCCUUCCCAUAGCUAAAAAAAAAGGGUAGUAAGACAGUCCACUUCUUGAGUUCCCAAGAGGGGGUAUUCUCUCUAAUUGUCAAUCUAACUAAAGCUUCGGAGGGUGUGUUCGGACAUCUUUUGUAGGAGAGGAGAAAGAAGCCUCACUCUCAGUUGAUUGGGCGACGACAUCAAGAAGACACGUUACUUCCAGUUAUCCGUCAUCAACAUUGGCGUCAUCUGUGGGAACGACAUAAACAAAGAUGUUCACACCCUCAAGCAGUCGUUCAUCAGCCAUGGGUGACGAAGGUUACUUCGACUGGCGUGAAAGAAUGGAAAGACGAUAGCAAGAAAGCGAGUGACAAGUACAAGCCCUGCUUCAGGAAACAAGGAGACUCAGGGAGGAAAACGAUGUGUUGAGGAUUCAGGUCUCUUUGUCAGGCCCUUCCAAUGACCAGCGACUGAGGAGCCACCGGACAAACUCCAGGCAUAACCAAGAGGCCAUGUAUCCUGGGAACACAGAAUCCCCCCCCCCCCUUAACGUGCACGGUGUAUGGCCUAAUGAAGGACCCCUACCUACCUAUUGUGCACUGCAAGACGAAAGCUCGAACUCCACUCAUGUCUCAUCAAAGAGGCAAUGCGAUAGAAAGCCCUAGUUAUCUGACAUGAUGCGCGCAAGGUAGGGACAACAAGUACCUAGUAAAGAUAGGCUGCGUACAACAACGACCUAAGAGGCAUAUCCUAGUCCCUCAGUCAUACCCAUCACGUAAGACUGUCCCCCACACUGACCACUACAACGAAUCGGGAAAGAGGUGGCAAGCAAAGCCCCCCUUCGACUCCAUCAGUAGGCGAUUGGAUGACAUGCUCUCCACACCUUUCAGCUCUCGUAUUAUCAAUUACAAGCCCCCAAGAGGGUUCCUCGUGCCAAAAUUUUCCGCGUACGACGGAUCCAAUGACCCAUUUGAUCACAUCAUGCGCUACCGACAACUUAUGACUCUUGAUAUAGGGAAUGACACUCUGUUAUGCAAGGUCUUCCCUGCCAGCCUCCAAGGCCAAGCUCUCUCAUGGUUCCAUCGGCUUCCCAUGAAUUCUGUUGAUAAUUUCUAGGAUCCAUCAAAGGCUUUUGUGGGGUAAUACCUGUGCUCAACACGACAUAAACAGAAUAUUAGCACCCUGCAAAACAUAAAAAUGCAAGAAAAUGAAUCUCUAAGGGAGUUUGUGAAACGAUUUGGACAAGCUAUAUUACGAGUGGAGUCCUACAGCAUGGACGUUGUCCUCUAAAUUUUUAAGCGAAGCAUAUGUCUAGGCACGCCAUUCUUCGAAUCUCUUGCCAAAAAACCUCCCACGACUAUGGAUGAUCUGUUCUGGCGUGCAAACAAGUACUCUAUGCUGGAAGAUGAUGUUUGUGUAGCCACACAACAUAUCCUAGUUAUUGGCCAGGCAGUGAGGAACAACGCGAUAAAGAGCCCCAAACCCUCAAGUCAACGAAGGCUACCGAGCAGGGGGCAAGGCAAGCAACGCCAGCUAGACCAGUUCGUGCUCACCCCUCUCACCGUGUCAUAAGAAAAGCUUCUUCCUAUGAUCCUCGAGCUAUCCAACUUUAGGUGGCUAGAACCACUAAAAACGAGCCUAGCCAAGAGAGAUCACAACAGAAAGUGUGAUUAUCACAAAGAGCAUGGACAUACCACAGAGUAGUGCAGGAGUUUUCAUUACUUGGUGGAAAAACUCAUAAAAGCGGGACAUCUAAAACAGUACAUCCGCUUAGGAGCUAAAAGUGGAGAAACUUCCCAAAAUCAAGUCUCCGCAGCCCCCUCAACUCCCGUUGUUCCUAGGGUCAUAAUCAACUACAUCCAUGGCAGACCCUUGAACGAAGAAUACAACUCCAAGCGAAAAAGAGAAAGGCUGCUGUGGGCCUCCUAGGUCCGAGAAAAUGUUAACUCCAUCCGGCCUGGGCUAGCUAGUGGAGGCACUCACCCAAUAGAUGGAGUAAUCCUCUUUCCCCCAGUGGACCCAUCCGAAUAUUGUAGCCACACCGAGAUGCCCUUGUCUUGACGCUAGGAAUCGAUGAUUUCAAUGUGAGACGAAUUUUGGUCGACUCGGGCAACUCGACAGACCUCUUGCAAGUAUCGCUAAUAAAAAAAAUGGGAUUCAUCCCCUCCAGUUUAGAGACCCAGGGUGGAUAUUGUUAGGAUUCAAUGGGGCCUCAAAUACUUUUCUUGGGGACAUCGUGUUGUCAAUUCAAGCAGGCCCACUCAUCCUUAAUGUGCAAUUUUCAAUGGUAGAAAACUUAUCCAUCUUUAAUGCCAUCUUAGGGCGCACCUGGUUGUACAACAUGAAAGUCAUCCCUUCCACAUAUCAUCAGAUGAUGAGUUACCUCACCAAAGAUGGAUAGAUCGAUCUCUAUGGUAGCCAGUUGCCUGCCCGUCAAUGCUACCAAGUAGCACUAGAGGCCGGACCUAGCAAUGAUUGUGAAACCCUCCCCCCCCCCAAGCAAACGUGCCCAACCAAUAGAAAUUAUAGUACCCAACAGAUAAAGAUCCCCCGGUAGCAAAUCCUUUGCAAACUAUUCAAGUCUUAGAGGAAGAUGGUUGUUUUACUUACGCCAACCAGCUUCUUUUUAGAGCCAAACGAGACGCAACGCCUCAAGGAAACACUUCAACAAAACAAAGAUGUUUUCGCAUGGACGCACUCUGACAUGCCCGGAAUCCACCCAUCGGUUGCCUCCCAUCGACUUAACGUUUUGCCAUCAUCGAGACCUGUCUGAUAGUUUCAUCUGGAUAGGCAGAAAAUCAUUCAAAAUGAGGUAGAUAAGUUACUAGCAGCCAGGGUUAUUAGGGAAGUUGAGUAUCUAGACUUGUUGGCAAAUGUGGUGGUGGUCCCCAAAAAGGAAGGAAAGUGGCGAGGUGCAUUGAUUACACUAACCUCAACAAUGCAUGCCCCAAAGAUAGCUUUCCACUACCGCGGAUAAACCAAAUAAUGGACUCUAUCGUCGGACAUGGGAUGCUAUCUUUUCUGAAUGUCUUCUCUGAAUACCACCAGAUUCCCAUGGCUUCGAUAGACGAAGAAAAGAUUGCCUUUAUAAUGCCGCAUGGACUUUAUUGCUACAAAGUCAUGCCAUUCAGGCUCAAGAACGCUGGAGCCACCUACCAAAGGCUAAUGACUAAAAUUUUCAAGCCUUUAAUCGGUCACAUGGUAGAAGUAUACAUUGAUGACAUAGUGGUUAAAAGCAAAACCAAAGAAAAGCAUACCCAACGCUUGUAAGAAGUUUUCCACUUACUAAGAAAAUACGACAUGAAGCUCAAUCCAUAAAUGCACAUUCGGUGUAAGCGCAGGCAAAUUCCUAGGGUUCAUGGUCACCCAAAGGGGAAUAGAAGUUAGCCUAGAUCAAGUUAAGGCGGUCCUGGAGACAUUUGCCCCUAAAAUAAAAAAAGAGCAGCAACGCCUCACCGAUAAACUCAUUGCCCUGGGACGUUUCAUAGCCCGAUUCACAGACAAGCUGAAGCCCUUCUUCCUCGUGUUGAGGGAAGCCGGUGCAACAGGAUAGACGGAGAACUUCCAGUCCGCGUUCGAAGAAAUCAAGCAUUACCUCACAAAAUCGCUUAUUCUAAGCAGCCCUUAGCCUGGCAAGCGAUUGUACAUGUACUUAGCAGUGUCUGAUUGGGCGGUCAGCGUUGUCUUAUUUCGCUGCCUAUAGCAUAAAGAGUAGAAACAUGUUUACUACAUUAAUAGAGCAAUGACCGAUGUGGAAACCAGAUACUCAAAAAUGGAGCAAACGACCUUAGCCUUGUGAAGCGUCGCUCAGAAACUCAGCCCAUAUUUCCAAGCUCAUCCGAUAAUUGUGCUUACCAACCAGCCCCUUCGAAGUAUCUUACAUAAACCAGAUCUAUAAGAAAUAACGUUGAAAUGGGCCAUAGAGUUGAGCGAGUACGGAAUCGAAUACCAACCUAGGUUGUCCAUAAAAGAACAGGUCAUGGCUAACUUCAAAGUUGAGGUACCCUAACAACCCGUCCAAGGCAUGGAAUCGAACAAAAAGGAAUGGUGGACCUUGCAAAUUGAUGGGGCCUCCCGAUCCUCAGGAUCCAGGUAGGUCUCCUUCUACGAUCUCCGACUGGUGAACAAUUGGAGUAGCCCAUUCGACUCGGAUUCCCUGCAUCUAACAAUGAAGCCGAAUACGAAGCUAUUAUAUCCAUAUUAAACCUCGCGCUCGCAUUUUCCGCCUUUAAACUCAGGAUCUACAAUGAUUCUCAACUCAUUAUGGGAUAUAUAAAAAAAGAAUACGAAGCCAAAGAUGAGCGCAUGUCUCAAUACUUGAUGAAAGUGUGGGACAUCCUGAAACAACUGCACAAAUGGGUUAUCGAGAAGAUCCUCCGGGCGGAUAACGUACAGGCUGAUGCCUUGGUAGGAAUAGCUACUUCACUCCCUGUAAGAGAAGCCAUAUUGCUGCCCAUACAUCUCCAGACCACUCCCUCAAUUGUAGAGUCGCCCAUCUGCAACACUAACGAAGAAAGCAAAGAGUGGACAAGCACAAUAAAGGAGUAUCUCCGAACAGGAUCCUUGUUUGAGGAAUUCAAACAUGCACAUAAGAUCCGAGUGCAGGCUGCUCGUUUCACCUUGAUUGAGGGUUACUUUUACAAGCGAUCUUUUGGAAGCCCAUACCUCAGAUGCUUAGACCGUUCGGAAGCUCAAUAUGUGCUAGCAGAAUGGAAUGAAGGUGUAUGUGACAACCACUCGGGAAGCCAAUCUUUAGCACAUCGUGCCCACUUGUAAGGAUACUAUUGGCCCACUAUGAAGCGAGACACAGAAGCUUAUGUCAAGAAAUGUGACAAGUGCCAAAGAUACGCGCCCAUCCCACAUAUGCCAUCCGAAACGCUUAACCCGAUAACGAGCCCCUAGCCAUUCGCGUAGUGGGGGAUGGACAUAGUAGGACCCUUGCUUGCUACGACCGCUCAAAAUAAAUUCCUACUCGUAGCCACUAACUAUUUCAGCAAAUGGGUAGAGGCAGAAGCUUAUGCUAGCAUCAAAGACAAAGAUAUCAUGAUGUUUGUUUGGAAUAACAUUGUCUGCCGAUUCGGUAUUCCCCAAACAAUUAUAGCUGACAAUAGACCGCAGUUUAACAGUGUCGCCUUUAGGAUUUUUUAUUCAGAGCUAAAAAUCAAGAACUUAUACUUUACGCCACGGUACCCCCAAAGCAACGGGCAAGCAAAAGCAACGAACAAAACCCCUGUUAUCCGCAUUAAAGAAAAUGCUAGAGCAAGCCAAAGGAAAAUGGGUGGAGGAGUUGCUCGGCGUCUUGUGGGCCUACCGAAUAACGCCUGGACGACCGACAGGAAACACUCCUUUCACUCUCGUAUAUGGGAUGGACGCAAUAAUCCCUACAAAAAUAGGCAUGCCCACAGCCCGGACGGCUGUGCAAGGUCAAAGGGACGAAAGCUAAGAACUUGGAAAACACCUAGAUUGGGCGGACGAAGUAAGGGAAAGUGCAUUCAUCCGAAUGGUUGCCUAUCAACAAAGAGCGGCUGCCCACUACAACCGUAAGGCCCAACCCCGCACCUUCAAGGUCGGAACACUCGUCCUCAGAAAGGUCUUUGAAAAUACAACUAAAAAGGGAGUCGGAAAGCUCCAAGCAAACUCGGAGGGCCCUUACAUUGUCUCAAAGUCAACUGAAAGUAAGGCUUAUAACUUGCAUAAGCUGGAUAGAACUCCUUUACUUCGUCCGUGAAAUGUAUCUAACCUAAAACAAUACUAUCAGUAAAGGAAAAAAUGAAUGAAGAUCAAAAGAAAAGCAGAGGAAUAUUGUAUUCAUGAUUAUAAAUAUAAAAAUUGUCUUUACAAAUCAUCAGCUAAACCAUGCACGGUAGAAAGAAAGCUAUAUGGAGGGAUUACACAAAGAAAAUGUCGUCUCAUCACGAGGAACCCCCAAGUAUCUCAUCGUCAUCAUUAGAAGGAAAUGAGGGAAUGUCGUGCAUAAUGUCGUUCUUCUUCAUGCAGCAGUAGUAACCGAAAAAGUACAUUUCAUCCACUUGCUUUUGGUAUUCUUCCUCCAGCUCCUUAUUCUAAGCGGCGAACCUAGCCUCCAGCUCAUUUUUUUGAACGAUAAACCUUGUCUGUAGCUCCUCCAUAUAUUUCUUCUGAGUCAUGAAUCCAGCGCAGAGCUCCUCUAUCUCCCUCUUUAAUUGGGAGAUCUCAUGUUCGACUCCUUUGAGCUUGGUCUCCAUAACUCCGCUCUCCUUCUUCAGCUUGUCCGCCUCAGUGCGGAUCGCUUCCCUCUCUCCCUCAGCCAGCUUUAGAGCCUCAACUUCCUUCGCAACAGCUUUUUAAGCAACAACAAGAUCAAUCUCUGCUCGCUCCAACCUUGCACGCAGCUCCAUACCACCACUCAUGCGAUGGGAGAUGAAAGCUAGCAUAGGCUCAAUUACCUCCAACCGCUUAAAAAACAGUGUGCGUUGAUGCACCAUGUUGCGGAUGCCACCCACCAACUAGAAGAAAUAACAGAAACAGGGUUAGUGCUAGCUAGGGAGGUGUGCAUUAUCCGGAAAUGGAGCAAAAUAGAAGAAGUUACCAUUUCUACAGUCUCCUACACUGUGCAGUCCUACAGUUGCUGAAUACGGGAGACGGUAGACUUGAGCGUGCCAAAAGAAAGUCGGGCUGAGACAAAAACGAGAAGGUCGCCGCCUAAAUUCAUCGAUAUCUACUUGGUAAGAGGAAAGAAAUCUGACAUCUUGGUGGAAGGCGGCUCAGCAUCGAUAAAGCAUGACACGCGCUUCAGCAUAUCCAUCAUUUCAUCCCAACUUGGAGGAAGAGCGGACGCAGGAGUGUCUUUUUGGUCCAAAACCUCCUCAACAGGAAUAGCACCACUAGAGGCCCCACCUAGAGUCGAGCCAACCUCUUUCUCAGCAGCAGGUGCGUUGCUAGGCCCCACGGUAUCUGGUGGGGGCACUGGCAUUAGAGGGACGUCUCUCCCAGGCUCCUCUUGAGCCCCCUCCGGGCAAGCCUUUUUGGCUGGAGGAGGAACCAUAUCGAUAGCGUCAUGGAGACGUUUGCGAUGUCUCUUCUUAAAAUCGGCCCUCAGAUCAGCUGACAUGUCUUUUUCUGCUUCCGGUUCGUCUAUAAAUCUGAGGGCUAUAGGCUCUAGCUCGGGCUUGAAAUGGUAAGUCCCUGGAUCGUUUGGAUCGAGCCUCAAGGAAUCGAAGUCACCCUUGAAAGUUUGGAUGGAGCUAUCCGCCGAAUUGGACGUUGAAGGAGUAGAGGUAGUCGGAGAUUUAGAAACCAAAGUCGAAGCCUUGGUCACUUUUAUGCUGGGCCUAUUCUUCUUCUUCUUAGCUGGAGGACAAGCCACAGACGAUGAGGCCCGACCCUUCUUGCUUGGUGCUCUCCUUAAUUUCCCCCCCUGUCUUUUCUCCUCCCGCUGCUCAAGACGCUCAUGACGAGCCUUGGCGUCUGCCUUGCAUGCCUCUUCGUAAAGGGGAAGGUCCUUCAAGACGAAGUGCUCUUCAAGCACCACAACCUUAGACAACCGCCUAGGAAUGAUGGGGAGGACGUAUGGUUGGGGCUCUCGGAUAACCGCAAGCAAGUUCCGGGCAGAGAUGAGCGUCUGGUGGUUUCUUUCACUGGCAAUGAUCUCGAACAACUUGUUCAGACAAAUGAACGAAGCCUCCUCCACCCACUCGACCAGACAACCCCUCUUAUCCUUACCUACACCAGCUGAAACAUAAAAUAUUAGCGACCAAGUGGCAUUAACUCAAUAGAAAAUAGUAAGGGGAGAGACACUCAAAACCAUCCCUACUUGGAAUCUUUAAUGAACAAUUAGGGUGGAAAUCCCUUUCUAGAUGCUCUAUCAAGCCGGCCCAUGGUCCCCGGACCAGCACAUGUCCCUUGGCCCCUCCUUUGUUCGAGUCAGGAAGGCCCGUCACCAACUUGAGGGACGGGAUAUGGGCGAACAUGCUGAAAAUGUCCUUUUUGCCCUUUUUGAUGGUGUAGACGAAGAAGACCUCUAGUAGGGAGAGGUCCAAAUGGAAGAGCAUGUUCAAGAUGUUCCACCCCAUUAACACCUGGACGAUAUUAGAAUGGAUAUGGGCUAGAGGGAUCUGGGUAUAGUGCAAGAACUGCUUGAAAAUGGACAGAAGAGGAAAACCGAGCCUAACAUUGAACUGCUCCUUGCUAAAGAAAAUGGUGUUGUGUGCAGCCUUCUCUGUGGACGUUGGAUCUUCCUCCACUAACUGAACACAAAUGCCAUUUGGGAUGAAGAAGUGUUCGCGGAAUUCCUGCUCAUUGAGAAGCUCAAUAGGCUUCCCCGGAUUAGGGCGUCCGGAACUCAUGACUGUCUAAUCGCCCUUCCCAUCUUACCCAGCCGCACUGGAUGAGGCAGUGUUCUUUUUUACAGGCAUAUUGGAGCGGUGGGCUGAGUCAAACCUACAUGGCACAGUGCCAACAGUUAGAAAGCAGCUACCCGGUCCUACUGCCAAGAGGGCAGUGCCCCAAGGUGCGCAACUAGCUAGCAUGCUUGAUCUAGUGGCCACACAAAUGGGGAAACCCGAUUCCACUCAUCGAUUCCUAACCCUAGCUACGGAUUGACUCGCUGCAACCUUCAGACACAUAAAGGGAGGCAAACACCCAGUAGACUCAACAGAGCCUCAAAAUGCAAAAAUAACCAAACUUAACCCUAAAAAAUGUUAUAAGGGCAUGCCACCAGUGGAGUAUGACGCCCCGGAGCAGUCACGUACCCUAUUCUACAAAGUCUGACAAAGUCAUUUCCUGACCCACCGAAACUCCCAAGCAUCACCACAAUCCCCAAUCACAAACAAGCACUCCAAUAAAGGAAAAAUGGUAAAUAGACGACAUAGAGGAGAAAAAGGAACAUACCUGGCAAGUGCUUACGACGAUGAAAAGAACUGAACCAUGGUCGCUUGAGUAAACCAGUCGAGAAAUCGCCAAGGAAAGUGUCACCGUGCAAAGCCUAAGAUCACUGCCUAGGUAUUGUCAGAACAAAGCAAAGGGGGGGGGGGGGGGGGGAGAAAUCCCUAGGAACCCCAAACGACAAGGUGCCCAAUCGCACUUCACUCGAGGUGACACGCUGCCUGGUAGCAAUUUCAAGAACAACGUCUCUUCAAAAUGCCCUUCCCAAGUGCCACGUGUCGCGCAAUCGCUGAAAGAAUUUGAAAAAUCGUUUUAACCCACCUUUUCUGACCGGACAAAACAAUCAGGUUAAAAGUGGGCAUUGUAAAGACCUCCCUUGGGCGGACACGUGGCAGAUUGCCUUGACCUUGCAAAACACCCUUCUAUUGGACACGUGGUACCCCUUCGCCUCUGUCUGGACAUGUGCCAUUAGAUGGGAACCCCAAUUCGGCCCCAAUAGUCAAUAGUCAACUACCUCGUGCUCCUCUAAGAAUGCAUGACACGUUCCAAAUAGGAUCCCUGACCGGCUUCCGCGGGCAAUCAUUCUUCUCCCCACCAAAAGCACACUCGAUGGGACAUCCCCAUGUCCUUUUAGGCGACCUGCUACGCUCUGCACUGCGCUGCCUACAGAAUGAGGUGACAAGCAAGAUGCCAGGACGCCCCACCAGCGAUCCCUAUCAGCCGCCUAAAGGAUAAUGAUUGCUCUGCCACCCUCUGUGCAGCCAUCAUGAUUGUGAAAGUCAAAGGACCUUCCUAACAUAGAUGUGACAAGGCUCCAAACACUAUAAAAGCCUUCCCAUAGCUCAAAAAAAUGGGGGGUAAGACAGUCCACUUCUUGAGUUCCCAAGAAGGGGUAUUCUCUCCAAUUGUCAAUCUAACUAGAGUUUCGGAGGGUGUGUCCGGACAACCUGUCCGAACAUCUUUUACAGGAGAGGAGAAAGAAGCCUCACUCUCAGUUGAUUGGGCGACGACAUCAGGAAGACACAUUACUUCCAGUUAUCCGUCAUCAACAAAUCACAUGCAACUUUCUUGUGUCUUCAGCUCCCACUGUGUGUGCAUUAUCCUCCCAACCACCAUGUUCCCUUCGUAGUUAGAUGAACAAGACUUCAUAAUUGAGGUUUUUAUGCACUGAGUGUUAUCUCUAAGAAUGAGAAAUGUUAUGGAUGUGAGAUAAUUUGAGAUGUUGAUAUUGUUUCUUUUCUGUUAUUUGAUGAGCUGGAGUAGUUAGUGUGGUUGUGAGACUCCAAGCUAUAUACAGGUCACCAUUUUUGUAUCCCGGACUGCACAGAAAUCUGAAUAUCAAUGAGAUAGAUAUUUUCCUCUGUUUUUCUUUCUCAACACUCUGUUUUGAUCCAGAAUUUGUAAUAUGGUAUCAGAGCACUUUAUGCUUCUGCUUAUCUAUGCAUUUAUCUCCAUUUUUGUUUGAUGGCUUGAGGCAACCAAUCCAAUACACGAGCUGUGAUUGGAUCCUCUGAAUCGUCACCGAUGGAAGACACUGGGAGUCCAUUCUAUCUUCACAAUGGGGAUCAUCCUGGUCUUGUACUCGUUUCACACCAUUUGACUGGGAGUAAUUACAAUACCUGGAGUAGAGCCAUGAUUAUGGCAUUGACUGCGAAAAACAAAAUGGGAUUUGUGGACGGAACUAUACCAUGAGCAGCGCCCAACGAUCUCCUCUUCAAUGCUUGGAAUCGCUGCAACAGCAUGGUGAUUUCGUGGCUCUUAAACUCAGUUUCUCGGGAGAUUGCUGAUAGCUUAAUGUAUAUUGCAACAAGCUCAGAGAUCUGGAUGGAUCUACGGGAUCAAUUUCGUCAACGUAAUGCUCAUUGGAUUUUUCAGCUUCGUAAGCAACUCAUUGCACUGCAGCAAGGAGGUCUUGACAUUAAUACGUACUACACUUGAUUCAAGGUUCUUUGGGAAGAACUCAAAAACUUUCAACCAUUACCAGCUUGUCAUUGUGGAGGAAUGCAAGCUUGGGUGGAGUAUCAGCAGCAGGAACAUGUGAUUCAAUUUCUAAUGGGGUUGAACGACUCUUAUUCUCAGACUCGGAGCCAAAUCCUGAUGAUGGAGCCCAUUCCGCCGUUAGCGAAGGUUUUCGCACUUGUUCUUCAAGAGGAGAGACAACGAUCUAUCAAUCAAGGUUUCUCUUCUUUAUUGCAACCCUUAGCUUUGGGAGAUUCAAGUCAAGCUUCUGCAAAUACUCAUAUUGGCAGCUCUGCUUCUAAACCCAAGUUUGAACGGCCUCAAUGUACCCAUUGUGGGCUUCAAGGGCACGCUAUGGAUCGCUGUUACAAGCUUCAUGGGUACCCACUUGGGUAUAAGCCCAAGUCAAAGAGUCAAUUGGGCCAGGUCCAAGCCAAUCAAACCUCCUCACUUGUUUCUAAUGAGCCAGCUGCUGCAGAUUUGACAGUGGGUGCACUCUCUUCUAGUCAAUGCCAGCAACUCAUUGCCUUGCUUAGUUCCUAGUUGCAGCGUAGCUCACUUUCAACUGUGGAAUCACUACAACAGGGUGGCCCUUCCGUCUCCAGCUUCAGUGGUAAAGUCAUUCUGUUCUUCUCUUGUUCUUCAAUUCUUGGGUCAUGGAUACUGGGACAACCCACCAUGUUUGUCGCACUCUAAGUUUAUUCAAAUCCACUUCUCCAUCUUUCAAUUCCAGUGUCACUCUUCUUAAUGGGGAAUCUGUAGUCAUUACUCGUAUAGGGUCCAUAGAACUGUUUGAUCAUUUUGUGCUUGAGAACGUCUUAUAUGUUCCUCAAUUUCGAUUCAACUUGCUUUCAGUUAGUGCCCUCACUCAAUCCCAUAGAUGCUUUAUUCAAUUUGAUUCUGAAUCUUGUUUUAGUCAGGACCAUUUGCAGGGGAAGAUGAUUUGGAUGGGUAAACGCAAGGGCAACCUUUACAUUUUGGAUCCAACCAACCUUUUUCCUAUCUCAGGUGUUUGUAAUCAUGUCUCUAAGAAAGAACAUGAAGUUUGGCAUUCCCGUUUAAGACAUCUCUCUUAUGUUAGACUUAAUGUUUUGAAAAAUAUAUUACAUUUUAAACAACUCCUUAAUGAAACACCUCAUUGUUCAAUUUUUCAUUUAGCAAAGCAGAAACGUUUACCAUUUCCUAAUUCUAAUUCUGUGUCAAUUUUUGCUUUUGAAUUGUUGCAUUUGGAUAUUUGGGGUGCUUUCCAUUUACCAACCUGUGAUGGGUUCCAUUAUUUCCUUACCAUUGUGGAUGAUUUUUUUCGUUUUACCUAGGUGUAUUUGUUGAAAGCUAAAUCUGAUGUUGCUAGCAUUUUUCCUGCAUUUUAUAAUCUUGUCCACACAUAAUAUGGUGUUAAAAUCAAAUCAGUUUGUAGUGAUAAUGCACCUGAAUUAGCUUUCACAGAUUUCUUUCAUGACAAAGGGAUAAUGUCUUUCCAUUCUUGUGUUGACACUCCUCAACAAAACUCCAUUGUGGAACGAAAGCACCAAUACCUUUUGAAUGUAGGUCAUGCUCUAUUGUUUCAAUCUCAUAUCCCAUUAGCAUAUUGGGGUGAUUGCAUUUUAACUACCUCAUAUCUCAUAAAUAGGAUACCUUCCCCUGUCUUGUCUAAUAAAACCCCUUUUGAAGCUUUAUAUCAUAAGGUUCCUUUCUAUAAUCAUCUUCAUACUUUUGGUUGCCUAUUGCCUAUGCUAUGGAUCUACACUCACUCGUCAUCGUGAUAAGUUCUCUCAUCGGGCAAUUCGGUCCGUGUUCCUUGGUUAUCCUCCAGGUUGUAAAGGCUACAAACUGUUAAAUCUUGAUACUAAUGCAAUUUACAUUAGCAGGGAUGUAGUCUUUCAUGAAGCUUUGUUUCCUUUUCAGACAAAUAACCAGGAACCUUCUCUUUCUGAGUUAUUUUCUGACAAUGUUCUUCCUUCUGCACAUAGGAGCACUUUUUCUUCACCUCUUACUUUGGUCAAUGAUCCAACUCCUACUUUUCCCAAGCAAAAUCUUGUCACUACUCCUUCUUGCCCUUCUCAAGUUGCAAAGCCACCCUCUUAUCUUCAGGAUUAUCACUGCUAUGCCACUGUUUCACAACCCACUCCUGUUUUGUAUCCUCUUUCCAGUGUGCUUAGUUAUGAUAAACUUUCCUCUUCUCAUCGUGCCUUGGUUCAUGCUAUCUUUUCACAUGUUGAACCCACUUCUUUUACCCAAGCUGUUGAAAUUCCAAAGUGGUAGCAAGCUAUGCAAGCAGAACUACAAGUUCUUGAGGCGAAUGGUACAUGGUCCUUAACCACCCUUCCUUCUAGUAAACUAGCUGUGGGAUGUAAAUGGGUUUACAAAUUAAAAUUUCGAGCUAAUGGUACACUUGAGCGUCAUAAAGCACAUUUAGUUGCAAAAGGAUAUACUAAAAAAGGUCUGGAUCAUGUAGAUACAUUUUCCCCAGUGGCUAAAUUGGUAACAAUUAAACUUUUGUUAGCUUUAGCAGCUAUUCAUGGGUGGCAUCUCAUCCAAUUGGAUGUUAACAAUGCUUUUCUUCACGGUGAUUUAAUUGAGGAGGUCUACAUGUGCUUGCCUCAAGGAUAUCACCGUGAGGGGGAGACUCCUCCUUCUCCUAACACUGUUUGCAGGUUGCACAAGUCAAUUUAUGGCCUCAAACAAGCUUCCAGACAAUGGUUUGCCAAGCUUUCAAGUGUGCUAUUGAGGAGAGGUUUCACUCAAGUCAUCCUCAGAUCAUUCAUUGUUUAUAAAAAAUAAUGUUGACUCUUUCGAUGCAGUUCUUGUGUAUGUUGAUCAUAUCAUUGUUGCCAGCAAUGAUUCUAACAGUAUUGCAGAUCUUAAAUGCUUUAUUGAUAGUCAAUUCAAACUUAAGGACCCCGGACAACUCAAAUACUUUCUUGGUCUUGAAGUGGCCAGGUCAAAGAAUGGAAUCUCUAUUAGCCAAAGACACUAUGCCCUUCAGCUACUCUCAGAAGCAGGAUUUCUGGGCUGUAAACCUGCAAAUACCCCUAUGGAAGCUAACAUUAAGCUUACUCAAGAUGAUGGAGAGCCACUCAAAGAUCCCGAAUUGUACAGACGCUUAAUUUGGAAGCUUUUAUAUUUGACAAUUACACGGCCAGACUUGUCAUAUGUAGUGAAUCGGCUUAGUCAGUAUCUUGCAAAUCCAAGGACAGCUCACCUACAAGUAGUACAUUGUGUUUUACAGUAUAUCAAAGGAACUAUGGGGUAGGGUCUCUAUUUCUCUUCAUCUUCAACAGUUUAGCUAAAAGCUUUUGUGGAUUCAGAUUGGGCUGCUUGCAAAGAAACGAGGAGAUCAAUUAGUGGUUUUUGUGUAUUUCUUGGAGAGUUGCUGAUUUUGUGGAAAUCAAAGAAGCAAAGCACUGUAUCUCAUUCAUCUGCAGAAGCAGAGUAUCGUGCAAUGGCUAACGUUACUUGUGAACUGGUUUGGUUGAUCUCUCUUCUUCGAGAUUUUCAAAAUUGAACACAAGCAGCCAGCAAUGUUAUUCUGUGAUAAUGAAACAGCACUUCAUAUUACAGCCAAUCUCAUGUUCCAUGAGCGGACAAAACAUAUUGGGAUCGACUGUCAACUUAUGAGAGAGAAGAUUCAAGCAGGCUGUCUUAAAACAAUGCAUGUUUCAUCCCAACACCAGGUUGCAGACCUCCUCACCAAAGCUUUGUUCCCAGCUCAGUUCAAGUUUUUGCUCAGCAAGAUGGGAAUUCACAAUUUUCAUUCUCCAUCUUGAGGAGGAGUAAUAGAAUCUUAUGGCAUUUAUGUAAUUAGCUAUUCCCAAUUCAGUUGAUAUUGUUUCUUUUCUGUUAUUUGAUGAGCUGGAGUAGUUAGUGUGGUUGUGAGACUCCAAGCUAUAUACAGGUCACCAUUUUUGUAUCCCGGACUGUACAUAAAUCUGAAUAUCAAUGGGAUAGAUAUUUUCCUCUGUUUUUCUUUCUCAACACUCUGUUUUGAUCCAGAAUUUGUAAUAUAUAACAACUUCAGAAACUGCCUUAAUGGCUACUCUACUUCCAUUUUUCCUUCAAGGACACGGACUUCAAUCACAUCGUGUUCAGCGUUUCUUAUAAGACCAAGAGUCCUGGAUCAGCCCCAAGUACUGUAAUCUGAGAAUGGGCAUCCAUUGUUUCUGGGCAUUGUUUUUGGCCUUGGCUUUGGCCUUUGCCAUCAUCGGCAAAGCUCAGGACACCACUCUUGUUCCAUCCAUCGUAACUUUUGGAGACUCUGCUGUAGAUGUUGGGAAUAAUGAGUAUCUCCCCACCAUUUUCAAGUCCAAUUACCCUCCUUAUGGAAGGGACUUCAUCAACCAUCAGCCUACAGGGAGGUUCUGCAAUGGAAAACUAGCAACAGACAUUACUGGUAAUCAGCUUAAAGCAUUGAUCCAAUCCCACUGAAUUUGGUACCUUAUCAAAUUUAUGUACUAACCAUGAUUGUAAUUCCAUUUACAGCUGACAUUUUUGGCUUCAAGACUUACCCCCCAGCAUACCUUAUCACCAAGGCAUCAGGGGGAACCUUCUGAUUGGAGCCAACUUUGCCUCUGCUGGCUCUAUUUAUGAUGACAAAACAGCCAUCUUAAGUGUAAGAAAAUUCCCUCAUUCUCUAGUUUUGUUUCCAAGAAAACCUAAGAAAACAAAUUUUCCAAUCAUCAAACAUUGUUCCAAUACACUUUCAACAUAGAAAAUCUUCAUAUUAGCAUUGUGAUCACAAGCUAAUCACUCCUAGAUUUGGGUUAAGUAUAAAUAGGUUUAGAUGAAAUUCAUGUCAACUUGCAUAACAUGUUCAAUAAAUAGAUAAUUUUUGGGUUAACUUGCAUAGCACGAAUUUAAUCCAAAUUGACUUAUUUAAUAAUCCUGCUAAUUAACAUCAUUAUAAUUUUAGGUUAUUUAACCUGAUUAUUAAAUAUGAAAACUUAAUUAUUAAAUAAGUUAAAUGGGUUAUACAACGAGUGCUACCUGUUUAAUAAUUAGAUAAUAUUCAGAUUUAUGUUUUUAACAUGAUUUUCAUAUUGGUUUUGGGUUAACCUAUGUAGCAAAAUACCUUUAACAUGACACGAACACAAACACAAUCCACCAAUAUAAACUGUCAUCCCUAAAUAUUAUUAAUCUUUUUCUAAUAAAUUACACAAAGGAUUUACUAAUAUAGGCCACUCUGCCUGGCAAGCAGGAACCUCUCAUCCAGCAAUUUGGCCGGGAAUAUACUCACAUCAUUUUUGAGUCUCAAAUCAUUACAAAAUCUGUAAGUAUUAGUGGCCUUAUGAAUAUCUUCUCUAUAAUCUGAUGGAGGCUUUUGCUCAAAAUGCAUGCAACUCAAACUAUAAUUUCAGGGAUUUAUCAUACAACUUGACUGGAUCAGUACCAGAAUUUUUUGCAGACUAACAAUCCUGUAAGUAAUUAAAUUUUAGCUUUCGGAUGUCUGAAUUCUUUAGGAUAUAUGUGAAGGAAGUCUCAGUAUUUGAAGUUGUCUUUGCAGUAAUUUAACGGGGAACAACCUAACAGGUUCGGUUCCACAGGCUGUUAUCAAUAAGUUCGAGGAAGGAACUCUGAGGUUUGCUUAAUUAUCUUUUCUAGUACUUGUUCUCAAUUUUUGUUUAUAGAAUUCUUGACUUCAAUAUCCAUAUAUUUUUAUCAUAAAGUUUAUUGAUUAGUGGACGUACCUUGUUCUAUUUUAUGCAAGUCUUGGCGAAAAUCCAAAUCUUUGUCUGUCAGUCUCGUGCCAAGGAAAGAAGAAGAAGAAGUUCCUUGUUCCUCUUCUCAUAGCCAUUCCGACUGUAAUUGUGAUCCUGAUACUCAUAACUGCCCUUGCAAUCAUCCGGAAGUUGAUCAAAAGGAGAGGAACCAAAGGUAUUUUCUUCUUCCAUUUUCAUUUUUUUCCUUAUUUAGUGAGGAUUUAACAUUUUAUUGCUCCUUUUUAUUAUGAUUUCCUUAUCUACAACCAUAGAGACAGUCACUGAAUGCCCCAAAGAGGGGCCAUUGAAGUCAGGGAAUUCCGAGUUCACUUUCUCUGAUGUUGCAAGUAUCACCAAUAACUUUAGUCGGACCAUCAGUAGGGGAGGAUUCUCAUAGCCAUUGAAGUCACUAAAUAUAUGUAUAUAUAUAUAUAUAUAUAUAUAUAUAUGUAGUGACCACUCUUGAUCACAGGUAUAUAACUGUCAAGGGAAGCUACUUGUGGGCUUUAAUGUUUAUGCAUUUGCUGCAGGGAGAGAAGCUGCAGAUGUUUUGAAUUGGAAACAGAGACUUCAAAUUGCAGUAGAUGCAGCACAAGGUCAGAAAUUAAGCGGAUCUUCCACAUCAUAAUUAAUUUGCAUUCAAAUAUUUCUUUAAUUUGUGAGUCUUUUCUUGCUUAAUUGUGUAGGAUUGGAGUAUCUACACAUUGGCUGUAAGCCACCAAUAGUCCACAGAGACAUGAAGUCUUCCAAAAUUCUAUUAACUGAAACCCAGCAAGCCAAGAUAGCUGAUUUUGGGAUGUCCAGAGAUCUUGCAACUGAAAGUGGCGCUUUCAUAUCAACUGUCCCUGCAGGCACACCUGAAUAUCUGGAUCCUGAGUAAGUGUUAAUAGCAUUCCUUAAAAUUUUUAUAAUUGCUUCCUCAUUCAUGAAAUAUAACUUCCUAUGCAUACCAGUCAAUGGGAAAUUUGAAUAAGAAGAGCCAUAUUUACAGCUUUGGGGUUGUUUUGUUGGAGCUGAUCACCGGCCACCCUGCAAUAAAGAACCCUGGCAGCAUUCAUAUAGUUGGAUGGGUUAGUCCUAUGAUUGAAUGAGGGGAUAUUCGAAGCAUUGUUGGUCCAAGGUUACAAGGAGAUUUCAACACCAUUUCUGCCUGGAAAGCCCUAGAGAUAACCUUAGCAUGUGUAGCAUCAACAGGAAUGCAAAGGCCAGAUAUGAGUCAUGUAUUGGCAGACUUGAAGGAAUGUUUGGGGAUAGAGGUGGCUUCCAGGAGAAUUCAAAGUGUAGAUAGCCUCAGCUUCGGAUCAGGCAAUUUCCUGGAAGAUAGUCCCUUGAUUCUUGGCACUCAAUCGGCUCCCCAUGCUAGGUAGUUGUUGGAUGCUCCAUUAUAUUGCGAUAAAUUUGCUUAAUGUUAGCAUGUGGGAAUAUGGAUUAUGGUGCACUCUAUAUUUUGAAUUGUGUUCAUGAAAAAUUCUGUAUUGGGUAAUUGUACCAACUUUCUCUCAUAGACAUGCAGGAUUUCACUUAUGUGGUGUUUGGUAUAUGGGAAUAGGGAGUGAGAAUAGACAUUUCAUUCAUUUUCUUCCUUAUUCCUAUAUUUGAAUAAAUGUUAAAAAGGUAGAAAUUGAAUAAAAAAUUAUUCUGACAAAAAUCAAAUCCAACUUAUAAGUCGAAUUUAAAUUCAUUAAAAGUAUGUGGUAUUCUAAUUCAUUGAACCCAUUUGAUAAUAUAAAAUAACAUAAAUUUACUAUUUUAUCUUCUUAUCUCAUUCUUCAAGCCCGGUGUUUAUCUUCUUUGCAAAGUUAAAGACCCAUUCAUCAUCCACUUCUCUGCAACAAGUGAAUCUCCCAAACUGAAUCAAUCAAACCUUCCACGACAUUUAGAAAAAAAAAUUUCAAUUUCUAAUUUCUAGAGUUUUGGAUGUUCAAUUUCUAAUUUCUAGGGUUUUUUUAUGUUCAUUUAAAUAUUAUAUAUAUAUAUAUAUAUUUGGUAAAAUAUAAUUUUAUAACUACUUAAGCAUGACAAAUUAUUCAAAUUUUUAAUAAAAAUAAUAAUUGAAUAUUUGUACAUUAGGGUUAUAUGAUUUUUUAUGGUUAAUUUUUUAUUUAUUGAGUAUAUAUAUAUAUUUAUUUAUUUAGUUUUAUUAUUUAAUAACAAAACAACUCUCAAAUUUUAUUUUUUUUUAAAAAAAAAAAAAAUUUUAAAUUAUAUGUAAGGUUAUUAUUGUAAAUUUAUUUCCUUUUCAUUUUCAUUCCUAUUAUUAUCAAACAUUGGAAUGGAAACAAAUAAUCAUUCCAAUCUUGCAUUCCUAAGAUCAUCCAAAUGCUAAAAAUGGAAUCAUUAAAUUUAUUUCUAUCCACUAAGAAAUAGAAAUGGAAACAAAAUAUUUAUUUUCAUUCCCUAUUCCGACGUACCAAACACCCCCUUUAGAGAGCACUUUAACUAUUGUGUGAUAAUCUUAAUGCUCUUCAUAUGACUGUAAAUCCAUUUCAUGCUCGAACCAAGCACAUUGAACUUUUUUUACAAUAAAGUGUUGCUACGAGAAAUCUUGUUCUACAUUAUGUUUUUUGUUCAACACAAUUUGCACACAUCCUCACCAAGCCUCUAUUCAUUUGGAGAGCCUUGAUUCAAUUAAGCUAGUAUUAUCUUGGGCUAUUAAGAAAUCAAUUAAAAAUGGAGAAGGCAUACAAACUUUUAAGGUAAAAAGUGAAUUCAUCUAUUUCAAUAUGAGUUCAAUCAAAAUAAAACAAGUGAUGAAAAGUAUUGUUUUUUUAUUAAUAUUUUAAUAUUUAUUUUUUAAUACUAUUUUUCUUUUUAGAAAAAAAAUAAAAUAAAAUCCCCUUAGCCCUCACAGUCCAAUAGUUUGGUGCAUCAUACAAUUCGUUGUUGUUGUGAUGUUGACUAGUCAAUAAAAUUCUAAAACUUUUUGAAAAAUAAAAAUUGUAGGGUUGGUUGAUUUCUUCUUUACAUAAUUACGCAAAGUUUUAUCAAAUGCAAGUGGAUGUUUGCUUUUUAUUUAAAAUUUGAAUUGAUUUGAAUUUAUUUAAAAUAUGAAUAGAAAUAAAUAUAAAAUAAUUAUUAUACUCCAACUUUACAUAAAAAACUAAAUAAGAUUUCUAUUUUUUUAUAUUGACAUAAAUUUUAAUUAAUUAUUUUUCUUUUGGUGUAAAAAGAUUACUCGAUAUAUUAAUAGAGAAAAGAAACAAGACAGUUUUUGUAAAUUAGUACAUACACAUAUAAGCUUCCAAAUUGGCUUGAUCAAGUUUGCAUUGUCUUAUCUCCUACAACUGUCACUUUUAAUAAAUACAACAAUUAAUUAUUUUGUAUGGGAUUAAGAAACUUCCUGUUAAGAACAGUAGAUGGGACAAAUUAAGUCAGUGAUGUUUAAACUCAUGAAUUUCUAUGUCCAUAUUGGAUGUGAAAAUCUUAAAUUUUAUACCUUACUAAUUAAGGCCACUUAAUAAUCUUUUUUUUUUCUUUAAAAAAUAUGCUAAUCAACUUAUAACAACAAAAAAAAACCAUAAAGAUUUAUUAUAAGGAUGAUAAAAUUUGAUACAUUUUCUCAAGACAACUAAAUUCUAAUAUGUUUUUUUAUGGAUUUGAAUUAAGUAUAAUUGUGUUCAAAUUCAUAGGGGCAUGCAUAACCUAUUUAAUAAAUAUAUUAUCUUUUGUCAAACUAUAUAACAUGAAUUUGAUUCAAAUUUACUUAAUUAAUAAUCCUAUUGAAUAACUUGAUUAUAACUAUUAAAAAGUUUAACUCGUGUUUAACUUAUUUUAACUUUACUUAAUAAAUAAGUUAAUUGAAUGAUGAACAUGCCAAUAGAUUCAUCAUAAUAAUUUGUAUAAGAUCUAACUCAUAUAAGAUUAUAUAAGAUCUAACUCAAUCAUUAUUAAAUGGAUUAAAUAAGUUAACUCGACAUGUUACCUUUUAAAUAAUUAGGUAAUAUUUGGGUUUAUGUUUUUAAUUUGACUUUUACUUGUGUCAUGUUUGGAUUGACCUAUUUUAUACAAUGUUUGAGUCUUGACACAACACAACAAUCAAUACCAAUUGUCACCCCUAUUUAUUUUGGAGUUAUUUGAUUAAAGAGAUAAAAUAAUCUAUAAUUUGUAAAUCUAACCCUCCAUAUUCUUCACCAAAAAUACAUCUAUGUUAAAAAUGAAUUAUUUUUCAAGUUGAAAUAUGGGAGGCUUAGAUUUAGUAAUUUGGUUUCAUUUCUAACCCUUUUUUUAUUCAUCUUUCUCUCCUUUGUCCUAUAACAAUAGUUUCUGAAGUACAAAUUUCAUAGUAACAUUCAAUGAUAAAUGUCAUUGGCCAAACCCUAACCCAAUGCAUGCAUAUGUUAUAAGUCAAUAGUCUCCCAAUACUCACAUUGUAAGUCAAUGACUCAAUACUAAUAGUCUAAUACCAUGUCCCGAAGGGCCAACCCUCUGGGACAUGAUAUAACUAUAAAAAUUAUUUACUAUAAACAAUGAGUUGUAAACGUAGAGUCAUAGUUGUAAAAUAUGUUCUUAUUAAAUAUGAGUAAAUGAAGUAAAAAAAAAAAUUAAAUUAAGAUUAGAAUAAGUUAACUGAUUUGACUUAAUACUUAAAAUUAUUUUUGACUUUAAGUUAUAUUAUUAAAUUAUUUUACUAAACUUGUUAAUCUACUUAACCCAUUUUCUUUUAGACUUUAAUAUUUGAAAAUCAACUCUUGUAGGGAACUCUUUAACUCUUUUGGUCUUGACUACAUCUUUUAGAGUUCUACAAAGCAACCCAUGACACCCUUUAGGAUUGAAGCUAAGUAAAGCUCCAUGGCUUCUACAAUUACUGAAAUUACAUAGUUCUCAUCCAUAUUAUGAAAUGUUAGAAUUCUACUUAAGAUGGUACUUCGAUUAUUUUGUGAUAAUCUUAGUGCUCUUCAGAUGAUUGUAAAUUAUAUUUUUCAUGCUCAAACCAAGCACAUCAAACUUAAUUAUCAUUUUGUACGAAAAAGUGUUGUAAUGAGCAUUUUUGUUACAUGUUAUAUUUCUUGUUCAAGACAACCUACACACAUCCUCUCUAACCCUCUAUCUAGAGUCAUUUGGAGAGCCUUGUUUCAAGCUAAUAUUAUCUUGACUCUCGAGUAUGUUAAGAAAUCAAUUAAAACAAAGGAAAAAAGGCAAGUUAAUAACUAGCUCCUACAAUCAUGUAACUACAAGCAAGAGUUCCCAUAAUAAAACGUCAACAACAAUUGCUUAAGCAAGAGUUCUCAUAACUUUGUUCAAAAUGAAUUAUGAAGUAAAAAUAGUGUCCUUCAUUCUAUUUUGAAAGUUUGUUAAUUUAUUUUAGGAAAAAGUGGGUUUUGACUCACUAAUUUAAAAAUAUAUAGAAAAAAUAACCCUAGUUUUAUAUUCAUUUAUUUAAAAAUAUUUUAAAAUAUAUGCACUUUUUCAUAAAUAAGAUAUUUAUUUCCUAAAGUACCCUUUUACUUAAUAAUAUGAAAUAAAAUUAUCAAAAAAACCAAUUUAUCAUUUUAAUUUGAUAAAAAUAUCUUAUAAAUAAAUACAUUAUAUUUUUAUUACAUAAUAUUAUAUACAAAUCAUUUUAAAAAAAUUCUCUAGAUCCUCAAGUAAUAAAUAAAAUCUUUCUAAUUCUCUAAUUAAUAAUGAUUUUAUAUAUUAUAUUAUAUAAAUCAAUUCAUCUUCUCAUUAAUUUUUUUUAAUAAAAUUGAAUAAAAAAUUUAUUACUUGACAUCAACAAUAAAAUAAGAAAUUUUAAAAAAUAAAAAUUCAAUUCAAAAUAAAAUACUAAAAAAUUAAAUACAAUUUAAAAAGAAAAAGAAAUCAAAUACAAUUAAAACCAAAAAGCACUUAAAAAUUUUAAAAAUAAAAUAUUGACUUUCAUUGUAUUUCCAACUCUUUCUUGAUAUCUAUAUUUUCUACUAGUAUUAUUUAACAAAGUGAAAGUUAAUAUUUGAUUUUCAUAUUUUUGGCUUUAAAAUUUUUUAAAUUUUAAUUAUAUUUUUUAAAUUUUUUAUUUGAAUCAAUUUAAAAAAUUCGUCAAUUUGUGACAUUAUCCUAAUAAGUAAUAGGUCACUUCAGGAAAUAAAUAUGUGACUUAUGACAUAAUAUAUGUAUUUUAAGAUAUUUUUAAAUAGAUGAAAAAAUUGAUUUAUAAAAAUUGAAGUUUUUUUGUCCUAUACUUUUUAAAUAAGUGAAUGGAAACUCACUUUUCCCUUUAUUUUAAACUAACUUUUUAUUCAAAUUAAGUGAUUUAUAUGUUCUGGGGUUCUUUUUAAGUUAAAGUUGAUAAGAAAAUCUUAUAUACAAAGUUUAUUGGAAAACAAAAGAAAAUGGAUAAAAACAAAACAUAUUUAAGUAAUAAUCAGUUUUUGUUCACCACGACAAUUUUUCUAAUUUAUAGUAAAUUGAUUUCAGUAUAAAAUUGAAGUAGUUUAAAUUUUUAAAUAAGAAUUAUCCAAAAAUUUUAUAAUCAAUUUAGUUUUAUUUUGUACUAGAAAUUAGAUUUAAGUAUUAUAACAAAGUAAAAAAAUUGAAAAAUAAAAUUUUAAAAAAAGUGACGUUUUUCAUUAACAUAAAAGUAAAAGAAUUUAUUUUUUUUCAUUAAGACAAAAUUAUCUUCAAAAAAAAAAAAAGUGAUAAAUUAAAAAUAAGUUAAGAUUUAAAUUGUUUUUAAAACUUCUUAAUCUUGAAAGCAACUUGGGAUGUUGAUCACUAUUAUGCUCCUAUACACAUAUCCCACAUUUUCUUGCAAUGUUCCCAUGCUCUCAACCAGACCAUGCUGGCCCUCACAGCUGUUGGUUUGGUGUAUCAGUCAAUUUGUUGUUAUUGUGAUAUUGACUGGUUUUUGUUUACUAAUUCAUAUAACCUUCCAAAUUGACUUCCUCAUGUUUGCAUUGACUUGGUCAAGUCUGCAUUGACUUGUCUACUACAACCAUCACCAUUAAUAAUUUCCCCUGUAUAUCUUGUCUCCAAAUAAAUACAACUGUUAAUAAUUUUCUACACAUUAGGGACCGAGAAACUUCCUAUGGACUAUUGAGAACAGUUUUAUACAUAUUGAAUAAUUUAGGUCACUGAUUAGUCUUUUUUUAAAACAACACUAAUCAAUUUAUAACAACAAAAGAAACCAGCAAAGUUUUGUUUAUAGGGGUGACAAAUAUUGAUAUGAUUUGUCAAGCUACUUCUAACAUACACUAAUUAAUUUAUAACAACAAAAGAAAUCAACAAAGUUUUGUUUAUAAGGUAGACAAAUAUUGAUAUGAUUUUUCAAUGCUACUCACUACUAACACACUUUCUGUAAAUUUGAAUUAAGUAUAAUCAUAUUUAAGUCAAAUUCCUAUUGACUUGUAUAACCCAUUUAAUAAAUAUAUUAUUGUUUUAUCAACCCACAUAAUAUGAAUUUGACUUGAAAUAUUUAUAAACUCGUAUUUGAUUCAUUUUAACUUUAAUUAAAAAAUACUUUCAUUGAAUUAUGAACAUGUCAAGUUAAAAAAUUAAUCAUAUAAAUAUGUACAAAAUCUAACUCAUAUAAAUUUAUACAAGAUUUAACUCAAUUUAACUAUUAAACGGGUUAAAAAAGUUAUCAUGUUACUUUUUUAAUAAUUAAAUAAUAUUUGAAUUUAUAUUUUGAAUCCGACUUUUAUUUAUACCAUAUUUGGAUUGACUUAAUAGAAUAUCUAAGUCUUGACAUGACAUGAUGACCAACAUCAAUUGUCACCCUUAUUUAUUUGAGUUAUUUGAUUAAAAGGGAUAAAAUAAUCCCUAAUUAAUUUGUAAAUUUAACUCAUUACAUUUUUUUCAGCAUAAAAAUUAUCUAUUUUUUCUCAUAAAAAAAAGAAGAAUUAAUUGGCAAAAAGGAAUAAAAUAAUCUUCAUAGUUGUAAAUUUAACAUCUUCCAUAUUUUUUUAAAGAAUAACUCAUUUUUUACAUAAAUGUUUUUAACUAUUUCAAGUAUUUACAUGUAAAUUUAAAAAAAAAAUGUUUAUUUUUAUUAAAAAAAAAAUGGAGGCAUUUUUGUUAUGGUAAAAAAAAAAAAAAGACGAUGGGUUAGAUUUGCAAAAUAAAGUUUAAAUAAAUAAAAUUUAAAAAUUGAAAAAAAAAUUGUAUAUAAACAAUUGAAAAUAUUGAACGAUAUGAAGCAUGAAAAUGGAUUAUUUUUCAAGUUCGGAGCAUUCAUUUCAUCCAUUUUACUAUUCAACAACCCUAACCCAAACCAUACGUUGCAAGUCAGCCAAUGCCGUUCCCAAUACUCACGUUGUAAGUGUCGAUGGGCCAUCCCCGAAUUCCUAGUACACGAGGAUUUGAAUUUAAAGCUUGUCUCAGCUAUAUAUUAUGCAUACACCCCCUUCUUCGUUAGUGUCUUCACAGACUUCACUUUCGUACAUCCAGCUCCGAAACAACAUGGAUGGUAGACCAACAUUGAUCUGGCUGCUCAUUAUUUCCUUGCACGGCUUGGGAUGGGUUUCAGGUCCCUUCCAUGGAAUCCAGCCUGGUCGGCGAGAGCUCACGGCCAGGGAAGGUAGGCAUUCAGUACUUUUGUACAAUUUAGCACCAUCAUGGCAAAUGAGGUAACUUUAACUCCCAAGUUCUAUUAUUGCGUGCACCUCAUUUAUGGUUUUUGAAGCACAUUAAAAUUAGGGGUGGCAAAAUCUAUGACUAGUCAGUUUUUUUGAAAUUCUGUAGAUUCUAUUAUGAAUGAUCAGUUUGAAACUUAAUUUGUAGGUUUCAUUAGCAUCGAUUGUGGAAUAGCUCCAGGCUCCCAUUACAUGGACGACAAGUUCCAGAUACUUUACGUUUCAGAUGAAGAUUUUAUAGAUACUGGAAUCAAUUAUAAUGUCUCCGAGGAAUACAUUGACGAUGAUCCACUGAAACAGUUCAUGAAUAUUAGAAGCUUCCCGGAAGGAAACAAAAAUUGUUACACCCUACGACCAGAAGGAGGCAAUAAGUAUUUGAUCAGAGCUCGGUUCAGGUAUGGGAAUUAUGAUUCCAAGAAUAAACUUCCGCCGUGCUGAUGAAUGGGUCAUAGUGGAUAUAAAAGAUGCAUCUGAUUAUAUCAAAGUAGAAAUCAUACAUGUCCCAACAACAGAUGACAUAUACGUUUGUCUAGUAAACAUUGGUUCUGGGACACCUAUCAUAUCCACAUUAGAGCUCAGACCCCUCAAUAAUUCCAUUUACGAUAAAUCCGAACCGGGUCGCUGCUACUCUUCAACGGGUGGGAUUUUAGUGUCACAUACGGUGGUUACGGUACAUACAGGUGAGGAUCAUUGUUUAGGUCCUUAACAAGAAUUCUUUUGUUCUAGAUCACUUCUGGUUGGAGAAAUUUACUAGUUUCUCAUCUUUCAGCUAAUUAAGUUUGUGCAAUCUUAGGGCGGAUGAUGUUUUCGACCGCAUUUGGAACAUAUUGGCCUGGUCGGAUGAAUGGGAUACCCGCAAAGCACCAUAUGAAAGUUCUUCCCUUAGUUACAGUGAGUAUAAACUUCCAAUGUCGGUCAUGAUGGAUGCUGUCAUACCCGUAGAUAUAAGUGAGCCCUGGAUCUUCUCUCUGGAUCUUGAUGAUGAUCCUUCACAAAAUUUAUACAUAUACAUGCACUUUGCCGAGGUUCAGGAACUUGGAGAAGGCGAUAUUAGAGAAUUUACUGUCUCAUUAAAUGAGGACGAUUCAUGGGGUGGUGGCGAGCCAGUGAUUCCCAAUUACAUGGUUCCGAACACCUUACAUCACCCCUUAUCAAUGCAAUGGAAGUUUACAAAAUAAAAGAUUUCCCACAGUCAUCAACUAAACAAGGGGAUGGUAUCUUCUUUUCUUAUCCAUAUAUAUCUCCAUAUAAUUUAGUUAUUCGCGAGCAGGGCUUAAAGAUGAUCCAGCUUUUCCCUUGUUUGUUUCCUUGGAAUUAAAUACUAGUUCUCGCUGUCAAGAACAUCCGGUCAGCUUACCGACUGACAAGACACUGGCAAGGAGAUCCAUGUCUCCCCUUGGAUUUCCCAUGGGAUGGCCUGCAGUGCAGUUACAGCAGUGACUCCCCCACUUGAUAGAGAUAUACUAUUAACCAUGCAUAAGCGUGAAUUUAAUAGAAUGUUAUUAUGAUGUCAUUCUAUAAACAAUUAUUUCUUUGUAUUUAAUUGGAGAUUUGCAUUAGAUAAAUUAAUCUUUCAGCAUAAUUUAAUAAUAAUUGUGUUAAUAUAUUUUAUAUAUAACUAACUGGACCAAGUAGAGAAUGGAUGUUUUGUACUGACUGUUAAAACAUAUUCUCUAGGACAUUAGAAAUAAGAUUUAUGUUUUUAAUCAUGAUUUAAUUAAUAUGAGCAAAUAUAAAAUGUCUUGUGUUUUGAUUCAUUAAAGAGUGAGUUUCAUUUAUUGGAGCGAUAAGACUCGAUGAGUUGGACAAAGACGCUUUAUGUUUGCGAUGUAUUAAAUAAUGAUUGAAUCCACGUCUCGGUAUAGAGAUUGAUGAUGCACUUUAAGUAAGCUUAUAAGGUUUCAUAGUGUAAACCCUGCAGGUGGAUUUUAAUCCGACACAUGAAUUAAGUUAAGCGACAAUCUUGAAGAUCUAUUGUUACUCAAAUAAAUUGUCAGUAAUUUGUUUGAUGUAAAUAGCAUCUGUAAUCUUAACGUGGGAAACAUAAAUUAUUAUGUAAUGGAAUUGUAAGAUUAAUAAGGAGUUCAAUCAUGAAUUUUUAGUGGUAUAAUUUGUGAUUAAUUAUAAUGAGAAUAUACUGGUUCUGUAUGAAUUCUUAUUAUAAUUAGUAGCCUUGUUAAUUUUAUUCCUGUGGUCCCUGCUGUGCCUUAAUUGUUUGGACUAUACAUGAAUUAUAUGUUUUAAAUAAAUGAUGGAUUAGUUUUUAAUUAAAUUUUAUUUAAUUAAAAAUAGAUAAUCUAAUUUAUUUAAAAUGAGCAUUUUAAGGGAAAGAGAGUCACGCUUAUAUCGGUUUUCUUGAAGCAAAUUAUACGCUUAAGAGUUUCUAAGAAAGCGGUCUUCUUCCCAUCGAAAAGAGGUAUAUUAGAAACAGAAAAGAGAGUGACAAAACCCUAGCUAUUGUUUUUUUUGCCCACUCAGAAAUCAUAGUCCGAAAAUUGAUAAGGUAAACAGCAGAAGAUUGUAGGAGAUUGUGGGCGUUUUUAGCAGAGAAAAAGGUCAGUCUUUUACAUAUGGUUUUGGCUUGCCUCCAUGCUUGUUUCAUCAUGAUUUGUUUCCGCUGCGUAAAUCAUGGUUUCUAUCAAUUGGUAUCAGAUCCAGGUUUGAAAUUCGUUUGGAGGUAUUAUUCGUACUGUCGUUUCUGAUUUAUUAUGAAAACAGAGUUAUAUGCGUUGGAUUAAAGAGACUCAUUUUUGAAAACGCAAGAGAUAAUGGCUGCAGUUGUUAUAUGAAUAUGCAUAUGUUCAUUGAUGUUAACACGCAGAUUGGGUGUUUUAUAUUAUAAUAUUAUAUUGCAUAUAAGGAUGUUAAUGGCUGCCGUUUUCAUCAAAUGCUUCAAUUAUAAUAUUGUAUUGUUGAAUGCUUCUAAUUAUCGCAAAUCAGAACAUGCUUGCUGCAGUUUUGUUUUUGAUAACAUGAAUGUUUUAGUAAACCAGCAGCUCGUUUAUUUCCAUUAAUUUGUGAGUAUUUCAAGAGUUGCUAGUUGUGAUUACUUACAUUUUCUUCCUCAUCGGCAGAUGAUUGAUUACUACUCAAAAAGUGCUAUUUGAUAGCCUAUAAUUAAUCCUUUUAAACACUUUUGAGUAGUAGUUUAGGCCUUUUAACUCAAUUGACAUGUUAAGGAUCCUUUAAAGCAAUUUUGAUCACUUUGUGUAAGUUUUGGUGUUUUUGUUAGUAUUUUAAUCACCAAAGCAAGUCAAGACUGAGGAGAGCUAUGAGGAAUCUUGGGCAAAGCUUAGAAUUCAUUUGCCAAGAGUGAAUCCGGAUUGCAAGGAGAAAAAGCAAAGAGAAUCUGCCAUAAAGCAUAUUCUUGAUGACAGUCGUAGCAGCCACUUUUGGAGCACUUUCUGAAGUUAAAAUGAUGCAUGCUAUAUACCAUUUCAAAUCUCAGGAAGUCAACAAUCCAAUGCUUCAAACGGUGUGCAAUUCGGAGUUGAAACGAAGAAGUUGCAGCCAUUACAAGCCAGUCACUCCGAGCUGAAGGAAGCAUUUUGCAAAGUGCUGCGAAAUCACCCUUUUGUUGCGAAGUGAUUUCAAAGCAUUUUUGUACAGUAAAGUGUUUCUCCUUCUGACGAUGCAUGAUUUAUGCCGCGAGAAGGAAGCUUGGAACCUCAAGGUGGAAGCCAACUUCGCAGCCCUGUGAAGAUAGCUCGGUGUUGCGAAAUAAUUUCGCAGCCCUCUUGGGUGUCGCGAAAUCUCGCAGACACCAUUUUUCUCCUGCGAAAUGGUUCCUGAAGCCUCCCGAAGUUUGCUACCGACAUUGGGAGAUAUUUUCCAUUAGAUUUUUGUUGUCUAAAUCCCAAAAUACUCCUUGUAAACCACCAAUUACAUGAUUCCUUAGUUUUUAAGUUAGUAAAAAGACUAAAUAUCUUUGUAACAAUUAGUUUUAUAUUAUGUUGAUAUAUAUACCUCUCGGGAGCCUGUUCUCAAGGAGGAGUUCCUUCUGUAACCGUUUGGGUAAGCAAGUAAAGUCUAUUUUCUUUCUACUGCCUUACCUUCUCACUUUGUAUUUUCAUUUUAUUUCUAAGUUAUGAAUUCUCUGAGGAGUUUUCCCCAGAGAAUGAGUAACUAAACCUCUAAUUCCUUGGAGCUAAGGUUGCCGAGGAAGGUUCCAAAUGCAAGAAUGCAAAGCUCUGUGGUUUUAGCUAGUAAUGAAGAGAAAGUGAAAUCCUUUAGUGAUUUCUAUGUUUUUAGUUAACUUAAAACACCUUGGAAUCACCUAGGCCAACACUUGGUAAGGCAAGUGAUUUCCAACCAUGGAAAUGCACUAGUUUACCCCUUGCGAGCCUCUGGUAGGUGACUUCAGGGUAGGAUUUUCUAGAAUAGCCAACACUUGAUAAGCUUUUGGACUCCUAGGAGACAUCCAUUAGUUAUCUCUUGCGAGCUUUUGACGGGUAAUCCAAGGUUAAAGAUCACCUUGAAUGGCUAAGGCUUAGUGAGAGGCUUAAACCAUUACAAGUUGCAUCAGUGAGAGAAUUAAAGUGAAAUCUAAUUGAAGGAGUCUCUAUACAUCACCGGUUAGAGAAUUGACUGUAUGUUGAAUCUCUAACGCGAGGAAAUGAACCAUCUGACCAGAGCCGUGUCUUUUGCAUGAGGAACCACCCCAGUGAACCUAAAACUCCAAGGAAUGUUUUUCUUCCUAAAUUAUUCCAAACUUCUGUUAUGUUAGUUAGUUUAAGUCUAAACCUUUACCAAUCAAAGUUUGUGUUUUACUUCUUAAGCUAACCUUGAAAUGAAACAAGACCAAUUCACUUGGAAUUGGUAUCAUUGAUUGCUUGUUAGUCAUUCCCAGUGAACGACCCUAGAGCCACUAUACUAUAGUAGCUUUUUCUUUGCUACCCUAGUGUAUGGUGUUAUAGGUAAUAAAUUUUGUUGAUUACUCCCUCAAUCAAGGAGCACCAGCUGAACACAAAUCAGCUGAGACACCAAUUGGGCAUGAAUCAAUGAUAUGUUUUGAUGUAAUCACUGUAACUCUUCUAGUAUUGUCUAUAUUUAUUUAUCUCUCUAUCUGAGUAAAUUAAUUAGGGACAGACUAGAAGUUAUAAUUUCACAUUUAUAUUUAAGAGGCAUGUUUUCUCCCAUCGAGUGGUACAUGUUGAUCUUAUGUUGCUUUUAUAAGCAUAACAUAUGUUUAGUUUAAUUCUCCCAUCGAGAUUACUGUCCAUGGAUGUUAUGAUGCAGGCCAAGAUAGUUGAUUUUAGGUUCUCAAGAUUUUCCUUAAUUGAAAGUGAAAUUCAUAUCACAACUCUUGUUGUUGGUACUAUUGGUUACAUUAAUGCGGAAUAAGUCCAUGUUGCUUUGCGAUUACGCAAUUCAUAACUCUAUUUCUUUGAAGAGAUUACCUUACGAACUAAGAACCCUAUUUUCUACUUUAGGGGCCAUUCUAGGCAUGUGGGUGGUGUUAAAACUAAGAAAAAAAAUAGUAUACUAGAUUUAGUCAUCAAGUGCCUCUCUGUAAGGGUGGUAAAGUUUAAUAUAAUUCAUCAAUAGGACUUAAAUCCAACAUGUACAUUUUUGCAAGUUUGAGUUGAAUAUAAUUGCGGGUUAAAUUCAUGUCAUAACUUGUUUAAUAAAUAAAUAGUUUUUGAGUCAAUCGACAUAAAACAAAUUUGACCCAAAUUAACUCAUUUAAUAAUUUUUUUUAUUAACCUAAUUAUGACUUUAAACUAUUUAACUCAUAUUUUACUCAUUUUAAAUUUAUUUUUAAAUAAAUAGGUCAAUUGAAUUAUAAACAUGUUUAUAUAGUUGAGAUAUUAAUCAUAUAUUUGAUUAUUAAACAAAAGGACCUGAUUAUUAAAGGGGUUACACGACAUGCUACUUGUUUAGUAAUUAGGUAAUAUUUAUGUUUAUAUUUUUAAUACAAUUAUUAUUCGUAACAAUUUCAAGUUUGGGUUUGAGUUGACCUAUGUAGUUAAAUGUUUAGACUUUGACAUAACACGAACAUGACCCACUUACACAAAUUGCCAUUGCUACUUUAAUGCAAGUACUACAUAUCCAAUAGUUUAACUGAGAAAAGUGAAAUUUAUAGCUUUGGAAUUGUUCUGCUGGAGCUGACCACUGAAAAACCUGCAAUCAUAUAAGAUGAAGACAACAUUCAUAUAGUUCAAUGGGUAAAGUCCUUUGUGGAAAGAGAGAACAUUGGAAGCAUUGUUAGUCUUGGGCUACAAGGAAAUUUCAAUAGAAAUUCAGUUUGGAGAGUUUGGGAGACAACAUGCCUACCAUCAAUUUCCAUCCAAAGGGUGACCAUGAGUCAUGUAGUGAUGGAAUUGAAGAAGUGUGUGGAAGCAGAGAAUGCUCAUGAUUAAAUUGGAAGGAUGGAGAAACAAGCGAGGGAAUCAAGCAAUUUGAUUGACUUAUAUAGUCUAGUUUCUUAAAAAGUAAUUUUUUGCUUUUGAGAAUCAAAAAUUGUUUUUGUAUUUUCUAUUAUCAAACAUGUUUUUCUGUUUUAUUUUAAAAAAUAGUUUUCAUUUACUAAAACAAUUAACAAACAGGCCUUUAGGAUGUAUUUGGUAUAUGAGAAUAUGAAUCAUAUUAAGAUAAGAAUGAAGAUCAAUUAUAAUCCCAUGUGGAAAAUAUCAUUGUGAUUUGAUAAAUUGGAUAUACAAUGGAUCCUUCUUACUCAUAUUGGAUUUGUCUUCAUUUGGCAUUAAUGGUCCUCAAAGUUCUAAAAUACAAUUACAAUUUGCUAUAUUAAUUCACAUUCUUUAACUUGACUUUGCUCCUUUGAAACUUCAAUGCCCAUUUUCUUCUUUUUCCGUAAGCCAAAAUACAAUGAAUUGACUCAAUUUUCAUACGAUGCUAGUCUUCUUCCACACAACAUGACCCCACAGCUCUUAGCAUUCCCACUUAUUUUGCCCACUGAAUAUGAUGGGAAAGACAAACUUGGAUAGGAAAAAAAACAAAACAUCACUGGUUUUGGCUCUGAUAGGUUCCAUUGCAACAACUCAGAGCUAGGCCCAAGAACAUUUUAUUGAUCAAAACCCUGGUGGGAGGAAGCUUGGCACAAUUAACACAUUAAGUAAACAUGAAUAUUAAUCUUAGUACUUUUUUUUUUUUUUUUGCACAUGUGUCAUAUUUAUGAAAAAUGCUAAGAUAUUGUAAUAAUACCUAUCAAAAUCCAAAUUUGGAUCAUUAAAUAUAUAUGAUAAAAUCUUAAUCAUUGAAUGAGAAUACAAACAAAUGAUACUAAGGUAUAAAAGUACAAGCAAAUGAGACUAAAAUAUGAAUAAUGGAAUUUGAAAAUAUAUAUUUGAUAUCACCUUAUUAGUGUUGUCUUUUUAUACCAAAUAUAUAUAUAUCGUUUUAUAAUGUACAUGGACCCUACAUUUACUUGCUAUGUUCCUACUUCAUCCUCGAAUGUUCCUAUAACAAUAAUCCUUAUAUUUUAACCACAUGCUUUGCUGGCACCACUCACAGCCAUUAGUUUUCGGGCAUUAUUUAAUUUUGUUGUUAGUGUGAUAUUGACAAGUCAAUAAAAUUCUAAAAUUUUGUAAAAAAAUGAAAAAAUUUAAAAUUUUGUUAAAAAAAUUCAUAUUUGAAACAAAAUUUUGAAGGUGAGAGAAGGAAAUAUGAAGGAAAUUAGGAUCAUGCUAAGAUACCAAAGACUUGCUUUUCAAUGUCUAUUUUCAUUCAAUGGGCAAACUUUUUCCAAUUAUUAAUAGUGAUACUUGUGGGAGAUAAGAUGAUCUAGACUUGACCAAGUCAAUUUGGAAGGUUAUAUGUAGUAGUACUAUCCGUCUAUUGUAACUUGAUAAAGAAAAAAAAUUAAUAACUUAAUUUUUUUUUAUGUCAGUACACAAAACUAAAAAUUCUAAUUUUUAUCUAAAAUUGAAGUAUAGUUAUUAUUUCAUGUUAAUUUCUAUUCAUAUUUGAAACAAAUUCAAACAUCUCCAUUCAAGUUGUAGAUAAAAACCAAAUACCCACUUAAAGUAUUAUGAUUCUUUGUAAUUUUGAAAUGAAGUAAUCAACCAACCCUACAAUUUUAGUUUUCAUUUUAUUCUUAUUUCCUUCUCUUACCUUCAAAAUUUUGUUUCAAAUAUGAAUAUAAAUUAAUAUAAAAUAAUAAUUAUACUUCAAAUUUAGACAAAAUUUAAAUUUUUUUAGUUUUUUGUAUUGACAUAAAAUUUAAAUAAUUAAUUUUUUCUUUAUCAAGUCACAAUGGAUGAAUAGUGUUAUAUAUAACCUUCCAAAUUGAUUUGGUUAAGUAUACAUUAUCUUGUCUCCUUCAACUAUCACUAUUAAAAUUUUCUAUAGGCAUUGAAAAGUAAGUUUUUGGUACCUUAGCAUGACAUUAAUUUUCUCUAUAUUUCCUUCUCUUACCUUCAAAAUUUUUUUUCAAAUAUGAAUAGAAAUUAAUAUAAAAUAAUAAUUAUACUUCAAUUUUAGGGAAAAUUUAAAUUUUCUAAGUUUUUUGUAUUGACACAAAAAUUAAAUAAUUAAUUUUUUCUUUAUCAAGUCACAAUGGGUGAGUAGUACCACAUAUAGCCUUCCAAAUUGACUUGGUUAAGUCUACACUAUCUUGUCUCCCUCAACUAUCACUAUUAAACUUUUCCAUAGACAUUGAGAAACAAGUUUUUGGCAUCUUAGCAUGACCCUAAUUUCCCCUAUAUUUCCUUCUCUUACCUUCAAAAAUUUGUUUCAAAUAUGAAUAUAAAUUAAUAUAAAAUAUUAAUUAUACUUCAAAUUUAGACAAAAUUUAAAUUUUUUUAGUUUUUUGUAUUGACAUAAAAUUUAAAUAAUUAAUUUUUUUUUAUCAAGUCACAAUGGAUGAGUAGUGUUAUAUAUAACCUUCCAAAUUGGCUUGGUUAAGUAUACAUCAUCUUGUCUCCUUCAACUAUCACUAUUAAAAUUUUCUAUAGGCAUUGAAAAGUAAGUUUUUGGUACCUUAGCAUGAGAUUAAUUUUCUCUAUAUUUCCUUCUCUUACCUUCAAAAUUUUGUUUCAAAUAUGAAUAGAAAUUAAUAUAAAAUAAUAAUUAUACUUCAAUUUUAGCGAAAAAUUAAAAUUUUCUAGUUUUUUGUAUUGACAAAAAAAUUAAAUAAUUAAUUUUUUCUUUAUCAAGUCACAAUGGGUGAAUAGUACCACAUAUAGCCUUCCAAAUUGACUUGGUUAAGUCUACACUAUCUUGUCUCCCUCCACUAUCACUAUUAAACUUUUCCAUAGGCAUUGAGAAACAAGUUUUUGGCAUCUUAGCAUGACCCUAAUUUCCCCUAUAUUUCCUUCUCUUACCUUCAAAAAUUUGUUUCAAAUAUGAAUAUAAAUUAAUAUAAAAUAAUAAUUAUACUUCAAAUUUAGACAAAAUUUAAAUUUUUUUAGUUUUUUGUAUUGACAUAAAAAUUAAAUAAUUAAUUUUUUCUUUAUCAAGUCACAAUGGAUGAAUAGUGUUAUAUAUAACCUUCCAAAUUGACUUGGUUAAGUUUAUAUUAUCUUGUCUCCUUCAACUAUCACUAUUAAAAUUUUCUAUAGGCAUUGAAAAGUAAGUUUUUGGUACCUUAGCAUGACAUUAAUUUUCUCUAUAUUUCCUUCUCUUACAUUCAAAAUUUUGUUUCAAAUAUGAAUCGAAAUUAAUAUAAAAUAAUAAUUAUACUUCAAUUUUAGGGAAAAUUUAAAUUUUUUUAGUUUUUUGUAUUGACACAAAAAUUAAAUAAUUAAUUUUUUCUUUAUCAAGUCACAGUGGGUGAGUAGUACCACAUAUAUCCUUCCAAAUUGACUUGGUUAAGUCUACACUAUCUUGUCUCCCUCAACUAUCACUAUUAAACUUUUCCAUAGGCAUUGAGAAACAAGUUUUUGGCAUCUUAGCAUGACCCUAAUUUCCCCUAUAUUUCCUUCUCUUACCUUCAAAAUUUGGUUUCAAAUAUGAAUAUAUAUUAAUAUAAAAUAAUAAUUACUUCAAAUUUAGACAAAAUUUAAAUUUUUUUAGUUUUUUGUAUUGACAUAAAAUUUAAAUAAUUAAUUUUUUUCUUUAUCAAGUCACAAUGGAUGAGUAGUGUUAUAUAUAACCUUCCAAAUUGGCUUGGUUAAGUAUACAUUAUCUUGUCUCCUUUAACUAUCACUAUUAAAAUUUUCUAUAGGCAUUGAAAAGUAAGUUUUUGGUACCUUAGCAUGACAUUAAUUUUCUCUAUAUUUCCUUCUCUUACCUUCAAUUUUUUUUUUCAAAUAUGAAUAGAAAUUAAUAUAAAAUAAUAAUUAUACUUCAAUUUUAGGGAAAAAUUAAAUUUUUUUAGUUUUUUGUAUUGACACAAAAAUUAAAUAAUUAAUUUUUUCUUUAUCAAGUCACAAUGGGUGAGUAGUACCACAUACAGCCUUCCAAAUUGACUUGGUUAAGUCUACACUAUCUUGUCUCCCUCAACUAUCACCACUAUUAAACUUUUCCAUAGGCAUUGAGAAACAAGUUUUUGGCAUCUUAGCAUGACCCUAAUUUCCCCUAUAUUUCCUUCUCUUACCUUCAAAAAUUUGUUUCAAAUAUGAAUAGAAAUAAAUAUAAAAUAAUAAUUACACUUCAAUUUUAAACAAAAUUUAAAUUUUUUUAGUUUUUGUAUUGACAUAAAAUUUAAAUAAUUAAUAUUUUCUUUAUCAAGUCACAAUGGAUGAGUAGUGUUAUAUAUAACCUUCCAAAUUGGCUUGGUUAAGUAUACAUUAUCUUGUCUCCUUCAACUAUCACUAUUAAAAUUUUCUAUAGGCAUUGAAAAGUAAGUUUUUGGUACCUUAGCAUGACAUUAAUUUUCUCUAUAUUUCCUUCUCUUACCUUCAAAAUUUUGUUUCAAAUAUGAAUAGAAAUUAAUAUAAAAUAAUAAUUAUACUUCAAUUUUAGGGAAAAAUUAAAUUUUUUUAGUUUUUUGUAUUGACACAAAAAUUAAAUAAUUAAUUUUUUCUUUAUCAAGUCACAAUGGGUGAAUAGUACCACAUAUAGCUUUCCAAAUUGACUGGGUUAAGUCUAUACUAUCUUGUCUCCCUCAACUAUCACUAUUAAACUUUUCCAUAGGCAUUGAGAAACAAGUUUUUGGCAUCUUAGCAUGACCCUUAUUUCCUUUAUAUAUAUUUCCUUCUCUUAUCUUCAAAAAUUUGUUUCAAAUAUGAAUAGAAAUUAAUAUAAAAUAAUAAUUAUACUUCAAAUUUAGAUAAAAAUUUAAAAAUGUCAAUUUUUGUAUUGACAUAAAAAUUAAAUAAUUAAUUUUUUCUUUAUCAAGUCACAAUGAGUGAAUAGUACUACAUAUAACCUUCCAAAUUGACUGGGUAAGUCUACAUUGUCUUAUCUCCUACAACCAUCACUAUUAAACUUUUUCAUAAGCAUUGAAAAGCAAGUUUUUUCUCUUGCAUCAGAUAGAGUUUGUUUUGGUUCAGACAGAUCAUUUGUUUACCUUGGACAGAUUAAGAGUUUUUAUUUGGGGGAGGACACCUGGAGGGAAACCCCCCACAAGCAUGACCUUAAUUUCCUCUAUAUUUCCUUUUCUAACCUUAAAACUUGUUUCAAAUAUGAAUAAUAGAAAUUAAUAUAAAAUAAUAACUAUUCUUCAAUUUUAGAUAAAAAUUAAAUUUUUUAGUUUUUUGUAUGACAUAAAAAUAAAAUAAUUAAUGUUUUUCUUUAUACAUAACCUUUCAAAUUGACUUGGUAAAGCCUGCAUUGUCUUUGUCAUCUUUUUCAACUAUAUUUGUUAAUAAUUAGAAAUUGUUUUCCUAUUGAAUGAAGCUUUUCAAUAGGUACCUAAAAGAAAGACUUUGGUUUCUUGCCUUACCCUAAUUUCCUCUGUGUUUCCUUCUCUUACCUUCAAAUAAAUACAACUAUUAAUAUUUUUUUUAUACAUUAAGCUUCUUGUUGAGUACACUUGAUGGGAAAGAUCAAGUCAAUGUUACUCAUGAAUUUCUAAUGAGUUUUCAAUGUCCAUAUUGGUUUUGACUUGUGAAAUAUUAAAUUUUAUUUUGGACAUUCAGAAUAAUUUAGGCCACUAUUUAAUAUAUUUUUUAAAAGCACUAAUCAAUUCAUAACAAUAAAGGGAAACCAAUGUAGUUUUGUUUAUUCACCUUUAAUUAUUUCUCUUCUAUUCAAAGUUGUUAGUUUGUAUUUAAUUUAUCAUAUGUCGGUUGCUUUAUAAAUUAAAAUACCACUUUGUCCAAUGUUGAAGGCUUGGUUGAUUUCUAUAAAUUAGAGUUUUUUUAUUUAUUUAUUUUUAAGUUAUAAAACACUACUCCCAACCUUCCAACUUGUAAUUCCGGUGGAAAUUUUGAAAAACUUGAAAGUUUAGAUUUUUUUUUUUAUUAUUAUUGUUUAAUCAAUCUCUAUAUUGCAUGGAAUAAGAAUAUUCCGUCAAUGCAUGAUGAAAGAGAGACUUUAAAUAACACUAGAUGCAGCACAUGGUCAAUAAAUUGAUAUUCCAUAUUAUAAUUUGCAUUUUCUAAUGACUCCUUUUUAAUUGUGUAAAUAUUAUCCAUUUUAAAUCUAAUAUAUAGGUUCUCACGGUUUUAAAAUGCUUAACACACAAUUAAAAGGAGAAUUUGGAUUAUGUAAUAAUUCGCUCUCAACAUUUUAUGUAGAUAUUAUCCACUUUGAACCUUUACGAUUUUAAAAUGCAUCUGCACAAUUAAAAGAAACUCAUACACAUAUAGCUCUAUGAAUUUUUUCCCUUAUCCCCUAUAAACACGACAUCCUCAUACAUAUAUAACUUUCAACUGUAUAGAUAUUAUUCAUUCUAAAUCCAAUGGAUUCACAGUACUUUAAAAUGAAUCUACAAAGUUAAAAUUAGUUUGUAUAUGUAGUUUUAGGAUUAUUAUUUUUCCCCUCUAACCAAUAUGAGAUGUCACAUAUUCAAGUAUUGGAUUUGUGAUUCUUUUCUUGCUUACUUGAGUAAGAUUGGAGUAUCAAGAUAAUGGUUGUAAGCCACCAAUAGUCCACAGAGACAUGAAAUCUUCCAACAUUCUAUUAAAUGAAAUGCAGCAAGCCAACAUUCCUAAGAAUAUUUUCCAUAAUUGCUUCCUUAUUCAUGAAAUAUUAAUUACUUCCUAUAUAUGAAGAUACCAAUCAUGUAGUGGUAGACUUGAAGGAAUGUUUGGAGACAGAGGUGGCUUCCAGGAGAAUUCGAAGUGCAGGUAGCCACAGCAUCGGAUCAGGCAAUUUCCUAGAAGCCACAUCGGAAGUGCAGGAAUGUUUGGUGUAAAAAGCUUAGCCGGUCUAUUAAGAGAGAAGAAACAAGACAGUUUUUGUUCAUUAAUUCAUAUAAUAUUUCCAAUUGACUUGGUCAAGUCUGCAUUGCCUUAUCAACUACAACCAUCACUAUUAAUAAUCUACCCUAUAUAUCUUGUCUCCAAAUAAAUACAACUGUUAAUCAUUUUCUACACAUUAGGGACUGAGAAACUCCCUAUUGAGAACAGUUUUAUACAUUCUGAAUAAUUUAGAUCACUGGUUAAUCUUUUUUAAAACAACCCUAAUCAAUUUAUGGCAACAAAAGAAAACUGGCAAAAUUUUGUUUAUAGGGGUGGCAAAUAUUGAUAUGAUUUGUCAAUGCAACUCGUAGAUUUGAAUUGAGUAUAAUCAUAUUUAGGUCAAAUUCCUAUUGACUUACAUAGCCUAUUUAAUAAAUAGAUUAUUCUUUAUUCAACCUACAUAAUAUGAAUUUAACUUGAAAUAUUUAACUCGUAUUUGACUCAUUUUAACUUAAUAUAUCAAUUAAAUCAUAAAUAUAUCAAGUAGAAAUAUUAAUCAUAUAAACAUGUACAAAAUCUAACUCAUAUAAACUUAUACUAGAUUUAACUCAACUUGACUAUUAAAUAGGUUAAAUAAGUUAUCGUGUUAAGAUAAGAAUGAAGAUCAAUUAUAAUCCCAUGUAGAAAAUAUCACUAUGAUUUGAUAAAUUGGAUAUACAAUGGAUCCAUCUUCCUCAUAUUGAAUUUGUCUUCAUUUGGCAUGAAUGAUCCCCAAAGUUCUAAAAUGCAAUUACAAUUCGCUAUAUUGAUUCACAUUCUUUAACUUGACUUUGCUCCAUUCAAACUUCUAAAAAAAUAAAAGCUAAUCUUAAAUAGGAAAACAACCAAGAAGAGGGGUGAAUUGGGUUUUAAAAAAUCUGUUUCAAACACAAUAAAUUCAAGCAAAAUAAGCAUAAAUCUAAAAAGAUCAGGUUAAAUAAGUUAUCGUGUUACAUUUUUAAUAAGUAGAUAAUAUUUGAGUUUAUAUUUUUAACAUGACUUUUAUUUGUAUUGUAUUUGGAUUGACUUAAUUGAAUGUCUAUGACAUGAGACGAUGAUCAACACCACUUAUAGCCCUUAUUUAUUUAUGAAUUAUAUGAUUAAAAGGAAUAAAAUAAUCCCUACUUUGUAAAUUUAACUCAUCAAGAUUUUUCAGCAUAAAAAUUAUCUAUUUUUUCUCAUAAAAAUAACCUUUCUUUUUUUAAACUUAUAUAUAAACAAUCGAAAAUAUUGAAAGAUAUUAAGCAUAAAAAUGGAUUAUUUUUCAAGUUCAAACACGGAAUGGGAGCAUUCGUUUCAUCCAUUUUACUAUUCAACAACCCUAACCCAAAGCAUACGUUGCGAGUCCCGAUGGGCCAUCCCCGAAUUCCUAGUGUACGAGGAUUUGAAUUUAAAGCUUGUCUCAGCUCUAUAUUAUGCAUACACCCUCUUCUUCGUUAAGACUUCACUUUCGUACAUCCAGCUCCGAAACAACAUGGAUGGUAGACCAACAUUGAUCUGGCUGCUCAUUAUUUCCUUGCACAGCCCGGGAUGGGUUUCAGGUACCUUCCAUGGAAUCCAGUCUGGUCGGCGAGAGCUCACGGCAGGGAAAGGUAGGCAUUCAGUACUUUUAUACAACUUAGCGCCAUCUUGGCAAAUGAGGUAGCUUUAACUCCUAAGUUCUAUUAUUGCGUGGACCUCAUUUAUGCUUUUUGAAGCACAUUAAAAUUAGGGGUGGCAAAAUCUAUGACUAGUCGGUUUAUUUCAAAUUUUGUAGACUAUAUAUUUUGAAUGAUCAGUUUGAAACUUAAUUUGUAGGUUUCAUAAGCAUCGAUUGUGGAAUAGCUCCAGGCUCCAAUUACAUAGAUGAUAAGCUCCAGAUACCUUACAUUUCGGAUGAAGAAUUUAUAGAUACUGGAGUCAAUUAUAAAGUCUCCAAGGAUUACAGUGACGAGGAUGCAUUGAAACAGUUCAUGAAUGUUAGAAGCUUCCCGGAAGGUAACAAGAAUUGUUACACCCUACGACCAGAAGGAGGCAAAGGUAAUAAGUAUUUGAUCAGAGCUCGGUUCAUGUAUGGGAAUUAUGAUUCCAAUAAUCAUCUUCCGAAGUUCAAACUAUAUCUGGGUACUGAUGAAUGGGUCACAGUGAAUAUAGAAGAUGCAUCUGCUUAUAUCAGAGAAGAAAUCAUACAUGUCCCAACAACAGAUGACAUAUACGUUUGUCUAGUAAACAUUGGUGGUGGGACACCUUUCAUAUCCACAUUAGAGCUCAGACCGCUCAAUAAUUCCAUUUACGAUCAAUCCGAACAGGGGUCGCUACUACUCUUCAACAGGUGGGAUUUUUGCAAACCAGAGAAUGCGCUACACAGGUGAGGUUCAUUGUUUAGGUCCUUAACAAGAAUUCUUUUGUUCUAGAUCACUUCUGGUUGGAGAGAUUCACUAGUUUCUCAUCUUUCAGCUAACUAAGUUUGUGCAAUCUUAGGCCGGAUGAUGUUUUCGACCACAUUUGGAACCUAUCGGCCUGGUCGAAUGAAUGGGAUACCCUCGAAGCAGCAUAUGAAAUUUCUUCCCUUAGUCACAGUGAGUAUAAACUUCCGAUGUCGGUCAUGAUGGAUGCUGUCAUACCCGUAGAUAUAAGUGAGCCCUGGAACUUCUCUCUGGAUCUUGAUGAUGAUCCUUCACAAAAUUUAUACAUAUACAUGCACUUUGCCGAGGUUCAGAAACUUCGAGAAGGGGAUAUUAGAGAAUUUACUGUCUCACUAAAUGAGGACGAUUCAUGGGGUGGUGGCGAGCCAGUGAUUCCCAACUACAUGGUUUCGAACACCUUACACCACCCAUCUGCGGUGAGUGGAAGUACCACAAACGAAUUGUCAUUUGCACUAAAAAAGACUAAUAGAUCCACGCUUCCACCCCUUAUCAAUGCAAUGGAAGUUUACAAAAUAAAAGAUUUUGCACAGUCAUCAACUAAACAAGGGGAUGGUAUCUUCUUAUCUUAUCCAUAUAUAUCUCCUUAUAAUUUAGUUAUUCACGAGCAGGGCUUAAAGAUGAUUCAGCUUUUCCCUUGUUUGUUUCCUUGGAAAUUAAAUACUAGUUCUCGCUGUCAAGAACAUCCGGUCAGCGUACCGACUGACAAGACACUGGCAAGGAGAUCCAUGUCUCCCCUUGGAUUUCCCAUGGGAUGGCCUGCAGUGCAGCUACAGCAGUGACUCCCCCACUAUAAUCUCACUGUGAGUUUUAUAUAUAUAUAUAUUUGCAGGGACUUGGUGAAAGCUAAUCUUUCCUUGAUAAAUCACACGAAUUAACGAUUUACUAAUUACCCUAGCUGGCAAGCAGGAACCUUUCAUCGAGCAACUUGACUGGGAAUAUCCAUCCUUCAUUUUCCCAGCUCAAAUCAUUAGCAAAUCUGUAAGUAUUAGUGGCUAUCAUGAGUGCUACACAGUGCCAGCAGGCACAUAUAUCUUCUCUGUAAUCUGAUCGAGCUCUUUACCCCAAAAAUUAUACUUAUUUCAGGGAUUUAUCAUACAACAACUUGACUGGAACGGUACCAGAAUUUUUUGCAGACUUGCCAUUGUUAAUGGUCCUGUAAGUUGUUAUAUAUUGAAGUUAAAAGUAAUACGAUGUUUGAUUGCUUGGUAGGAUAUGCAGGUAAUCUAGUAUUUGAUAUUCUGUGUUUGCAGUAAUUUGACGGGGAACCAGCUAACAGGUUCAGUUCCCCAAACUAUUAUGGAAAUGUUCAAGGAUAAGGAUAGAACACUGAGGUAUCUUCCAUUAUAAUUUUCCACUACUCUUUUCUUAGUGUUUGGUUUGAUGGAACUCUUGACUUCAAUUACAUUCUGUUUUGUGCAAGUCUUGGCGCAAAUCCAAAUCUUUGCCCGUCAGUCUCUUGCCAAGGAAAGGAGAAGAAGAAGAAGAACAGGUUCCUUGUUCCUGUUCUCAUAGCCAUUCUGACUGUAACUGUGAUCCUCGUCCUCAUAACUGCCCUUGCAAUGAUCAUCCGAAAGUUCAAAAGGAGAGAAACCAAAGGUAUUUUCUUUCUUUCAUUCUCAUUUUUUUUUUUUCCCUUUUAAAUGAGGAUUUAACAUUUUAUUGUGAUUUCCUUAGCGACAACCAUAGAGACGGUCAGUGAACGCCCCAAAGAGGGGUCAUUGAAGUCAGGGAACUCUGAGUUCACUUUCUCUGACGUUGCAAGUAUCACCAAUAACUUUAGUCGUACCAUCGGUAGAGGAGAAUUCGGACAAGUUUAUCUAGGCACUUUGGCAGAUGGCACCCAGGUUGCGGUCAAGAUGCGUUCUGAAUCAUCAAUGCAAGGCCCCAAGGCAUUACGAGCCGAGGUUAGACAAAUCAAUCCAUCCAUGGUUCUAGAGUACGAAAAUUUCUCCAUCUGAUGUCUGACACUGAAAGAUUUUGAGAUAUUGCAGGUGAAACUCUUGACGAGAGUUCAUCAUAAAAACUUGGUUCGUCUGAUUGGGUAUUGCAAUGACGGUACAAACAUCGCUCUCGUUUAUGAAUACAUGUCCAACGGAAACCUGCAACAGAAGUUAUCAGGUAUAUAUAUGUAGUGACCACUCUUGAUUACAGGUAUAUAACUGUCAAUGGAAGCUACUUGUGGACUUUAAUAUUUAUGCAUUUGCUGCAGGGAGAGCAGCGGCAGAUGUUUUGAAUUGGAAACAGAGACUUCAAAUUGCAGUAGAUGCAGCACAUGGUAAGUAAUUAAGCCGAGAUCUUCCAUAUUAUAGUUAAUUUGCAUUCAAAUGUUUCUUUAAUUUGUGAUUCUUUUCUUGCUUAAUUGUGUAGGAUUGGAGUAUCUACACAAUGGCUGUAAGCCACCAAUAGUCCACAGAGACAUGAAAUCUUCCAACACUCUAUUAACUGAAACACUGGAAGCCAAGAUAGCUGAUUUUGGGAUGUCCAGAGAUCUUGAAAGUGGUGCUCUCUUAUCAACUGACCCAGUAGGCACACCUGGAUAUCUUGAUCCUGAGUAAGUGUUAACAACAUUCCUUACAAUAUUUACAUAAUUGCUUCCUUAUUCAUGAAACACAACUUCCUAUGCAGAUACCAGUUGACGGGAAAUUUGAAUAAGAAGAGCGAUGUUUACAGCUUUGGGAUUGUUUUGUUGGAGCUUAUCACCGGUCAGCCUGCAAUAAAGAACCCUGGGAGCAUUCAUAUAGUUGGAUGGGUUAGUCCUAUGAUUGAAAGAGGGGAUAUUCAAAGCAUUGUUGAUCCAAGGUUACAAGGAGAUUUCCACACCAAUUCUGCCUGGAAAGCCCUAGAGAUAGCCUUAGCAUGUGUAGCAUUAACAGGAAUGCAAAGGCCAGAUAUGAGUCAUGUAUUGGCAGACUUGAAGGAAUGUUUGGAGAUAGA